UUAUGUCGAGGUGCCACGGAAGAAUAAAUGUGGCUGUCUCCACUUUGCUUAUUGCCUAUAUAGUUUUGUCAGUCUGUUCAUGUCCCUUGCUUAUAGGAGCCAGAAUUCAAAAUUUCUCAGCUAUCCAAGGUGCAAAUCAAUCUUUACAACCUCAAUUAAUUUCUUGUAAAUACUAAUCACCAUUUAAUCAUUUAUAUGGUAGUUUUAUUUAUUAAUUAGUCUUUGCUUCGAACUUCUAAUUGUAUACGACAGGAAGUUUAGUUCAUCAAAGUAAGAAAGAAGGAUUAGACCAUCGGAGACGAAUGAGACAAGCUCCUAAACCAGAUCCUUCUCCGCCAAAAAAAGGGAACGGGGGAGGUCAUGAUUCAAUGAGGGGCGCACUGCCGGGAGGGUCCUCUUAAGUAGAUGACUCGUCGGACCGUUGGAGAUGGAUUUCUUUGGAAAAAAGAACUUGAAUAACUUUGUUUUUCUAAAGAAGUUGUCGCCUGCGGGGCCGUCUCUGUUCAAAAUUUUUUUAAUUUAAUUGAGGAUAUUUAUUUUUAAUGUUCACUUAAACAUAUUUAACAACUCAAAAAAUUCAAAUUCUAUUACUUUUUAAGAUUUUAAAAAAUAAUAGUAAUAAAUUAUUUAUUAUAAAUAUUAGAAAUCAUCGUGCAUUUACUGUAGCAAGCAUUGCAAUGAUGUGUGUGUGUAUAUAUAUGUAUUAAAAAUAAAAAUGGAGCUUUCAGUUCUCUCAAAAGAAAGUUAAUUUAGGUCAUAUUUGGAAUUAAGGUGUUGUACUUUUAAACUACAGCUGUUGUGGAAAAAAAAAGUUGUAACUAUAAAUAAAAUUUAAUAAUUUAUAGUAAAUAUAAAUUUUAAAUAAUAAUUUUGAUAAGAUUACUAAAGAUAUAAUAGAUUUUUCAUGAUAUAAUUGAAAAACCAUAUUAACAUAGGUUUCAAAUUACAGCCAUUAGUAUUUACCAAAUACCUUAGUGCUAUAACUUUUAAGUUAUACAUGUCCAACAUUAAUCCCAAAUGCACUCUUAAUUGCUCAAUCUGAUUUCAUUUCAUGGAUUUAUGAUUUAUCAGGAACGGUCCCCAUCUGCAGAAAAUUUUUUAGGUUGUUUGGAGCCACUGGUAUGGAACAACUCCGAAUCCCACUGUAUUUGACUGCUUUUGUUGACUGGCCUGAGGGUCGUUUUGGGCUGAAAUGGCUCAAAAUUUUCAAAGUCGUUUCAUGCACCCCUGUAAUUUAAUCAAGCCGAUAACUGCAAAAAUCAAGAGUUAUUUAAUUCAGUUUAUAUAUAAUAAAUUUAAAAUGAAUUUAUAGCUCUAUCUUCGUUGUAUUAUUAUAAACGAAGAGCGUUAUUCCUAUUUAUGCUCUGCUUGUAACCUUUUUAAUUACCACUAUCAAAUCCUCGAGUUCAUGGCCGACGUAUAUAAAAAGCAAAAAUUCCUGAAUUUGCAGCUAUUAAAGAUGCGUAUCGCUACAUUGAAGGUACUAGUCCAAAUCCACGUAGAGGGCAUUUUAUCCAUUUUCACCGGAACGUGGAACGGGGGAAAAUAUGCAUUCACUAUUAUUAUUACUUUUUUGUCCUCCUAAUCCACUUUCCUUAGUUUUCUACCUUCAUCAUCUUCUCCUUUCGAGAUUGGGCAAUGGCAGCUAUGGGGAAGACCUCGACAAAUAUUUAAACUAAAGCCAUGGGGUAACAAAAAUUAUAAGAAUUGAAAUAUAAAGCCAUAGGAUAAAAUAGUUAAUUUAGUUUUGUAAGACUUCACUAGACAAACAAGCAAAAAGAGAAAGUACAUGUGUUUAACAUAUUGAAUGACCAGCAAAAACACAAAUAUUAUUUACCUCAGAUUUUAUAAGACUUGGGAUGUCUAUCAACUGAGCUUGUCCCGUUUUGGGGUAAAACCCAAAAUGAAUAUGAAUAUGUACCAUGUAAUUGACAAGAAUAAUUCUUAUCUCCAAUCCACAAGAAUAAAACAAAUUGUGGCUGAUAAUUAAUAUCUUCAUGAGCAAUACGUGUACGGAGGAGCGGAAUUAUGGGAGGUCUAGGACGCCAAACUUUAAAAAUGACCUUUAUCUAGGUAAAUUUUAUUCUUUACCCCCUCAGUUUCAUAGUUCUCACGUAUUGCCAGCUGCGUUAAUAAAGUUUGUUGUUUCCACAUUAUUAUACAUGAAAAAAAAAAACACGAAUUGCAGAGCAUAUAUAUUACAUAGUAACAUAAAUAAUUGGUUCAUUAAACGAAUUGGUUCAUAAAUAAUUGGUUCAUUAAGUUAGUUGCUUCCAUAUUAUUAUAACAUGAAAAACAAAAAAGGAAUUGCAGAGCAUCUAUAUUACAUAGAAACAUAAAUAAUUGGUUCAUUAAAACAUGUUUAUUGUCAUAAAACUGAAAUAUUAGGUAGUCCUUCAUGGGUUAGUGUGUUUAAAUCGAGUUGAUACUAGGACUUUGGGCUAGUUUGGUAAUAUUGUAACUUUUAAAAUAAUUGUUGUUAGCUAUGCCAUAGAAAUAAUCAACUAUUAAGAGAACCAAUUAAAUAUUUUGUAAAAUAUGUUUAAAAGUUCUGAGAGUUUUAAAAACAGUCAAAUGUGUUUGGUAAAUCUUAUUGUUAAAUUACUACAAGAAUAUAGAAAAAUAAAUUGGGCUUAACGUUGAAUAAAUUUUUUUACACAUUUAUAAACAUAUAUAUAAUAUAUUUUGUUGUGUAUAUACAAUAAUUAAUAACUCAAAUAAAUAUUUAUUUUAUUAAAUUCAUUUUUAUUUUGUUAUCUCAAUAUAAUUGAUGAUAUGAUGAUAAUCUUUUUAAAGUUAACGAUUUUAUUUUCUAAUUGAUGAGGUUAAUUUUAGACUUUUAUAAUAUAUAUGGGGAAAUACAUGAACUGUAUUGGGCAAAAGUCCAUUUAGUCCUUGUAUUUUAAGAUUAGUAUCCACUUAGUUCUUGUAUUUUUAAAAAUACCUCGAAACAUCCUUGCCGUUAAAGUAUUGAUACCCAUGCCAUUAAUUUUUAUUUCUUUUGGCUUAUUUUUACAAUAUCACCCUUUUAUAAUAAUUUUUUUUGUUUAGACAUUAAUAAAAAGAAAAUAAUUAAAUUACUAAUUUAACUCUAGAAAAUAAAAAAAUUAUAUUAAUUUUUUUACAAGCACCAUUUGCACACUUGGUAGUUUGCAUACAAUUUUUGACAAUUAAAAAUUAAUAUAAUUUUUUUAUUUUUAGGGUUAAAUUGGUAAUUUAAUUAUUUUCUUUUUAUUAAUGUUCAAAUAAAAAAAUUAUUAUAAAAGGGUAAUAUUGUAAAAGUAAGUCAAAAGAAAUAAAAAGUAACGGUAGGGCCGGGUAUCAAUACUUUAACGGCAGGGAUAUUUCGAGACAUUUUUAAAAAUAUAUGGACUAAAUGGAUACUAAUCUUAAAAUAUAGUGACUAAAUGAGCUUUUACCCAACUGUAUUAAGUACAAAGCUAAUUCUCAAAUUUAGAUUUUGAAAAGCACUCCUUCCCUUUUUUUUCAAAUAUUUUAUAGGAUGUGUUGAUUUUAUCAAAAGUGAUUUCUAAAAAAAUUUAAUAAAUAUUACAAUUAAUUUCUAACUUUUCCAAAUAACUUUUGAACCUCUUAAAAGCAAUCCCAAAAUGCGUCCUUUGAAUGAAUGCAACAUGUAAGUUAAGAAGGUGAAAUAUAUAUAGAGCUGCUAUCGGGACUCUGAAUGAAUGCAACAUGUAAGUCCAGAACGUGGAAGAACUGUAAUCUUAGUCAUGAGAUUGUCUUAUUGCUUCUUCACAAUCUCAUUUUGGUUCAAUUAAACAAAUUAUGAAUAUAUGCUUGUUACUAGAUAUUAUGCCCAUCUCUGAUCACCAUCCACCAUGCAAUUUCUACCAUUUUAAUUUAUUGUCUCACGAAAGAAUGUGUGCGAUCAUGCAUGUGUUUUCUUCUUGGUGGGUCUAAGCCGUGUGACUUGAUGAGAAUAGCUGAGAAAUGGAUGGUUGAUUAUGAAAGCAGCUCUAGCCAGUAUUUGCGAACUUCUCAGCUAUAAAUAUCGUGGUUGAUAUUUAUAUACAAUCAAUUUUAUAAUCCCUAUGAUUUAAUAGUUUUUCUGGACUCUAACUUAAUAUUUCUGCAUUAGGGUACUUAUUUCAUGUCAUAGCAAACUUAAAUUUGUGACUUCUUGAUUUUCGCUCGCCCCACAGCAAGACUGGGCCAGCAAAACUAAAAUCCUUGUUCCGGCUACGAAAACUGGGUAAGAUCCUAAUAGGAGACGCUAUUACUGGCAAGAGGUGCUUUCAAAAUUAAUGAAUUAUAUGUAAAUCUAGAAUUUAUAUAGCUGAAUUUAUUGAUUUCUAAACCAUAACAUAAUGUGAUCAAAAGUUGGUGACAAAUUGCUAGAAGGGAUGUUGUGCUCUAGAAGCGUCAUUUCUUGUGGUUUGAUACCACUUGAGCGCAAACCGGAAUCAAUAAGCACCAAAUUUUCAUAGGAAAAUAAUAGACACAAGAAUUUAAUAUGGUUCAACAAUAAAGCAUAUGUCCAUGGAGGUAAAAGAGAACAAUUGUUUUACUAAUAAUUAAUAGAGUACAAAUUUGAAUAACAAAACCUCAUCUUCUCCAAUACUCAAACACACCCAAUACUCUUAUACAUCUCGAGGAAAACAGUUUUCCCAAGACACAUAUUCUCUCAUAUCUCUACAAAUAGUGCAGACCCAAACUGAACACCCAAAGAAAUGCUCUCCCAGCUCACUAGCAUAUACUCCCUUUCUUUGGACUCUUUCACAAAGAAAUCUCUUUGCACUCUCAGAAAGCUCUUUAUCUAAGCUCUAUAUAAUUCUACAUUUUUAGUUGUUUUCACUGAACAAAAUGACUCGGCAUUAAACAAUGCAUUGCAUGUCUUACGUUAAAAAGGAACUUUUCCAUCACAACAUGCACGCAGAAAUAUAUUUUUCAACGUUCACAUGCAAUUUAAUCUACACCUAGCAUUCUCUGCUUAAACAUAAGAAAAUUGGAUGCAUUUCAAUUUUCUAGAGAAUUAAACCAUUUUCUCCUAGUUCACAUGCCAUUUUCUCCUUUGACAACUUCAAUUUCAAAGCUUGAACAUUUCCAUUUCCAAGCACAAUUAAUUCGAAGCUUGACUUCUGAUUUUCCUUCCUUCUCAGUGAUUGUAUAAAAGGAUAGGUAGUUCAAUUGUUUUAGCUGCAACCAAAUACUUUCUCCAUUUCUUAUUGGAAUAAUAAUUAUGUCGAGGUGCCACGGAAGAAUAAAUGCGGCUGUCUUCACUUUGCUUAUUGCCUAUAUAGUUUUGUCAGUCUGUUCAUGUCCCUUGCUUAUAGAAGCCAGAAUUCAAAAGUUCUCAGCUAUCCAAGGUGCAGAUCAAUCUUCGCAACUUCAAUUAAUUUCUUGUAAAUAUUAAUCACCAUUUAAUCAUUUAUAUAGUAGUUUUAUUUAUUAAUUAGUCUUUGCUUCGAACUUCUAAUUACAUGCGACAGGAAGUUUAGUUCAUCAAAGUAAGAAAGAAGGAUUAGACCAUCGGAGACGAAUGAGAGAAGCUCCUAAACGACCUUUUCCUCCGGCAGGCAAUCGUGGGCCCCGUGCCGGAAAUUUUUAGAUUGUUUGGAUCCAAUGAUAUGGAACAACUCCGAAUGCCACUGUCAAAAAAUUCAAAAUCGUUUCGUGCACGCCUGUAAUUUAAUUGAGCCGAUAACGGCGGAAAAGCGGAAAUCAGAAGACUUCAGCUCAGUUCGGUAUUAUUUGUAUGCGAGAAAUAAAAUAUUCAAACAACUAACGCAAAAAUCAAGAGUUAUUUAAUUCAGUUUAUAUAAUAAAUUUAUAUGAAUUUGUAGCUCUAUCUUCAUUGUAUUAUCAUAAACGAAGAGCGUUAUUCCUAUUUAUGCUUUGCUUGUAACCUUUUUAAUUACCGCUAUCAAGUCAUCGAGUUCAUGGCGGACGUAAAUAAAAAGCAAAAAUUCCUGAAUUUGCAACUAUUAAAGAUGCAUAUCGCUACAUUCCAUUUCCACUGUAACGUGGAGGAGGGACAAAUAUGUAUUAACUCCCAAUAUUUGAGAGAACUCGAUACGAGACCCGUGUGUUGAAAAAUUCAAGAUUGGAAUUCAAAUACAAGCAUUCAAAUUUGGCUAAUCCAUCAAUUGGCCAUCUUGCAUACACAUGCAUGCAUUCAGCAUUGGAGAGGCAAAUUUGAAGACAAAUUGCUAAGGUAAGCACCUAAUUUUUGUCGACAAUUUUGUUGGGGUUGGUGCAAUAGUGCACCCCAUUUUUCCUUAUAAAUAGAAGGCAAUCCUCAUUUGUUAGUGCAUCCAAAAUUUGUGAGAUCCAAGUGAGUUUUGGUAGAGAAAUUCCUUAGGUGCUAAGGGAAUUUGGGUGUAUUAGGUAUUGGGUUUUGAGAGUUUUUCCACUUUUGUAAAGUCUCAUUAUUAGUAAAAUUAUCUUCCAGUCUUUGUCGAUGGACAUAGGCAUUACGCUGAACCACGUAAAUUAUUGUGUCAUUUUCUUUGAAUUUGUUUACAUCACAUUUAUAUUUCUCCAAAAAUUGCAGUCACCGUGGGAUCCUUCCGCAACACCGUGGGAUCCUUUUUCUUUUUUCAAAUUUUUUCUUUACCUGUCACUAGAGUCGAGCUAGACAGAAACAUGAGGCUAGAUGAAUUGGAAAGUCCACAGCUGGGUCAGAUGCGUAGCUGGUGCGGCAAUAGCGCUAUCGCACAUAUUGACCUGCUAGUCUUUUUUUUUUUUAAAGAAAAUCUUUAAUUACAAAUUUAUUUUUUCUACCUUCUAUUGGGGAAGCACGGGUUAAGCAAUUACCAAUAUUACAGUGACUGUAACUUCCGGAAAAAUAUAAAUGUGGUGUAAACAAAUGCAAAGAAAAAGACAAUAAAUUUUACGUGGUUCAACGUAAAGUCUAUGUCUAUGAGCAAAAUUGAAAGAUAAUUUCACUAAUAAUGGGACUUUACAAAAGUGAAAAGACUCUAAAAAAAACCAAUACCCAAUAUACCCAAAGUCCCAUAACACCUAAGGAAAUUCUCUACCAAAACUCACUUGGAAAUCUCACAAAUUUGGAUGCACAAACAAAUGAAGACUUGCCUUCUAUUUAUAGCAAAAAUUGGAUGUACUAUUGCACCAACCCCAACAAUUUUGUCAACAAAAAUUAGCUGCCUACCUUAGCAGUUUGUCUUCAAAUAUGCCUCUCCAAUGUUGAAUGCAUGCAUGUGUAUACAAGUUGGUCAAUUAAUGCAUUAGCCAAAUUUGAAUGCAUGUAUUUGAAUUUCAAUUUUAAAUGCAUGUAUUUCAAUUCCAAUUUUGAAUGCAUGUAUUUGAAUUCCAAUUUAGAAUUUUUCAACACCUUCAGCAUCUUCUCCUUUCAAGAUUGAGCUAUGGCAGCUAUAGGCAAGACCUCGACAAAUAUUUAAACUAAAGCCAUGGGGUAAAAAAAAUUUAUAAGAAUUGAAAUAUAAAGCCUUAAGAUAAAAUAGUUAAUUUAGUUUUGUAAGACUUCAAUAGACAAACAAGAAAAAGAGAAAGUACAUGGUCCAAUAGGAGGUUUGGUCUCCAAUUGGUAGAGGAAAGGUUAGAUCAGUUUCUUUGCUGCAAAGAGUGGGGAAAUAUGUUUCACGAAAUAGCAGCAGAACACCUCGAGACAUAGACGUCUGACCAUAAUCCUAUUCUGAUGUUGAUAGAAGAAAGAGGCAUAAGUAUAAGGUACAACAAAAGAACUUUCUCAAGGGUCCAUUAUGAAGAUAUGUAGAGCCCCUACGAGAAAUGUAAAGAGAUUGUCCAACAUGAGUGGCAUGUGAAAAGCAAUUGGAGCUGUGAAGAUCCUAUUUCUCGGUUUAAAAAGGCAGCUAAAGACUCACUGGCAGAACUACAAUUAUGGAGCAAAGAGGAAUUUCGAGGUAGAGAGAACAAAGUGCAGAAGCUGAUAGAGAAGUUAAAGGCUUACAGAGAGAGCAAUAAUCAAUAUGUCAAUGGCAUUGAAAUUCAAUCACUAGAGGGACAAAUUGAUGAUCUACUAAUUGAUGAAGAAAUCUAUUGGAGGCAGAGGUCAAGGGCUGUUUGGUUAUGGGAUGGAGAUUGCAAUACAAAGUUUUCCACUCUAAGGCUACUUCGAGAAAGAGAAAAAACAUGAUCAGAGGAAUUAUUGAUGACAACAAUCAGUGGACAGAAGAAGCUGAUGAAAUUGAGAAGAUGUUUUGUGAAUAUUUUGAUAACUUAUUUGCUUCUAAUAACCUAACUCGGCACCAGAUGGAGUCAGCCCUUAAAGACAUGCCCCGUAAAAUCUCAAAUGAGAUGAAUGCACAGCUUGAGCAGCCUUACACAGAAGCAGAUGUCAUAGAUGUUAACAUAUAUGUUUCCAUAAUAUUGAUUUUGAUGAUAACAAACAAGAUUAAUAAUGAUUAAUCUUUUAAGCUCAAAUUAUUUAAUAUUCUUUUUAAAUAAAUCAUUAUUUUCACAUUAUAAAUGUUUUGUAUUUAAUGGAAAAAUGAUUUUAUGAAAUUGAUUGUUUUUAUUCUUUUUAAAUAAAUCAUUAUUUUCACAUUAUAAAUGUUUCAUAUUUAAUGGAAAAAUGAUUUUAUGAAAUUGGUUGUUUUUCAAAGUUUAUGGUUUAAUUGAAAGCAUUUUCAAAACUUUGAAAUAAACAAGUAUUGCUUGAAAUUUUGGUGAAGGACUUAUUUAAAAAGUGUCAUAGCAUUUUGGGCUAUAACAUAAUUUCAGAAAGUUUUGGGAUUAACAAAGCAUUACUUAGAAAUUCUGAAAUUGGACCUAUUUGCAUAGUUUCAUGAUAUUUUGGGCUAUAGUACAGUUUUGUAAAGUUUUUGGGUCAAACUGUAAUUUUGAAAAAUAGUGCAAUGUCCAGGUUACUGUAGCAAUCACUGUAGCAAACGGCUAACCGUUUAUUUAAAAACGGCUAACCGAUAAUUUCCAGAAAGCAUGUUCUGCAAAGUAUUGUUAAAAUGAUGAUUCUGGAAACUAACGGUGAACCGUUUACUGAAAACGGUUAACCGAUUAUUUCCAGAUUGCUAACCUUGAACCGUUUAGUAAGAACGGUUAAACCAAAUUUGUUUUGCAGGUCUCUGGAAAUUAACGGCGAAAGGGUAAGCCUAAACGGCUAACCGUUUAUUUGAAAAUUGGUCCAAUGGUAAUUUUGACCAGUCUAAACGGUUAACCGUUAAUGGUUAACGGCGAACCAUUUUUGUGCAGACAAUCUAUAACGGCUAGUUUUUCAGCUCCAACUAUAAAUAUGCUCAAUCCAAUUUAAACAAGAAGAAUUCCAACGAUCAUCAUUGAGCAAAAUAUUGAGAAUACAACUUUCAUUGAGCUUUAAAUCUUUGUAUUCAUCUCAUUCAUUCACACAUUGAGCUUUCACUUGAGAUCAAACACAUUGUGUGAGAGGGAUUCAUUUGUAAUCUUUUUUGUAAAAUCAAGUUAAAAGAUUGUAAGUGUUGGGAUACACUUGGGUUAAGAGAUUGGGGAUAAUCUCUUGUUGUAAAGGUCCAUUGACACCUUGGAAGUCAAUUGUAAGCGUUUGAAGCCUUGGGAGGCUAGCUUAGUGAAAUCCUCAAGCCCGGUGUACUUGGAGGCAUGGAUGUAGGCGGGGAUUGCCGAACCAUGUAAAAAUCCUUGAGUUUGCUUUCUCUUCCCUUACUCAAUUUACUAUUAUGCUUUUAUUGAAUUUAUUGUUUUCGAAUUUAUUAAGGCAUUAGAUUAAAUUGUUGUGUGGUUUGCCGAGGAUAAUUUUUAAAAUCCCAAUUCACCCCCCUCUUGGGUUGCCUAGUUAGUAUUUCAUUUGGUAUCAGAGCGAGGUGCUCUUUUGUAGACUUAACCGUCUAGAGUUAAAGAUCUAUAGCAACCCAAAUUAGCUCAAUCUUCAUGGAAGGCCAAUCCACCACUAGACCUCCAUUCUUUGAUGGUAAUGACUAUCCUUAUUGGAAAACUAGGAUGAGAGUGUUUUUACAAGCCUUAGAUUAUGAACUAUGGGAAAUAGUUUGUGAUGGUUCAUUCAUUCCUAGGAAGAAUGUUUUAAGUGAAUUGGAUAAGAAAAAUAUGACUUUAAAUUCCAAGGCUAUGAAUGCUUUAUUUUGUGCCUUAGAUAAAAAUGAAUUUCAUAGAGUUUCAAAUUGUUCUAAUGCUUAUGAAAUUUGGAGAAAACUUGAAAUUGUGUAUGAGGAGACUACAAACGAGGAGGAAUUUCAUGAAGUGUCGAAUUUGGCACUUAUGGCAAUUGGAGAUGAAUCGGAUGAUGAACUUGAUGAGGUAAGUGAUCCAACCUAUGAUGAAUUGUAUGAUGCUUUUAAAGAAAUGCAUGAUGAGUUGAUGAAAAUUGGUAAAAAGAAUGCAUGCCUUAAAAAGAAAUUGCUAGAAUCUACAAAUGAAAAGGAUGCCAUGCAAAAAUGCAAUGAGUCAUUGAAUGAGAAGAUUAAAGGAUUAGAAUUAGAGAAUAAAACCUUGCAUAAUAGAGUUGCAUUAUCAAAUGAGAAACUUAGCACUUCACAUGAGCAUCUAGAAUCAUAUGUAGAUGACUUGAAAAAUGAAAAUGAUGCUUUACAGAAAUACAAUGAUUCAUUAAAUGAAAAGAUUAAAGGACUAGAGUUGGAUAAUAAAAUGUUGCAUGAUAGAAUUGCAUCAUUUAACUGCAAGCAAAGAACUUCAUAUGAGCAUGAAAAAUCACAUGUUGGUGAAUUAAUGAAAGAAAAUGAAGUGCUUAAGAAAAAGAGCAAUGAACUAAAUCAAAUUGUGUUAAAGUUCACAAAUGGGCAAAAGAUGUUAGAUAACUUGCUUAAUUCACAAAAAUGUGUGUUUGAUAAAGGAGGUAUCGGUUAUAAGCCAAAUUUGAAACAAAAAUAUUAUAAGAGUUAUUUUGUUAAAACUACCUCCAUUAAUGAUCAAAUUGUAUGUCAUUAUUGCAAUCAAAAUGGUCAUAUGAAGAAUAGAUGUAUUGAUUAUAAGUGAUGAUGUUUUAAUCUUAGUAAAUAUUUAACAUUUUAUUUCGUAUCAUAACAUUAAGUGCAUUUUAUUUCGUAUCAUAACAUUGUCUUUCUAACAAAUGGGUAUCUCAAAUAAUAGCAAAAGAGAAGAUAAAAUAAAAAUCAAGACUAGUAAGAUUGUAGAUGGCGAUGUCAGGAACUUACCCUCAAAAUUUGGGAGAAAGUGGAAUUAAUUUUGCCUUCUGAUCAUCUAAUUAAAGAUUAAAAUUACUAUUCCCAAAUAAAAGCAUCCAUUGUCUUCUCUCUCUCUCUCCCACCGUUUCUUCUGCACGCUCACAUUAUCUAAGGUGCGGCUUUCGCUUGCUUUUAUAGGUAAAUUUUAUUUGCACCCUUUAAGUUUCUUUUAAUUACUUAAUUACCUACACUUAUUAAACUUUGGGAUUAAGACACCCAAAUGAGAUGGACCCAACAAGACCAGAUGCUAAUGGUGACAUCUCUGUAAAAGAUAUUAGUAAAUGAAAUGGAAAUUCACUGAAUUUGAAUCUUUGUGAGAUCGGCAAUAUAGUACCGAGGGUAUUUUUAGAAUAUGCCGAAUCAGUAUAGUUAUCCUUCUUCUGACACAACAACACAAUUUCAAUUGGUUUCGAAAAGAAGUGCUAGAAAAUUUCUUUCUUCUUUUCUUCUUGUUAGCCGAUGUAUAGCUAUGUACUAUUCGUACUAUUCAAUAGAAAAUUUCAAUAGAAAAUUCUUAAAAUUUUUGUAGUAUGGGGGUUAUUUUCCACGCUUGUGUUCGGACUCGAAAUUCAAAAUCAAGUAAAAUGUGAAUCCUACGGAUUGUUUUCUAAUAAUUCAUGGUGGAGAUUAUCAUAUUUCCUCAUUUCAAUUCAAUAUGAGAUCUACAAAUCUCCUUUUCAUAGAUGUAGAAUUUUUGUUGUAAUUCUCCUCUUUUUUUUCAAGGAAUUGGUUAGUUGUCCAAAAACAAGUAACGGCGGGAGAUAGGAUUCGAUAAAAAUAACAGAACGCGAAAAAUGCCUAAAAUAAUAUAAAAUAAUUCUAAUAAUCUAGAUUUAUCAUGCCCUCUUUGUUAUAUUAGACCCAAUGGUUCUUUCUUGACCUACCUACAACGCGUGGGCUUUAUGCUUUAUAUAUAUAUAUAUAGACAAAAUAGAAAAUCUACAAAGGAAACGAUAAUAGAAGUUCUUAUUGAGUUUUAGAACCGAAUUGAACCAAAAUAAAAAUUUCUAAACAUAUCACAAAAAGAAUUACAUCAAGUUCUAUUAGGGGCCAUACCAAAGGAAAAAGGAAAUAAAAUCUAAUAUAUAAUAUCCCAAACAACAAAACCUAAGGAAUAAACUAACAAAUGAGUAACAUUGACAAUCCAAAAACAAGUUUCCUUUCAAAAGUUGACACAAGCCAACAAUUGCAUAAAAUAAUUUUGCCUCAAUUAUUUCCAUAUCUAACAACCCUAACCAGAGCCUAUUGCUCUAUUGGUAUUGGUAUACACUAGCAACUAAAGGAGCUGAGUUUACGGUUGUUUUUGGCAUUGAUAUGUGUAGAGAAUUUAUGGUUUUUUGUUGUACUUAGCAUUACUAGGGGAAACGUCUCACCACAAUCACAAAAGUUGCCAUUUUUUGUUACUAAAGUGGAUGGGAAUUGCUAUUUACGCUAUUAUGCAUCCAUAGAUCUUGGAUUUAAAGGGAGGAGAGCGAGAGUGGCCCACGGCUGCUGGAUUUAAGGGGGGAGAGAGAGAGAGCUGUGUGUUGUGAGGAAGAACAUAGAGAGCGUGAGGGAGAGAGCGUGUGCUGUAGUUGCCUUAAAACGCACCUUUUGGUGCUGCGCGUAAUGCUAAAUGUUGUGUAAGUGUCAUUUUCCUAAUUAAGAUCGCAACUAUGUAUGUAAUCAAGGAUUUGUUACGACAUCUAUGAGAACUAAUAAAGAAAUAUAUAAUGAAUUAGUUUCGGACCAUAUACGAAAAAGUCCUUCGCAUAAAGUUUGGAAAAUUUUAUGGCGUCUAAAUCAUUGAGAUUGCAAUUAACUUCAAUCUCAACCCUGGUAAGGAGUCCCUCCAGCUGGUCCUGUAUGUCUCUGGCACGCUUCAUACUCUUGACCUGAAUAUAAUUCUCACAACACCACUCUGUUGAGUAAUUACAGUCCCUCUAAGAAUUGUAAACCCUUAGCAAAGUAAUGUGAUCCCCAACAUCUCCCAAGUGGAAGUUCAUUCUUGCAUUGUCUGCAUGUAUUUGCUUGUCCUUUAGACGAUAAAAUAUUGAAUUUCCAAUAGAAAGCAUUGCAGCAAUGAUGAUAAUCUCAACCAAACACUUGUAUUUAUCUGAGGCAAUUAUUGUUUUAGAUAGCAUAGGAUCAAAAGAACGAAGACGUGAAUGUGGCAUGAUGCAAAGUUGUAAAUCUUUAAUUUGAUUCUCACUGAUGUUUGCAUGAUGGAAAGUAGAUCAAUAAGAGGUGUACUUUAUUCUGUGACUUUUAUUUAUGACUAUUCAAGGAAAGUGUGGGCUUUUGCUUUAAAAUAUAAAAAUCGGGUGCUUGAUAUGUAUAAGUUCUUCCAUCCUUAUGUUUAGAGAAUGACAGGAAGAAAGUUUAAAUGUGUCAGGGCAGAUAAUAAUAGUGAGUACAGAGGACCAUUUGAACUGUAUUGCAAAUCCCAUGGAAUCAGACUUGAGAAGACUAUACCAAAAAUCUCUCAUCAGAAUGGUGUUGCAGAAAUGAUGAACAAAACAAUUGAAGAAAAUAUUAGGUGUAUGCUUUCUGAUGCCAAGCUUCUUAAAUCAUUCUGGGCAAAGGUUAUGUGUACGGCAGUGAAUUUGAUUAACCUUUCUCCUUCAGCUCCAUUAGAUGGCGAUGUACUUACAAGAGUUUGGAUUGAGAAAGAUGUUUCUUAUAAAUACUUGAGAGUGUUUGGGUGGAGAGCAUUUGUUCACAUCGUUAAAGAUGAGAGAUCGAAACUUGAUGAUAAAGCCAACGAAUGUAUUUUCUUAGGCUAUGUACACGAAGAAUUUGGGUACAGAUUAUGGGAUCCAAUGGCAAGAAAAUUAAUCAGAAGUAGAGAUGUUGUGUUUCUUGAAGAUCAGAUAGUUGGUGAUGAAGAGAAAAGCAAUGAGUCUCAGUCAUCUCCAGAGAUUCCUAUUAUUCCAACUUCAGUUUCUCCAUCUGCUAUUCAUGAUGAUCACGAGGGAGUUGAAGAGGAUAAUAAUGAUGGUCCAGCAGAAUCAAUUGACCAUGCAUCUCCAGAACCACUAAUACCACCACUUGAGCCAGAAUUGAGAAGAUCCACUAGAGAACGACAACCUUCCACUAGAUAUUCUCCACAUGAGUAUGUGAUGCUUACAGAUGGAGGAAAGCUAGAAUGUUUUGAAAAAUCUAUGUCUCAUCAACAUAAAAAUGAGUGGGUUAAAGCCAUGCAAGAGGAGAUAAGAUCCCUGAAUGAGAACCACACUUAUAAUUUAAUGAAACUGCCUAAGGCAAAAAGGGCACUGACAAACAAAUAGGUUUAUAGGUUGAAGACUGAAAAUAACUCACAACAGCGGUACAAUGCUAGAUUGGUUGUGAAGGGUUUCGGUUAGAAGAAAUGUAUUGAUUUUGAAGAAAUAUUUUCUCCUGUAGUGAAGAUGUCUUCUAUCCUAGUAAUUCUGGGAUUAAUAGCUAGCUUGAAUUUAAAGAUUGAACAGCUCGACGUAAAGACAGCUUUCUUACACAGUGACUCAGAAGAGGAAAUAUACAUAGAGCAACCUGAAGGGUUCAGUGUCAAAGGCAAAGAAGAACUUGUGUGCAAAUUGAAGAAAAGUUUGUACGGGCUAAAAUAGGCACUAAGGCAGUAGUACAAGAAGUUUGAUUCCUUUAUGAAGAAUCAUGGUUUCAGCAAGACUAUGUCUGACCAUUGCGUUUUUGUAAAAAAGUUUGGUGAUAAUGAUUUUAUUAUUCUUUUGCUUUAUGUGGAUGACAUGUUAAUUGUUAGCAAUGAUGCUAAUAAGGUUAACAAUCUGAAGAUAGAGCUUAACAAGUCUUUUGCAAUGAAGGACUUGAAAUCGACAAAUCAAAUUCUUGGCAUGAAGAUUUCCCAUGACAGAAAAAUUAGAAAGUUAUAGUUAUCUCAGGAAGCAUAUGCUGAAAAGGUUUUUGAAAGAUUUAACAUGGACAAGGCAAAAUCUGUUUGUUCUCACUUGCAGGCCAUUUCCAGCUUAGUUCUGAGAAUUGUUCUACAAGUGAGAAAGAGAAGUAAAAGAUGAAAGGAGUUCUUUAUGCUUCAGCAGUUGGUAGUUUGAUGUACGCCAUAGUUUGUACAAGACCAGAUAUUGCUCAUGCAGUAGGUGUAGUUAGCCGGUUUCUCUCCAAUCCGAGCAAAGAACACUGGACAACAGUAAAGUGGGUUCUCAGAUAUCUCAAAGGCACUUCCAAGGUUGUUUAUAUUUUGUUAGUGACAAACAUGCAUUACAAGUGUACACGGAUGCAGAUAUGGUAGGAGAUGUUAAUUUCAGAAAGUCCCUAUCAGGAUAUUUGCUUACCUUUGUAGGGGGAACGGUUUCAUGGCGGUCCAGACUUCAGCAAUGUGUUGCUUUAUCUAACACAGAAGCAUAGUAUAUUGCAAUCAAUAAAAGUUGCAAAGAAACCUUCUGGAUGAAGAACUUUUUACAAGAACUUUUUACACUGCUUGUUGUGUUGGAGAAGAAAAUAUUGUGGAUAUUUUACUUAAUUUAUGGAAAGGGGAUAUACCUGACACUGAAAAAUUGAAGGAAGAAAAGUGAAAAGAAGAAGAGAAUGCAGACCCUAGAACUCUGAGAACUGAAAUGUCUGAUUGUGAUAUAGAGCCAAUGUCGAUGCGCCUGAGGUGUGUUGCAUGAAGUAGUAAGAAGGCACAAUCUCGGGGUUAUUAAUUCACCAAAAAAGUUGGCGAUGUAUCAAUGAGUGUCAGGUAUCCCAGAGAAAACAAAAUCUCAGAAUGUUGACUUAUCUUAAAAGUUAUCCCUACUAAAAGGUGCUAAUCCAGAGAAAAUAGCUCGGGCUCAAAAUGAGAAAUCAACCGCCUCCAAAAAGUUUACACAAGCUUCCAUUGGAAAAUUGUGAGUCAGCAUGUGCAGUAUAUUAGAAAGUUUAUACUCUCUCAUAAGAUUUCAUGUUGGAAAUAUUCCAAUUUGGUUGCAAAAUAGGAGUUAGUUGUGGUGUUUGUAUAUGCUUCUUAUACUGAUUUGGAAUUUACUUUUCCAUUUCACAUUGCAGCACAAACUUCACAUUUGCUUCUGAAAAACAUAGGAGAUUACAUUGGACAGCUGAAGAAGGAGAUAUGCGGAAGGUAUGGAUUCAUGGUCAUUGCAACUGUUUGCUUUCAAUCAAAAUCACUGUGCUUGUGUUUCCAAAUUAUGUCCCUUUGUUUUGAUAUCUACUGUAAAUAAUGAUACUGAUUUCACCUAAUGAAAUAUUUGAAUCUGUAUUAAAUUGACAAUUGAUUCAAUUUCAUUUAGCGCAUUGGUGAAAUUAUUCUGUCUCUGACAGGGUUCCACCUUUACCUAAUAUUGUUUGAUUCCUUAAAAUCUUUCUUACAUUUCAAUUCGGGAGCUCAUUUCUAGAAUUUAGAAACUUUGCCUUCACUACUGCUUUGAAAUUGAAUUAUGAGAAAAGAAAAUAUGUGUGUGUGUGUGUAAUGCAUCUCAUGUUGUACAUUGUUUUCAUGUUUUUAUAUGCAAAUAAGAGUAAGAGCUAGAUUCGAAAAAGCUAAAUUGUUGUUGUGAUUCAGUCUUAAAUAUUCAAGAUGGAGUAGUGUGUUGAUUUAAUUUGCGGCUUGUUGAUAUCUACUCUUAUAUUGCGGGAAGGGGUGGACAAGUUUUCAACUAAAAUAAUUAAAAAUCUUUCUUGGAAAAAAGUUUUGGAAUUUGGUUGUCGUGUUUUUUAUCCUACUUGUACUCCAUCUGAUCUCAAGGAUAAACGGAGGAACAUUACGGCCAAAAAGUGCUCAGCAAUCAGCAGAAGGUAAUUUGGUCAUGUAUGACUCAAGAUGUAGAAGCUAGUCUUUUAAAAUCCUUAGAAGUUCAAAUAUGUGCUGUGCUUACGAGUACAUUCAGAAAUACAUCUCUCUUUCUCUCAGCUAUGUGGAAACUAUUGCUUCUGAAAUGGUUGGGUUGUCUAGGUUGAUCAAAAGAAACUCUGAGAUGUAAAGAAACUCUGAGGGGCAAUUCAAGGCGCAAAUCUUUACAGCUUCAUUUUUCAGAUUCAUGUGAUGCAGUAUGCUUCCAUGUUUUUUUUUUUAGUCUUUCAAUAUUAAUUUUGUUUGUCUUUGGACUCUCAAUAACAGAAAGUUUAAUCCAGCAGACUAUGACGGAACGUUUAAUCCGGCGGAGCCUCAGGCCGAUUCCUAUUCCUAAUAGGGCGAACUCCCCUGUACCUGAUCCUGGGCAUAAUGAACAAAGUUAAAAACCAGCAAGUGAAUGUUAUUAAGUCAUGAAGUAUAUGCUUUCAUUUCGAUCUUGCUUCUUCACAAUCUCAUUUUUUGUUCAAUUAAACAAAUUACAAAUAAAUGCUUUUUACUAGCUAUUAUGCCCCAUCUCUGGCCACCCCUCACCUUGCAAUUUCAACCAUUUUAAUUUAUUGUAUCAAUUUUAACACAUAUAUAUAAUUGGUAACCUGAUUGCUGGCAACGGAGAUUUAGAUUUCAUGAUCAAUAAAUACGCUUGGUAAGAAGGACCAAUUACGUAUGUAAAGAGUUAAUUUUAACUCAUUCACAUAAAAUAACUCGAAAUCUCCUCCUUAAUUCAUCUUAUGUGAUUGCAAUACGUCGAUUAAACAUUAAAGGCUGGAAAUCAAUAGAUGGAUUGGGGGCAAAGUUUGUACAUUUGGGGUCGGAACUUGAGUAAUUGUUUGCUUUACAGAGAGCAGGCAGUGAUGGAGAAGAAAAUUAAACAGGGGCUGGAUCUUGCCUUUUAUGUGAGGUAGCCGAGCCCUAACAUAUAAUUAAUGUUAUAUGGCUGUAUCUGUGAUUCAUGAUCUAAAUUGAUUGCUGUUAAUUUAGUCAAUCUUUUCUUUCUUCAACUGAAAAAAAGAGGUUUAAUCCGUCGCAGUGUAACCGGGAGACAGUUACAAGCACUACGCAUGUAUAAAAUAAUGAUGGAGCUUUCAAUUCUCUUGAAAGAAAAUUUAGUUGCUCAAUCUGGAUCCGUUUCAUGGAUUUUAAAAUUGGCUUUAAAUAAUAUGAAAAAAAAUAGGUUCUUAUAUUUUCUUCACCAAGAUCAUUUUAAAUGUUUAUGUUAAAUCUGAAAUUAAAUAAAAAUAUUUGAGGACAGUUAAAUUCGUCAAGUAAAUUAAAUAAUCUACCCAAAUAGAUUUUAAGUCUGGCUACACUUCUACAGUUGGGGGUUGGAAAAUCCUCUACUUUGCAAAUAUAAUUCAACACUACGUUAUGGUUUAACUUUGCAUUUUAAUACGUGCGACAAUGGCGAUUUCUUUUCAAUUUGGAUUCAGAUUCUCUUCAAAUAUCAUUUUUUUAAUUAAUUUUUUGAAAAUCUUGAGAUAAGUGGUAAUAUGAUUAUUGAAUGGCCAAAAAUUUUAUUGCUUUUGUUUUACAAAAUCAAUUUCUUAAAUUAGAAAAGUAAAAAUCAAUUUCUUAAAUGAGAAAAGUAAAAUAAUAAACUUCCAUGAACAAACCAAAUUCUUAUUUUUCAUUCACUAUUACCUUUUUUUUUUGCUAAUCCACUUUCCUUAGUUUUGUACCUUCAUCAUUUUCUCCUUUCGAGAUUGAGCAAUGGCAGCUAUGGGCAAGACAUCAACGACUAUUUAAAAACUAGAGCCAUAGGUAACAAAAGUGAUUAAGGAAUUGAAAUAUAAAGCCGUAGGGUAACACAGUUAAUUUAGUUUAGUAAAACUUCAAUAGACAACCAAGAAAAAGAGAAAGUACAUGUGUUUAACAUAUUGAUUGAUCAGCAAAAACACAACUAUUGUUUACCUCAGGUUUCACAAGACUUGGGAUGUCUAUCAACUGAGCUCAUCCCGUUUUGGAGUAAAACCCAAUAUGUAUAUGAAUAUAUACCAUGUAAUUAACACCAAGAAUACUUAUCCCCAGUCCAGAAGAAUAAUUGAAAUUAUAUGCUAAUAAUUGAUAUCUCCAUGAGCAAUGCAUAUGUACAGAAGAUCGGAAUUAUGGGAGGUCCUGGACCCCAAGCUUUGAAAAUGAGUAAGUGACCUUUAUCUACGUAAACUAUAUUCUUUAGCCCCUCAGUUUCAUAGUUCUCACAUAUUGCCAGCUGCGUUAUUAAAGUUUGUUGUUUCCAUAUGCCCCCGAAUGAAAAUUCUGGUUUCACCAUACUCAGUCACGAGAACAAUCAGCAGAUUUGAAAGGGCCAUUACUUACUAGUAUAUAACAUGCGUUGAUGGAAUGAGAUUUUUUUGUUUCUAGACUACUGUUAACUUAAAAAAAAAAAAGAAGAAUUGCGGAGCAUAUAUAUUAUAUGGUAACAUUAAUAAUUGGUUUAUUAAAUCAUGGUGAUUGUCAUAAAACUGAAAUAUUUGGUAGUACUUCAUGCGUUAUUGCAUUUAAAUGGGGCUGUACCGGGACAUUGAAAGAAUGAAACAAGUAAGUCAAGAACGUGAAGUAUGGAGCUGGUACCGGGAAUUUGAAUGAAUGCAACAUGUAAGUCAAGAACGUGCAAGACCUGCAAUCUUAGUCUCUUAGACAUACUGUUAUAUUUUCUAUUCAAACUUUAUUCAUAUACAUAUAAUCAAACUACAAAAAUCAACAUAAUCAAAUACUGAAGAUAUUCAUCAUGUAUUAAGUGAUGAUACAACCACAAACUCUUGUACAAACUGAUUUGACAUAAAUUUAUUGGUUGAAUGAAAAUACACAACAAUAAAAAUAGAUCAUGUGGGAUAAGAGAUAUUUAAUUCAAUUAAUUUUAUCAUGUCACCUCAGUUUGUACAACAUAAAUUUGUACAAGAGUUUGUGCCUAUAUUAUUACUCUUAUGUAUUUGUACGAUGCCCAAAUUUACCCUAUUUAUGUUUUAGGCUCUGGAAUUGAUGUUAUCGGCAAGAGCCCUUUUUUUUAAUAAUUAUUGGCAAGAGAUUUGAUCUAAUUAAUUUCAAAUUCCCUUAAUUAUUUUCUUUUGAACAUAAAUAAAAAUCUCAAAUGAUGCUUGAUUUAAAAAUAAAUAAAUAAACCUCAAAUUCCCUUAAUUAUUUUCUCUUAAAAAGCUUGCCUUUGUGGACAUUUAUCUGAAAUGGCUGCAAAAGAUCAGUAUCUACAGUGAUCAUACCCUUCUCACUAGAACAGGACCCACUGCAUUAACCAGGAUGAAAUGACUACAAAUUAACGAAUUAACAUGAAUUUAGUAUAUAUUUUAAUUAACUCUAUGGAAUAUCGUUUUACUUGGAAUUUUCUCAUAUACGUGCUAAUUUGUUUGUAAUAUAUGUGCACGUACGGAUGCUGUAUGUUUGAUGAGUAAUGAUAUAAAUAAGUGUAUAUAAAAUGAUAUGACAUGAAUAAAUUAAUUAUUUGUAUAAAAAUAUCAUAAACCUACAUAAGUAAAAUAUAUAUAUAUAUAUAUAUAUAUAUGUAAUCACCUCUUUCGAAGUAGCUGCAGUAGUUUCCUUUUGCCAAGUAUUUAGAUGCUCCUUUGAGAACUUCAAUUUCAAAGCCUGAACUUUUCCAAUUCCGAGUACAAUUAAUUUGAAGCUUGACUUCUGACUUCUGAUUUCUGAUUUCCUUCCUUCUCAGUGCUUGUAUAAAAGGAUAAGUAGUUUAAUUGUUUUAGCUGCAACCAAACACUUUCUCCAUUCCUUAUUGGAAUAACAAUUAUGUCGAGGUGCCAUGGAAGAAUAAAUGCGGCUGUCUCCACUUUGCUUAUUGCCUAUAUAGUUUUGUCAGUUUGCUCAUGCCCCUUGCUUAUAGAAGCCAGAAUUCAAAAUUUCUCGGCCAUCCAAGGUGCAAAUCAAUCUUCACAACUUCAAUUAAUUUCUUGUAAAUAUUAAUCACCGUUGAAUCAUUUAUAUAGUAAUUUUAUUUAUUAAUUAGUCUUUGCUUCGAAUUUCUAAUUAUAUAUGACAGGAAGUUCAGUUCAUCAAAGUGAGAAAGAAGGAUUAGACCAUCGGAGACGAAUGAGAGAAGCUCCCAAACAACAUUUUUCUCCGGUAGCCAAUCUGGGGGUCCACCACGAUCUGGCAGGGCCAUCGUUUUAUUCAACUAUUCGCAAUAGGGGGAAUAGGUGAAGCUGGAAGCAUGAACACCAGCAAAAAAAAAAAAAGCCAUAAAAAAUUAGUCCAAUAAUAAAGAUACUGCAACAUAAUUUGAAUUUCUGAAUUUUUACAUGCCUCUAUGAAAUGACUUCUAUUAACAAAUCUAAUAGUAAUGAUUUUAUGCUAGGAGCGUGAUAAUGGAAGCGAUCUAAGUGAAAGGAAUGCUAGAUUUAGCACAUCUGAUAUAUGUAGUAAUAUUACAUUAUAUUUAACAGCAAUAAUAUGACCAGUUUCAGGCAUGGUCAUCCAAUACUCUCUCCCUGGGUUAUUCUCAAAGUAUAAAAGUGAAUGAAUGUAACAAAUGCACGCUAAUUUUUCUAAUAAAGUGUAGUAUUUAAUUUUUCUCCUUCGAUAUUAAUUUUAAAUUUCGUUGGUUUUGUUUUGGAAUUUUUACAGCGAAGUUGAUGUGCUCGAUUUUUCUGACAUUGUGGGUGAAAGUUGUUAAAUGUUACAUAUUUAUAAAAUAUAUCGCGUUUGGAUUAUUUUAAAAUUAUCACGAUAUCAAAUUGUGACAAAUCAAGCACAAUUAAAAAUUUGGGUAAUCAGAUUUUAUUUCCAUCACGGGUCCGGUAUUAGCUUAAUUUGUAUUAAGCUUAAGUGCCAAAAAAAAAAAAAGAAGAAGCUGGUUUCUAUAAAUGGGAAGGGGGAAGCAAAUUUCCAAAAGAGGAAAGAGAGAGGGGCACGUGAGAGAGAAGGGGUAAGAGAGAAAUUGACCCGUUUAGCCGGAUCCGAGCCGCAUCCUUGACCCGGCUCCAGCUGUUGAUUCCGGCCACCUCACCGGCCGAGCUUGGUACCGAUUUGAAGCUUGAGCGACUCCGGUCGCUGACAUCGUCACCGGAAAGUAGCCAGCACGCCGGCGAUCGAAGCUUGAAAGACCGCGGCUCAACCCGUUUUCGGCACCGUCAAUCUCAUCGGAAUUAGGUUGCACCACCGGUUGGGUUCGACUCCUCACGUCGCUAGCUUUCAUUUCCGACCAACCCCGCCACCUGAAACCUCCGUUUUGGCCGUGAACGACCGCCGGAAAGCUCACGGAUUUGGGAGCAUGAUCCGCCGCCAUCACCGCGCGUGUAAGGUCACCGCCGGCACCUUUGGACUCACCGAGGUCUGAAAUAUCAGACCUAAGCUUCCCGUCGUCGUUGACUAAGUCUGGUCACCGUUGACCGGCAGGGUCAAUUCGGUAAUUUUACAAGACUUUGGGGUAAAUUUGUAAUUUGAAGAAAUGAUGGAUAAAUUGGUAAUUUCAUAUUAGGGCAGUGAGGUAAUUUAAGAUUUUGGGGGUAAUUCAGUAAUUUACGUUGUUAAGGACAUUUUGGUAAAUUUACACUCCGAGGGUAAUUUCGUAAUUUCUUACAUUGUGGUUAUUUUUAUAAUCUGAAUUGAGGUUAGCUUGGUAAUUUAAGAUUACGAGGAUAAUUGGGUAAGUAUUGAUGUCGGGGACAUUUUGGUAAUUUUGGCAUGCAUGGGUAUUUUGGUAAUUUGAGGCAUACAAGAAUAGUUGAUUAUGAAUGAAUAUUUGUUUCGAGCUCUAAUGCGUAAUAUUAGUUGUAUUUCACAUUUACGGAAAAAUAAUUAUGUCGUUUACUUGAUUACAAGGACCUGCGAACAAGAAUCAACUCGUGGACACUGUUGAUACCGAGUUUGAACAUCGUCAUUAUGAGUGGAAUAUACAAAACUUAUUUUCAUAGUAUAUUCUGAUUUUACCAUACAGUACAACAUAUUUUGAUAAUAAGUAUUUGAUGCUUCGAUUUAAUGAUUUUUUAGAAAAUUGAUUUUUUUUUAUCUCCGUGCUGAUAUUUAUUGUUAUUAAGAAUGAGUUUGAUUAAUGAUUUUAUUGUCGUUUUUGAGUAAAUGCAUGAUAUUAGAAUUCAGUGGAUUUGAGAUAUGUUAAAUAAAAAGGAAAUGUGAUUAUAUGUUUAUGUACAUGUGUAUAAAAAGUUGUUUGGAAAAUCAUUGGACAGUACCUUUCUCCUUUAGAUACAGAGAUACAAAUUAUAUGAGAUGAAUCACGGAUUUGGGAGCAUGAUCCGCCGCCAUCACCGCGCGUGUAAGGUCACCGCCGGCACCUUUGGACUCACCGAGGUCUGAAAUAUCAGACCUAAGCUUCCCGUCGUCGUUGACUAAGUCUGGUCACCGUUGACCGGCAGGGUCAAUUCGGUAAUUUUACAAGACUUUGGGGUAAAUUUGUAAUUUGAAGAAAUGAUGGAUAAAUUGGUAAUUUCAUAUUAGGGCAGUGAGGUAAUUUAAGAUUUUGGGGGUAAUUCAGUAAUUUACGUUGUUAAGGACAUUUUGGUAAAUUUACACUCCGAGGGUAAUUUCGUAAUUUCUUACAUUGUGGUUAUUUUUAUAAUCUGAAUUGAGGUUAGCUUGGUAAUUUAAGAUUACGAGGAUAAUUGGGUAAGUAUUGAUGUCGGGGACAUUUUGGUAAUUUUGGCAUGCAUGGGUAUUUUGGUAAUUUGAGGCAUACAAGAAUAGUUGAUUAUGAAUGAAUAUUUGUUUCGAGCUCUAAUGCGUAAUAUUAGUUGUAUUUCACAUUUACGGAAAAAUAAUUAUGUCGUUUACUUGAUUACAAGGACCUGCGAACAAGAAUCAACUCGUGGACACUGUUGAUACCGAGUUUGAACAUCGUCAUUAUGAGUGGAAUAUACAAAACUUAUUUUCAUAGUAUAUUCUGAUUUUACCAUACAGUACAACAUAUUUUGAUAAUAAGUAUUUGAUGCUUCGAUUUAAUGAUUUUUUAGAAAAUUGAUUUUUUUUUAUCUCCGUGCUGAUAUUUAUUGUUAUUAAGAAUGAGUUUGAUUAAUGAUUUUAUUGUCGUUUUUGAGUAAAUGCAUGAUAUUAGAAUUCAGUGGAUUUGAGAUAUGUUAAAUAAAAAGGAAAUGUGAUUAUAUGUUUAUGUACAUGUGUAUAAAAAGUUGUUUGGAAAAUCAUUGGACAGUACCUUUCUCCUUUAGAUACAGAGAUACAAAUUAUAUGAGAUGAAUAUAGUGAUACAGAUAAUAUUAGAUGAGAGGCCUUUGGGGCCCGUCUAAACAUACACAAAGACUUUGGGCCGUGUGGUCGGGCGCUUUUGCCUUUUGGAGGCUUAUGCAUGCAGUAUGAUAAUCACAGAGAUGCAGAUGUUGAGAUAUAUGAGAUAUGAGAUGACAUUUCCCCGUCUAUCCGUUGUAGCUCCGAGGCAUGAUGGUUCCUUGAUUGCUCGUCCGUUGAGGUCUGGAUAUGAUGAGAUUAUUCCCCUUGGUACUUGUUUGAUGAUAGUUUUUAGUAUUCAAUAUUUGAUGUUAUAAGUGUUAUGAUUUCAUUGAUUUUAUGCAGAUUUCUAUAAUAUAGUGAUUUCAGUGCAUGAUUUGAUUUGAAUUAAAUAUGUUUAUGUAAGUUCUUAUGAUAUUUUGAUGAAAUUGAUUUGAGAAAGAUUAAAUCAUUUUAAAUAAAUUUAUUUUUCAAAAACUAUUAUCCACUCACGGAGCUCACUGAGUUUUAUACUCACCCCGUUUUUAUUAUAUUUUUCCCCCCAUAGGAGAUUUACAGGUACAUCAGUCAACCCAGCAACGAUAGUUAGAUUUGAAAUUGUGGCCACGUGAUGGUGCUAGGAGUUGUAGAUUUAAUAUUUUGAUAUUUGGGAUAUUGCGAAUUGUAUUAUUUAUUAUAUUUUGAAAUUAAGGAUAACUAUUGUAUUUUAAUAUUAGAAUGAUUUGAGUGUUGUUUGGUAUGUUGAUUUGAGGAAGUUGGUUGUGGAGGUUGAUUGAAUAUUGUAUUAUUUUUUUGGAGUGUUAAUUUCAUAAAUUGCAGGUUUGGAGAUGUUAUAUUUAUAAGGGAGAUUUUGCUGAAUUUUUGGUAGAAUUUUUAGAUAUAAGAAUUAUUAUUAGUUCGAUUAAGCGAGAUUAGAUAGACUCAUCCUGAAAAUUCGAGGCAGGUCGUUUCAAUGAAGUACCUCCUCUGCUCUACCAGCAUAUUCAAAGACUCUUUUAUAAUCAUCAAAGUGACUUUGUAACUCAACAACUAGGUCUUUCCUGACAUGUGCCCAGUUAUCCUCCCCAAUACCUAUUAGGUCAGCCGCUGCCCGAAAUCCCCAAUUACCAUCUGCAGCAACAUCUCUAACGCCACAAAUAUAAGGCCUCAAUCCAAAUAGAAAUGAAUCAAUAUAAGAAGCAUGAUUUGGUGCUUUUGCUCGAGAAACACUCAUUUUUCGUUGCCAUUUUAGUUUUUUUGUAGUUGUACUUGAAGACAAAAAAAAAAGAGGUUUAAUCCGUCGCAGUGUAACCCAGAGACAGUUACAAGCACUAUGCAUGUAUAAAAUAAUGAUGGAGCUUUCAAUUCUCUUGAAAGAAAAUUUAGUUGCUCAAUCUGGAUCCGUAUGAUGGAUUUUAAAAUUGGCCUUAAAUAAAAUGAAAAAAUAGGUUCUUAUAUUUUCUUCACCAAGAUCAUUUUAAAUGUGUAUGUUAAAUCUGAAAUUAAAUAAAAAUAUUUGAGGACAAUUAAAUUCGUCAAGUAAAUUAAAUCUACCCAAAUAGAUUUUAAGUCUGGCUACAAUUCUACAGAUGGGGGUUGGAAAAUCCUCUACUUUGCAUUUUAAUUCUUGCGAAAAUGGCCAUUUCUUUUCAAUUUGGAUUCAGAUUCUCUUCUAAUAUCAAUUUUUUUAAUUUUUUGAAAAUCUUGAGACAAGUGGUAAUAUGAUUAUUGAAUGGCCAAAAAAUUAAUUUCUUAAAUUAGAAAAGUAAAAAUCAAUUUCUUAAAUGAGAAAAGUAAAAUAAUAAACUUUCGUGAACAAACCAAAUUCUUCUUUUUCAUUCACUAUUACUUUUUUUUUGCUAAUCCACUUUCCUUAGUUUUGUACCUUCAUCAUCUUCUCCUUUCGAGAUUGAGCAAUGACAGCUAUGGGCAAGACAUCAACGAAUAUUUAAAAACUAGAGCCAUAGGUAACAAAAGUGAUUAAGGAAUUGAAAUAUAAAGCCGUAGGGUAACACAGUUAAUUUAGUUUAGUAAAACUUCAAUAGACAAACAAGAAAAAGAGAAAGUACAUGUGUUUAAAAUAUUGAUUGAUCAGCAAAAACACAAAUAUUGUUUACCUCAGGUUUUACAAGACUUGGGAUGUCUAUCAACUGAGCUCAUCCCGUUUUGGAGUAAAACUCAAUAUGUAUAUGAAUAUAUACCAUGUAAUUAACACCAAGAAUACUUAUCUCCAAUCCACAAGAAUAAUUCAAAUUAUUUGCUGAUAAUUGAUAUCUCCAUGAGCAAUGCAUUUGUACAGAAGAUCGGAAUUAUGGGAGGUCCUGGACCCCAAGCUUUGAAAAUGAGUAAGUGACCUUUAUCUACGUAAACUAUAUUCUUUAGCCCCUCAGUUUCAUAGUUCUCACAUAUUGCCAGCUGCGUUAAUAAAGUUUGUUGUUUCCAUAUGCCCCGAAUGAAAAUUCUGGUUUCACCACACUCAGUCACGAGAACAAUCAGCAGAUUUGAAAGGGCCAUUACUUACUAGUAUAUAACAUGCGUUGAUGGAAUGAGAUUUUUUUGUUUCUAGACUACUGUUAACUUAAAAAAAAAAAAGAAGAAUUGCGGAGCAUAUAUAUUAUAUGGUAACAUUAAUAAUUGGUUUAUUAAAUCAUGGUGAUUGUCAUAAAACUGAAAUAUUUGGUAGUACUUCAUGCGUUAUUGCAUUUAAAUGGGGCUGUACCGGGACAUUGAAAGAAUGAAACAAGUAAGUCAAGAAGGCGAAAUAUGGAGCUGGUACCGGGACUUGGAAUGAAUGCAACAUGUAAGUCAAGAACGUGCAAGAACUGCCAUCUUAGUCUCCUAGACUUAUUGUUACAUUUUCCAUGUAACUGCGUAAUCAUCAUUUCCAAGGAAAAAUUUUGUGUAGUUGAAGGGUCCACACAAAAUAGUAAGGGGUCGACGGCAUUGGCACUGCAAUUUAAUCUUAUUCAAUGAUAUUCAAGGGAUCUUGUGUAUCACAUCGUCUGUUAUUCCAAUAAGUUCAUAGGAUUAUAUCUGUCACAUCAUUUGUGGUUCCAAUCAAUUGAAGGGAUCAUAAUUGUCAUUUUCCUAAUUAAAAUCGCAGCUAUGUAUGUAAUCAAGGAUUUAUUACAGCAUCUGUGAGAACUGAUAAAGAAAUGUAUGAUGAAUUGGUUUCAGACCAUAUACGAAAAAGUCCUUCGCAUAAAGAUUGAAAAUAACGUCACCAUUUAAUGAGGAAUUAUAGAUUACUAUAUAUGGAUGUAUCAAUCUCAACCCUGGCAAAGAGUCCCUCCAGCUGGUCCCGUAUGUCUCUGGCACGCUUCAUACUGCUGACCUGAAUAUAAUUCUCACGACACCACUCUGUUGAGUAAUUACAUUCCCUCCAACAAUUGUAAACCCUUAGCAAAGCAAUGCGAUCCCCAACAUCUCCCAAGUGGAAGUUCAUUCUUGCAUUGUCUGCAUAUAUUUGCUUGUCCUUUGGACGAUAGAAUAUUGAAUUUCCAACAAAAAGCAUUGCAGCAAUGGUGAUAAUCUCAUCCGAACACUUGUAUUUAUCUAAGGAAACUAUUGUUUUAGAUAGCUUAGGAUCAAUAGGAAACUCAGCCAUCUGCCUGCCAACUCUAGUUAGCUGACCAGCUUUAUUUAAUGCCCCGAGAGCAUAAAGCAGCUCAAAGGCUUUGAGUAGUGCCUCCUCUAGUGGCGGGUCUAUGAAAUCAAAAUUUACCAAGACAUUUGAGAACAAGGACAACAUUUUCCAGAUUAGUUCGUUGUAUUUCUGGCACAGUAUUGUCAUCCAUAUCCUGUGAUAAUUGUGCAGAGUGUACAACCGAAAGCAUUUUCCUGGACCUGUUCUUUCGGAGAGACCUGUACGUUGAUUAGCUGAAGCUUUAGAGAUGGGGUUUACUAACAAUGACUCCAUUCCGGUCUUUGGAUUAUAUGAUUUCACCUUGGCAAAACCUGGAUGAAUAACAUACUUAAUUCCAUCUAUUGUCAAUGAAGUUUCAGCAAUAUUUGUCGCAAGAACAACUUUCCGAGCCCUCUCUGGUGUAGGUUCAAAUAUUUUUGCUUGAAGCUCAGUUGGUAGGUUUGCAUAAAUGGGGCAGAUAAUCAAUUCAGCUAUUUUGGUUCCCAAGCCCCUCGUCCUCUGCUUCAAAAUCUCCUCCGCUCUUUCAAUUUCAUCCUGACCAGUGAGGAAGACCAGAAUAUCUCCAGUAGGCUCAUUUACAUGGAUCUGUAGCGCGGUGACAAUAGCUGCUUCUAUAUAAUCAACUUCAGGCGCUUUCGUAUAAAAAAGUUCAACAGGAUAUCUCCUCCCUGGAAUUUUGAAAAUUGGUGCUGAACCAAAGUAAUCGCUAAACUUCUCUGCAUCAAGUGUUGCACUUGAGAUAAGCAACUUGAGAUCUGGUCGGUAGUUGAUUAAAUCCUUUAGUAGUCCAAACAAAUUAUCAGUUGACAAGGUUCUUUCUUGAGCCUCGUCCACUAUCAACACACUGUAGCUCUCUAGACUUGGUUCAAUUACAAUCUCUCGCAAUAGCAUACAAUCCGUCAUGUACUUCAAGACAGUCUUAUCUGAAGUGCAAUCUUCGAAACGAAUGGAAUAACCAACCUCAUGCCCAAGCUUGACACCCAUUUCCUGAGAAACUCGAGCAGCAACACUCAUGGCGGCAACCCACCGCGGCUGAGUGCAUCAAAUCUUUCCCUGCUUGGUGUAACCAGCCUCAUAAAGAUAUUGAGGUAUCUGUGUAGUCUUCCCAGAACCUGUUUCUCCAACUAUAGCAAGGACCGGAUAUCCACUAACAGCUUGAAGCAGUUCCUCCCAAAAUGGAUAGAUAGGUAAAGUUUUUCUCUCCUCCUGAAGCAUCUCUAAGGUUGAUUUCACCACGGACUUGUUAGGUAACUCGCUUUCAAACUCAUCAAAAUUGUCACCAUCAAACACAGAUUCACUAAAAAAGUCAACAAUCUUGUCCUCAAUCUCAAACGUACACUGAUAAUCAUCAGAUUGCUGCUUUUUUAUUUUUUGAACCGUAUUUCAAGUUUGCCUUUUCCCUUUGUUGUUUCUCCCAGGCAUCAAAUGGGUUCAUUUUGUCCCUAUCACUCUCAUGACUACAGCACUGCAAACCCGCCAUUUUUGGCAAGUAUUUUGUCAUGCGCCCUUGGAAAAAAAAAAAAAGGAGCCAAACGUGGUUGAUUUCAAAAGCAACAGCCAGCUGCCUACUUCACCACUUCUCCACAUGCCAACUUCACUCCUUGCUUGCCACAUGCAUAUUUCACCUGCAUGCUUCACUCGUGAGUCGAUGGCCGUGUACAUAUAAUUUGAAAUAAUUGAAAGCAGCUCUCAUUUGUGCUUCCAUUUUCGAAGUGAAAGCAAAACCGAGAGAAGAAAAGAAGAAAAAUCGAGAGAAAAGAGAAGAUGAAAGAGAAGGAAAAAGAAAAGAAAACAAAUAGAAAGAAGCCGAGUAUAGGAGAUGAAGUGGAAUUAAGAGGAAAUAUUACAGAAAUUAGUGUUGAAAAAAUAGCAUAUCAUGCUAUUUUGAGGGCACAUUUUGAGUGGGCUCCACUUAACGAAAGUGGAAAAUCUUAUGAGGUUCGGAUUCUACUCCAUUGAUACUUCAAAAGUAUAAUCUUAUUUUCUCAAAUUGGUGCUUGGGUGAAUGAGAAAUUAUCUCUCAAAGUUCACCCUUGAAGUUGGAAAUUUAAAAGGAAAUGAGACUUAUCCCACAUGGAAAAACGAAGCCUUGGGAUUAGUGUUUAUAUAUAAACACCUAACCAUGCAUAAGUAAGAAUUAUAAGGAUAGAGGCUCUCUUCACACGCGCGUGCGUGGGUGGGGGGUGCAAAUCCAAGACCGAUUUGGUUGAACUCAUGUGAUGUCAGCCUAAAAUCAUUCAUGCAAGCUUGGCACGUUUUGAAUUUUUUAUUGUAAUAGUUUCACUUUGAAUUAAUUGUAAUAGUUUCACAUUUUGAAUUCAAAGGAUUUGUAACAGUUUCAACAAUUAUUUCUUAGCUGUUAUAUAAUCCAACUUUUUUUUAAGUUCAAUUUUGAAAUCAAUUCAUUGAAUUGAUUUGGCUGUUAUAACAAUUAAAUAAAACAUAUUGAAUUCGGAAAUUCAAUACAAAGCAGCUGUUACAUCCUCACAUGAGUAUAAAAAGGCACCUCCUCUUCUGUUUUUAGACACUAAAAAAAACCAGUACAAAGCAAACUUGUUUUUCCUUCCUCCUUCUUCGUUGUCUGUUUUCUCUGAUUGAGUUCGCUGUUGUGGUUCGCCGGAAUUUCCAGCCUGUGCUUAGCCAGAAAUUCGUACCUGUUGUAUCCUGAGAAACAGUUACCAGCAGACCUAAAGCACUCCAGUAGGUGGUAAAUCUGUUUUAAGGAUACUGCCCUGUGCAGGCCUCGGGUUCCAUUUUAUUUUUCUGUUUUGGUUUCCUUUCUCUUCUGUUUUGCUCUCUAUUUUCAUUUGACAUUUCCAGUAGCUAGUUUUCGUUGUUUAGCUACUGUAUAAAUUGUUAUCUCACUGUGUUUGUUUUUUGUAACAAUUAGAACUAGACGUUAGAUUUAUAUUAAGUGAGUUAGUGGGUAAUAGAUUUAUGAAAUCCAAGCAGCUACGAUUUAAUUUACAUUAUACGUACAAGUUUUUAUAUCAGUUCUAACUAUUAAUUUUUUAAUCUCAUAUUCUAGGAGAAAUCCACGAGUCUAGAGACCCACAACAACCCCAACGAACCUUGAAGUGAAACAUGAUAUGUGAGUGGAUAUUAUUAUUACUAUUAUGUGUUCCGUGAAGCAUUUAUGUUUGAUAGUAUGAAUUCAUAUCAUGGUAUGAUUAUAUGUACGCAUAUUAUAUGUUUGAUUGAGUCAUGUGAUGUGAUUGCUAGACACCAUAUAUGUACCAUUCCCCACAGACUUUGCGCAUGCAUAUUGAGAGUUAGGUUACUCUACCCAUGCGAGAUAGUUUAAUUACGCCAAGUAUUGAGAGGCUUUGCCCCGCUCCACUCGUGCGAUGAUGUUCCCGACAAGUAUUGAGAGUUAUUCCCCCUGGGUAUUUGGUGCAAUUUGUGAUGUAUGUAUUAUGAAUUCCAUGUCUACUAAAGCAUGAUGUUCAGUGUGGAGUUAAAUCACAUGAUUAUACAUAUGCACUAGUACACUAUUUUAUUAUUAUAUUUAUUAUUUUUAAUAAAUAAUUACAUCCACUCACUGAGCCGCAAGCUCAAUAUUUUCCUAUUUACCUACUUUCUCCCAGGUCCGCAGGAUUUCAUGCAAAUUUUGAUUAGAGUUUGUUGUGCAAAUUUUAUUGAACUCACAAGUGCACGAAUCUAUUGUAGAAUAGAUUAAUGGAGACGAGUGUCGAUCCCACGAGGAGGUGGAUUUUAAUUAUAUGUAGAAUUAAUUUUCUAUGAGGGUGGUUGGAUUUAUGGUGAAAAUGAUUUGGAUUAUCCUAAAAUUCGAAUUAAGAUGGCAAGAGUAAAUUGAAGUGAAAAUCUAUUAAAUUGACGUACUUGGGUAUCUGGAUCCGUAUCAACAUGCACCAUGGGCUAAAUACUCCUUAUUAAUACCAAUUAAAUCAUGAUGGUUUCCUUUCUCUUCUGUUUUGCUCUCUAUUUUCAUUUGACAUUUCCAGUAGCUAGUUUUCGUUGUUUAGCUACUGUAUAAAUUGUUAUCUCACUGUGUUUGUUUUUUGUAACAAUUAGAACUAGACGUUAGAUUUAUAUUAAGUGAGUUAGUGGGUAAUAGAUUUAUGAAAUCCAAGCAGCUACGAUUUAAUUUACAUUAUACGUACAAGUUUUUAUAUCAGUUCUAACUAUUAAUUUUUUAAUCUCAUAUUCUAGGAGAAAUCCACGAGUCUAGAGACCCACAACAACCCCAACGAACCUUGAAGUGAAACAUGAUAUGUGAGUGGAUAUUAUUAUUACUAUUAUGUGUUCCGUGAAGCAUUUAUGUUUGAUAGUAUGAAUUCAUAUCAUGGUAUGAUUAUAUGUACGCAUAUUAUAUGUUUGAUUGAGUCAUGUGAUGUGAUUGCUAGACACCAUAUAUGUACCAUUCCCCACAGACUUUGCGCAUGCAUAUUGAGAGUUAGGUUACUCUACCCAUGCGAGAUAGUUUAAUUACGCCAAGUAUUGAGAGGCUUUGCCCCGCUCCACUCGUGCGAUGAUGUUCCCGACAAGUAUUGAGAGUUAUUCCCCCUGGGUAUUUGGUGCAAUUUGUGAUGUAUGUAUUAUGAAUUCCAUGUCUACUAAAGCAUGAUGUUCAGUGUGGAGUUAAAUCACAUGAUUAUACAUAUGCACUAGUACACUAUUUUAUUAUUAUAUUUAUUAUUUUUAAUAAAUAAUUACAUCCACUCACUGAGCCGCAAGCUCAAUAUUUUCCUAUUUACCUACUUUCUCCCAGGUCCGCAGGAUUUCAUGCAAAUUUUGAUUAGAGUUUGUUGUGCAAAUUUUAUUGAACUCACAAGUGCACGAAUCUAUUGUAGAAUAGAUUAAUGGAGACGAGUGUCGAUCCCACGAGGAGGUGGAUUUUAAUUAUAUGUAGAAUUAAUUUUCUAUGAGGGUGGUUGGAUUUAUGGUGAAAAUGAUUUGGAUUAUCCUAAAAUUCGAAUUAAGAUGGCAAGAGUAAAUUGAAGUGAAAAUCUAUUAAAUUGACGUACUUGGGUAUCUGGAUCCGUAUCAACAUGCACCAUGGGCUAAAUACUCCUUAUUAAUACCAAUUAAAUCAUGAGGGGGGAAUCCACACCUCAUGAACCACACUCUAAUCAAUAUGAUGCUAAGGGCUUAUCGUGCCAAAUAAUAAUAACCUUGUACUAGGGAGCCGAUGUAACCAGGGGGUAUCUAGAUAAGAUUAUUAUUAUUUGUCGACGAAAAGUCAAAUCAUCCACAAAAAUUAGAGGGGAAAAGAAAAUAAAUUUACUAAAUAAAGCCCAUGACACAUGUUGAGAUUUCACCUUCAACCCAAUCUUGAAAGAAAAUUAGCUACUCAUGAUUGAACUAGGGGUAAAAUGGGAAUUUAUUAAAAUAUAUAGAAAAUACAAGAUGGAGAAGGAAUUACAAAAAAUGGAUCCCAAAAAUGAAUUCAGAGCUAUCAAAUUAGGGGGGGAGGCCCCCUUUUUAUAGAUACAUUGAGUAAAUCGUGGCGAUCGGAUUAAAAACAGUUUGGACACUCAGGAUUGCGCCACGUCAUCAGUCAACAGUACACGGUUUGACCACGCGGGUGAAUAAUAACACGGUUUGACCCGGGUUGAACUGUGACGCGGUUUGGUUGAAAAUAAUCUUGUGUAAUGCAUGUACCGUACGCUAGAUUUUUGGUCCACUAAUAUGCUGCCACGUCAUCGAUCAACAGUGUAUAAGAAUUUUAGUCCAACAGGAUCGUGACACCUCAUCAGUCAAUGCCACAUCAUUUGUCAAUGCCACGUCAUCGAUCCGUCUAUGUGAACAGUGUAGUGAACAGUAACGUAGAUAGUAAUGUACAUGUGAAUAGUACCGUACAUGUGAACAAUGCCAUUUUUCCUUUUAUGCUCCUCCUAAAGUUUUCGACCGUCCUGAGUUCAAAAGUGAUGUCUAUUUUGCCGUCUGAUCUCUCGUUUAUUGUGAAAUGACUAUGAUGCCCCUAAAAUACAUAAAAUACUUAAUUAAAAUAAAACACACAUAAUUAAAUUACAAGAAACUUAAAUACAUAAAAAUAAGGGUUGUUAGUAAGGCUUGAAAUGUAAAAUGAUAAUUUUCUCCUUUAUAAAUAUGCAUUUUCUAACACUCAACACACCCCCCAACCAACUUAUUGCUAGUCCCUAGCAAAUAAAGCGAAAACAAAAUUCAAAUCCAAAAUGAUUUUUUUUUAACAAUCAUGUUUAUUCAAUCAGACUAAUGAUAGUAAUCAAAUAAAAGUAUAAGCAUUAUCUUCAGUCUAAAGAAACAUCACACCCAUAUCAACCAUCCACAUGAAUCAGACCAGUAGACUUUGUUACAGCUACUUUCAAGAAUGACAUGUUAAACCCCAAAAUCUCACUGGAUAUAGUGACACUCUCACAAAGAAACUAUACCCAAUAAAAAUAGUCACUGCAAUGAAUGGUAAUUGAGAGAAAAUAAUAAAGAAGUGAUAUCACAUGCUCUCACCAAAAUAAAAGAAAUAUGCCCUCAGUUUAGAAAUAAUACGAUCUCAAGUCAAAUAAAAAUGCUAGUCAACCCAAUUUAUUUAUUUAUUUAUUUUUUAUGCACCACUACAUUUUUUUAGCCCAUAUAACUAGCUUUUACUUCAUAUUAUAGUUCCCUAAAAUCAAGAAGGACUUUUAUUAGGACGUAACGUAGGUUAGGGACAUGGCUAACAAAGGAAGGAAAAUAAGGAAAACAAAGUGUAUAUUUGAUAAAUAUAUAGAGAUUUUUUUUUGAAGUUGCAAGGUGGGUUUCACCUAUUAUUGUUUUUUUUAAACAAUAAUUUUUUUUCUCUUUUUUUUUGUUUGGCACAACUUCACUGAACAAAAUAAUUAUUUACAUUUUUCUCAAACAUAAAUAGGUGAUGAAACAUGUAAAAUAUUGGGUAAUACUCCAAAUCGGAGUGGGUUAAGAUGAUAAGUUUGACAAAGAAAAUAUUUUUUUUAAAGGCUCAAAAGGGUUAACUAUGGAUAUUUCAUAAAAGGGAUGGCUAGAAAGGCUCAAACGGAUCAAAGAUGGCCUUUCCACCAUCUUUUAGGGGUCUAAAUAAUCUUCCAUAUCUACUAGUUAGAUGGGCCUCCAAAUGUAGCAACACACAUUUUUUCUCUUUUUUUUUUUUACAAAUUUUUUUAAGGGUUAACUCAAAAGAAAUCUAAAGAUCGUGUAUAAAAUAAUAAACUGCUAAGAUGUAUAAAGAAUGGGCAAAAGGGUUACUCUCCAAGAAAAAUAAUAGGCUAAAAAACUCACUUGGUACUUAUUAUGACAUGUUUAUUCCUUCAAGCAACUCAUAUUUGUCUCUGACAUCAACGUGUAGAGCAGCAAACAUAGCGUAACAUCACUUCAGACCAAAGAUAAUACAAAUACUAAAAUUUGAAAUUCAUCAUGUCAUCCAAUGUUAAAACAAAUCACACAAUUUUUUUUUUAAACAACAUCCUACCCCCUAACCUAUUCUAAACAUGAAAGGAAAAUAUACAGGCAGAGAUGUGAAAAUGAUGCCGAAAAACUAAAUAGAGAAUGAUAGAAAACAAAAAUGGUUUUUUUUUUUAACUUAAGAAGAUGUGUUUCUAGAGGCACUACACUCCAUAUUCAGCCAUCUUCGACUCAAAAAAAAAAUUAAAAAUGUAUAUUUAUAAAGGAGAAAUUAAAAAGAAUAUGAAAAAUGAACAUAAAAACAUAAUAAAGAAAAAGAAAAUGUCUGAAUUUUUUUUUUUUUUCAAAGGAUGAAGAUGCGUUCUAGAGUCACUACACUCCAUAUUCAGCCAUCUUCAAUACAAAAAGUUAGCAACAGUUAGUUUUUACAGCAAAACAAAAUCAGUAAAAACUUAACCAAGAUUCCACAAUUAUCGACUAUUCCCUCCCCCCAACCAGAACGAAAUAUUGUCCUUAAUAUUUUAAAGGAAAGAAGUAGAGUUUAGAAGACAUCACCUGGGUGGUGCAACACAGAAGAAAAUAUUUACAAGCAGAGAGUUAAAUCUAAUUUGUACUUCUUACUGCAGUUACUGUUACCAUCAUUAUUUGGACGCUCCAACACAAAGGUCCAAGGGUCUGGCUCCGGUCUAUAAGCUUGUAACAGAUCAAGUAGCUCAUUAGCAGUGUGAGCACGAAUAAAAAGCUUUUUGGCAUUGGAAGGAACGAAAUAAUUUUUUAUUGCAUGGUUAAGAAAUGCGAUAAAGCCAUCAUAAAAAUUAUUGACAUUUAACAAACCAAUGGGUUUCUGGUGAAUGUGCAGAUGGGCCCAAGAUGCUAGUGUGAUAAGUGCCUCUAGUGUUGUAAGAUCUCCUGGAAGGAAAAUAAAAGCAACAGCAUGAUUAAGCAUUUCAGUUAUUCUUUUUUACAUACCUGAGACGACUAACUCUUCUCCAGUUGGUGAGUCAGACAAGCUGCCCAAAGGUUUUAGGACUCUUGGGAUGAUGCCUAACACUUGGCUUCCUCUGACAAAAGCAGCUUCUGAGACCAAUUUUGAUAACCCUCGGUUACCUCCUCCAUACACCAAGUGUAAUUUUCUCUCUGCUAUGCUUCGACCAAGAUCUACGGCUGCCUCAACGAACUCUUUAUGUUUGCCAUAGUUAAAUCCAGAAAGCACACAAAUGUUCUUGAAUUAUCUAUUGGGAGUAGCUGCCAUUGGAAUAUUUCUCAAAAAUAAUUUGUGAGUGCUUAAAAAAAAGUCUUAUUUAAGAAUCUUGGUGACAGUGGAUCACAACUAUGUAUGAGGUGGCAUGUCAGUGUCAAAUAACGCGUAAAACACAUGGCUCGGGAGUCAAAAAGGAAAUAGUAAAACGAAAAAGAAACAAUGAUAAAAUAAAAUUAUUAAAGACAAUAAUGCAAAUGGUAAAACAACGGUGAAAUAAAAUAACAGUGAAGUAAAGGAUAUUUACAGGUAGUUGCGACUGUGGCUCAUAUCUUCCUCUGGUUUUACGUCCAGAAACAGCUUGAACGCCCUCUAUGGGUCGAGGAUAGGCUUCCCAUCCAGUUUUCUUUUAAACUGGCAAAUAUGGUCGUUUAUAGUCAGAUUCCCGCGACUAUAUCAUGCAUGCUCUUUCUGGAAUAGUGGCCAUAACUGGAGAAUCGCUCCUUGCACAUAUCCACUGGGAUGCGUUUCAAGAGACAAAAGAAUAUCAUUCAAUGACUCCUUAUUCGAGCCAUCCCUAAUGAAUUGAAUCUUAUCUUCCCUAUUAUCAGACACCAUUCCUAAAGAACAUGGGUUUUUAUUGCAUCUCAUUCUAGCACACUUAUGACAAGCAACAAAAAUUCUUUGAGCUCUUCGUUUUCUUGCAUAAUUUCCUUUACCACAACCAGGCAUGUAUGCAAUAAAUUUUGGAGGCAACUCACUUGCCAAUCGUACUUUAGCUUCGAUUAACCAACAGAUGUCAGCAGAUAUGUUAUUCCUCAUGAGUAAACGCAUGCGUUCGGACCGAGCUUUAUAGAUUGUAAGGAGGCCUGAGGAAGUGAAGGGAAUCGAUUGUGAAGCUUUGCUAGAAUCUCAUUUCUGUCCAUACCUUCGCCUCAGAAUAUCAGUUAUUAUGGGAAACUGAAGUAACCAACUUGAUUGUCACGGAGUACCGUUAUCCGCCACUUCACCGGGGUAACAAACUAAAGCACACAAAUAGAAAAACAAAUUAAAACACAAAAAAAAAUUAAAAUCGUCCUCUUAUUGAAUUUACCUCAAGCUCCAACUGGAUGUCGUAAACACUUCUCUCAAUGUCUUUAAGUUGGCUUUCUAAACCCUCAAUAUAGGAUACUAACUUUGGUGGUUGCAGAGCCCAAAUACGAUGUGUCUUACAAAAUCGAAUCUGCCUUUUGGGAUUAGAUUUUACACGUUGAAGUGGUUUAAGAAUGUUCAGGAGGAACGGUUUAAGUAUGGUACUCAUAAUUAACAAUGAUAAGAAAAAAAACUUAAUGGUUAAACAAACACACUUAUGCAAAAAUAAUUUCAAUUAGCAAAAGAAUAAUAAAAAGAAAGAAAAAAAUCAAAUCACUGAAAAGAAAGAAAGAAAAACCUAAUUCAAAUUUGGUGGGUCACUCAAAUUUAUUUCGAUGUCCUCUCCAUGUGGUUGGUACUCUAGAUAUGGCUUUAAUCUUUGACCAUUAACUUUAAACGUGACACCGUUCUUUGGUAAUAAAAUAUUAAAAAUAAAAAAUAAAAAAUAAUUAUUAGAUUACAAAAGAUUACAUAUCUCUUCCUCUUUCUAUUUAAUUUCAAUAAUGUGUAACUAUUAAUAAUAAUUAAUUAUAAGUCUUGAAACAUUCAUUUAUUUUAUUAUGCCAAUAAUUAAACUUUAAUGGCUUAAAUACAUCAAUUAAUUAAUAUAAGAAGGAAGGUUUUUUCAUCUUCCCUCAACAAUGUCAUUAGGGCCUAAUUUUAAUGUCAUAAUCGCAUAUUUAAUUAUGCAACCUUUUAUUUAGUACCUUUUGGCUUUUUCAAACUCUAUAAAUAUUAAGUAGUUAAGAUUUGUGGCAUCAUUAUUUCUCAUCUUUUUAUAUUCUCUAUUAUCUAAUAUAUUGGUUGAGAUUAAAAAAUAAUUAUAUUAUAAAAUAUUAAAAAUAAAAAAUAAUUAUUAGAUUACAAAAGAUUACAUAUCUCUUCCUCUUUCUAUUUAAAUGUCUCUUCCUCUUUCUAUUUAAAUUUAAUAAUGUGUAACUAUUAAUAAUAAUUAAUUAUAAGUCUUGAAACAUUCAUUUAUUUUAUUAUGCCAAUAAUUAAACUUUAGUGGCUUAAAUACAUCAAUUAAUCAAUAUAGGAAGGAAGGGUUUUUCAUCUUCCCUCAACAAUGUCAUUAGGGCCUAAUUUUAAUGCCAUAAUCUCAUAUUUAAUUAUGCAAUCUUUUAUUUAGUGCCUUUUGGCUUUUUCAAACUCUAUAAAUAUUAAGUAGUUAAGAUUUGUGGCAUCAUUAUUUCUCAUCUUUUUAUAUUCUCUAUUAUCUCAUAUAUUGGUUGAGAUUAAAAAAUAAUUAUAUUAUAAAAUAUUAAAAAUAAAAAAUAAUUAUUAGAUUACAAAAGAUUACAUGUCUCUUCCUCUUUCUAUUUAAAUUUAAUAAUGUGUAACUAUUAAUAAUAAUUAAUUAUAAGUCUUGAAACAUUCAUUUAUUUUAUUAUGCCAAUAAUUAAACUUUAGUGGCUUAAAUACAUCAAUUAAUCAAUAUAGGAAGGAAGGGUUUUUCAUCUUCCCUCAACAAUGUCAUUAGGGCCUAAUUUUAAUGCCAUAAUCUCAUAUUUAAUUAUGCAAUCUUUUAUUUAGUGCCUUUUGGCUUUUUCAAACUCUAUAAAUAUUAAGUAGUUAAGAUUUGUGGCAUCAUUAUUUCUCAUCUUUUUAUAUUCUCUAUUAUCUAAUAUAUUGGUUGAGAUUAAAAAAUAAUUACAUUACAAAAUAUUAAAAAUAGAAAAUAAUUAUUAGAUUACAAAAGAUUACAUAUCUCUUCCUCUUUCUAUUUAAAUUCAACAAUAUGUAACCAUUAAUAAUAAUUAAUUAUAAGUUUUGAAACAUUCAUUUAUUUUAUUAAGCCAACAACUAAACUUUAAUGGUUUAAAAUACAUAAACUAAUUAAUAUAGGAAGGAAUGUUCCUUUAUUUUCCCUCACCAAUGCCACUAGGGCCUAAUUUUAAUGACAUAAUCUCAUAUUUAAUUAUGCAACCUUUUGUUUAGUAUCUUUUGGUUUCUUCAAACUCUAUAAACAUUAAGUAUUUAAGAUUUGUUAUGUUUGGGUUUUUUAUUAUUAUUUAACUAACAUACUCUUUAGAAAUGUUCUUGUGUUUUUAUUUUUUGACUUAUUUAAAUUUUUAGUAUUGUGUGCUUCAUGAAAUAUUUUUUUUUCAUGAGUUGAAUAUCAAGAAGAAUGGAGAAUUGAUUAGUGUGAAUAUAAUUUUUAUUAAUGAAAAGGUUGUGUACACUUAAUUAUACACAUUAAUAUAUAUUUUUAAAGUUAACAAAAAAAUAAUUAACUUUCAUAAAUCACAUUAGUUUUAUAAGAUUGCGUCAUCUUUAAAAAAAAUCAAUUUAUAUUUUUUAUCAGUUUCAUUAAGUGCAAAGUAAAAAAAAAAAAGAUAAUACUAAUUUUUUUUUAAAACUGCACGAAGCGCGGGUCUAUUUCCUAGUUUACCAAAUAAAUAUGAGUUUUAUUUACAUUCCUUCAUUUCCAUUCCCCAAACCCUCAAGUAAACACACAUGCUUGAUCUGCUGUUCUGUUCUCAGUUUGAUCAGAAGCUGAAAAUUGAAUCGAUUCUCCGUCUAUGCAGUGUCGUUUUGGAUGAUGACUAAACUUGCGGUGUAAUUAGUAAGUGAAACGGGUAAAUGUGCACGAAGCCGAGGUAGAAUGCAUGCAAGCCCCUAAUCGUCCCUGCGGCUGGUAUAUACUAAAAUGCAGCGUUUUCAUUGUAAUAAAAGUAUAAAACCCGCAGUGCCACUCGGAGAAUCGUAGCACCUUUGAAGGAAAUGAGAACAAAAAUGCGCGGUGGCAGGGCCCGAGUCCAUAAAUUUGCUUCACUAGGUUGAAUUUCAACAAGUCCGUCACUUCGUUUCUUCAAUCACGAACAUAAAUUGGUUGUUAUUUUGUCUCUGUCCCUUCAUCUUUCUCUGUUUGCUUCUCGAGAGCUUUUCCUUCUGCCUAGUUAACCAUUUCUUUUUUUUGAACAAAAUGGUUAAGUAAAGAUGCUCGCUUGCAAUUGCUCAUGCAAAUGUGAUUUUUUUUAAUGAUUUAAUAUGAUGAUUUUCUUUUCGUGAUUAUUCUCUUUUGUUACAGUUUGAAAAAUGUGUGUGUGUGAUUUUCAAAGAUCAGGGGAAGUCUCUGAAGUCUGAAGUGAUACAUUGCUUUUUGAAAAUAAAAUAUUAGUUGAUGAUAUUAUAUAUUAAGUUUACGAGUAAUGAUAUAGAUACAAACUCUUGUAUAAACUUAUUUUGUACAAACUGAUGUGUCGUUAAUUCAUUAGUUGAAUUAAAUAUCUCUUGACUCACAUGAUUUAUUUUUAUUAUUUUAUAUUUUUAUUCAACUAAUGAAUUAAUGUCACGUCAGUUUGUAUAAGAGUUUGUGGUUGUAUCAUUACUAUAAUUUUACAUUGUUUUUUGAAAAAAGAAAAUAUUAGUCGAUGAUAUUAUAUGUUAAUUUUAACUUUUAAUUAAGAAACUUUUGAAUUGUCAACUCCUGAAAUAGUUGGAGCUUUACAAAGGAUGAAGCAAAUGGAGAAACAUUAAGCAAAAUGAAUGGCGAUGUAGCCAUGGCUUCUGCAUAUAAUGAUCAUGAGAAUGGUAUUCACAUAGAAAAUCAUAGUGGUUCAGGCCGGAGUGGAGAUUUUAUGGAUGUUGAUUUGUUGGAGGAAGAGCCUUGUAUUAAGUGUAAUAGACGUGAUGAGAACCUGUUGGUUUGUAGUCAAUCUGGAUGCCUAAUUUCUGUACAUGAAAACUGCCUGAGCUGUGGAGUUGAAUUUGAUGAUGUGGGAAACUUUUACCGUCCCUAUUGUUGGUAUAAAUGUGAAUUGAUGAGGACAAAGGAGUUGAGGAAGAAGGCUAUGGAAACAAAGAAAAAGUUGGCAUGUUUUAUUGAUUCUAAAAGUUUUAGUGGUGAUAAAAAGAAGGAGAAUUGUAGAACAGAUAAAGCAAAUGAGCUGAGUAUAUCAUCUCUUCAUGAAGAGAGAAAUUACGGUUAUGGUGGUUGUGAGGAUCGAAUGGAUGAUGUUCAAGUUGAGGAUCUAAUUGUGGAAGUGGAGUUCGAGCUAGAGAAUGAUGGGGACAAUGCAAAGACAGCUGAUUCUUGUGACAGAUUUAAGAGGGCACUUGAAAGUCAGAGUGACCCUCUGGCUGUUCAUUCUCAUCCUGGAGACAAAAUAAAUAAUAGUCGAGAUAAAACACCUGGGAUUGGAUCACUUGUGAAUUAUACUAGUAAAGAAAGGCCCAGUGAGGAAAAUGUCUGUGAAACAUAUGAGCUUUAACUUUUAGAAGAUGGAGAAAUGAUACCAGUGGAAGAUUUAGGACAUGUCGAUGACAGUAGACAUGAGAAGAUUGUUUAAAACCAACUGCAAGAAGAGCCUUACACAGCUUUAUUGUGUUGGAGAAGAAAAUAUUGUGGAUAUUUUACUUAAUUUAUGGAAAGGGGAUAUACCUGACACUGAAAAAUUGAGGGAAGAAAAGCAAGAAGAAGAGAAUGUAGACCCCAGAACUUUGAGAAAUGAAAUGUCUGAUUCUGAUAUAGAGCCAAUGUCGAUGCGCCUGAGGUGUGUUGCAUGAAGUAGUAAGAAAGCACAAUCUCGGGGUUGUUGAUUCACCAAAAAAGUUGCCCUCAUCAAAAGGUGCCAACCCAGUGAAAAAAAAAUCUCAGAAUGUUGACUUAUCUUAUAAGUUAUCCCUACUAAAAGGUGCUAAUCCAGAGAAAAUGGCUCGGGCUCGAAUUGAGAAACCAUGGCUUCUGCAUAUAAUGAUCAUGAGAAUGGUAUUCACAUAGAAAAUCAUAGUGGUUCAGGCCGGAGUGGAGAUUUUAUGGAUGUUGAUUUGUUGGAGGAAGAGCCUUGUAUUAAGUGUAAUAGACGUGAUGAGAACCUGUUGGUUUGUAGUCAAUCUGGAUGCCUAAUUUCUGUACAUGAAAACUGCCUGAGCUGUGGAGUUGAAUUUGAUGAUGUGGGAAACUUUUACCGUCCCUAUUGUUGGUAUAAAUGUGAAUUGAUGAGGACAAAGGAGUUGAGGAAGAAGGCUAUGGAAACAAAGAAAAAGUUGGCAUGUUUUAUUGAUUCUAAAAGUUUUAGUGGUGAUAAAAAGAAGGAGAAUUGUAGAACAGAUAAAGCAAAUGAGCUGAGUAUAUCAUCUCUUCAUGAAGAGAGAAAUUACGGUUAUGGUGGUUGUGAGGAUCGAAUGGAUGAUGUUCAAGUUGAGGAUCUAAUUGUGGAAGUGGAGUUCGAGCUAGAGAAUGAUGGGGACAAUGCAAAGACAGCUGAUUCUUGUGACAGAUUUAAGAGGGCACUUGAAAGUCAGAGUGACCCUCUGGCUGUUCAUUCUCAUCCUGGAGACAAAAUAAAUAAUAGUCGAGAUAAAACACCUGGGAUUGGAUCACUUGUGAAUUAUACUAGUAAAGAAAGGCCCAGUGAGGAAAAUGUCUGUGAAACAUAUGAGCUUUAACUUUUAGAAGAUGGAGAAAUGAUACCAGUGGAAGAUUUAGGACAUGUCGAUGACAGUAGACAUGAGAAGAUUGUUUAAAACCAACUGCAAGAAGAGCCUUACACAGCUUUAUUGUGUUGGAGAAGAAAAUAUUGUGGAUAUUUUACUUAAUUUAUGGAAAGGGGAUAUACCUGACACUGAAAAAUUGAGGGAAGAAAAGCAAGAAGAAGAGAAUGUAGACCCCAGAACUUUGAGAAAUGAAAUGUCUGAUUCUGAUAUAGAGCCAAUGUCGAUGCGCCUGAGGUGUGUUGCAUGAAGUAGUAAGAAAGCACAAUCUCGGGGUUGUUGAUUCACCAAAAAAGUUGCCCUCAUCAAAAGGUGCCAACCCAGUGAAAAAAAAAUCUCAGAAUGUUGACUUAUCUUAUAAGUUAUCCCUACUAAAAGGUGCUAAUCCAGAGAAAAUGGCUCGGGCUCGAAUUGAGAAAUCAACUGCCUCCAAAAAGUCUACACAAGCUUCCAGUCCACAAGAAUAAUUCAAAUUAUAUGCUGAUAAUUGAUAUCUCCAUGAGCAAUGCACAUGUACAGAAGAUCGGAAUUAUGGGAUGUCUUGGACCCCAAGCUUUGAAAAUGAGUAAGUGACCUUUAUUUAGGCAAACUAUAUUCUUUAGCCCCUCAGUUUCAUAGUUCUCACAUAUUGCCAGCUGCGUUAAUAUAGUUUGUUGUUUCCAUAUGCCCCCGAAUGAAAAUUCUGGUUUCACCAUACACAGUCACCGGAACACUCAGCGGAUUUGAAAGAGCCAUUACUUACUAGUAUAUAACAUGCGUUGAUGGAAUGAGAUUUGUUGUUUCCAGACUACUAUAACUAAAAAAAAAGAAUUGCGGAGCAUAUAUAUUAUAUGGUAACAUGAAUAAUUGGUUUAUUAAAACAUGGUGCUUGUCAUAAAACUGAAAUAUUUGGUAGUACUUCAUGGGUUAUUGCGUUUAAAUGGGGCUGUACCGGGACAUUCAAUGAAUGAAACAAGUCAAGAAGGCGAAAUAUGGAGCUGGUACCGGGACUUGGAAUGAAUGCAACAUGUAAGUCAAGAACGUGCAAGAACUGCCAUCUUAGUCUCCUUGACUUAUUGUUACAUUUUCCAUGUAACUGCGGAAUCAUCAAUUCCAAGGAAAAAUUUUGUGUAGUCUAAGGGUCCACACAAAAUAGUAACGGGUCGACGGCAUUGGCACUGCAUUUUAAUCUUAUUCAAUGAUAUUCAAGGGAUCAUGUGUAUCCCAUCAUCUGUUAUUCCAAUAAAUUCAUAGGAUCAUAUGUGUCACAUCAUUUGUAGUUCCAAUCAAUUCAAGGGAUCAUGUGUAUCACUUCAUUUGUCAUUCCAAUGGGAUGAGCUCAGUUGGGUUAAUUUGGCCUCUUGCAGCAUAAACAAGAAAUUUCGAUCGCGAUAGAUCCGACUCAUGGUCACACCAAUUUUACAUACAAAAUCAAUAUUUGUUAGUUUUUGGUAAUAUUGUAAAGAAUAUAUAUACCCCGAUUCGUUUAACUAAAAUAAAUAGAAGAAGUCAUCAAUAAUCCAUUUGGUCUCCUAUAGUGAGCGUAAACAAUAUUAAUUUGAUUAAUUAGAGACAUACGAAAUCUGAUAAAAUCUGAUCAAUUAAACAUAUAUAUAUUACUUGAUUGAAUCUCAUCUAUCAUUAUUGUUUGUCUAUUGAAGUUUUACAAUAUUAAAUUAAUUAGGUUACCCCAUGUCGUAGCAUUUCGUUUCUCGAAAAAAUUUGGACUAUCUUCGUUGAAUGACUUUAUUCGUACAACAAUCAAUAAAAUGAUGAGAUGUAUAUGUUACUUGUAUUUUAAAAAUUUCAAUCAGUUAUACGUACGCUUUUAUGUCUUAAAUUCUCAUCAACGUGGAUAAAAACCAGCAAGUGAAUGUUAUUAAGUCAUGAAGUAUAUGCUUUCAUUUCGACCUUGUCUUCUUGCUUCUUCACAAUCUCAUUUUGGUUCAAUUAAACAAAUUACAAAUAAAUGCUUGUUACUAGCUAUUUUUAUGACCAAUCUCUGACCACCCCCUCCUUGCAAAUUCUUAUUCAUUGUGUGGGAGUAUAUUUUGUGCCGGAUUAUUUCCAUCUGCAGGAACAAUCCUCAGACUCCUCUGAUGGAGUAACCCUUCAGUCCUACUUUUAUGAACUAAACUUUCUUUCAUUUAGAGUUCAAGACAAAGGUUAAGAAAAUUAAAAAUGCAAUAAAAACAAAAACAAAAAUACAAAAAUAGUGGAAGGAUAUAUAAAAUUAAUGUUCUUCAAUUAAUUGGAUAAAAAAAUUUCAUGUUCUUAAUUAGUUUCACACCUCGGAUAGUUGAGAAAUUCAGAAUUCUUGCUUCUAUUACCAAGGGACAUGAACUCAUUGAUAUAAUAACUAUAUAGGCAACAAGCAAAGUGCGGACUGGAACGUUAUUCCUAUAACACUUUGACAUUGUUGUGAAAAAUUUUAAUAUACUCGCAAGCGCAUGAAUCUAAAAUUAGAAUAGUGGUAACGAGGUCGAACCACAUGGAUUGUUAUAAAUUGAAAAGUCUAAUUUAAAUCUAAUAUUGAUAUUAAUCCUAACCUAGUUGAGCAAAUUGAGUUUUUAAGAGAAUAAGAAAAUAAUUUUUAAAAAAAUGACAAUUCAAUAAGACAAAAAUUACUAAGGUUUCAGAAUGCACCAGCAUUCAACUAGUAAUUAUCUAAUUGUUAAUUAAUCCCCAAUUUUAGAGUUACUACUCAAAAUUAAUAUAUGUCAUCUCAUGGAUAUAAUAAUUAAGCCUAAUCAAAAGUAAUCUUAUGUAUAGGUUAUUUUUAUGCUUAAUAUUAUGAUAUUUGAGCAUCCUAUAUAAACAUAUUGAAUAAUAAAGAGUCAAAGUUUCAUAAGUACUCUGUGUAAACAAUUAAAUGAAAGAUACAGAAUCAAAGAUAAUCAUGUAUAAACUUUAUAGAUCCAAGUAUAGAUUUAGUCAAAUAUUAAUCUUAACAAUCAAUAAUGCAUGACAGAAUUAGUGAAAAAAAUUUAAUAACAUCCAACUAAUUAUGUGAAAUAAGAACUAUAAACAUUACAACACAUAUGUAGGGAAUUAAUUAAAUAAAAAGAUAAUUAUUUCAUUGAAUAGUAUUUCAUCCUUAAGCUCAAUAUAAGAAAAUUAGCUAGACAUACUUGAAUUGAGAGCAACAAAAUUAAUAAAAACCAUCCAUGGGAAUAUUGGAGCUCUGAUAUGGCUCUCGUCCUUUUCUUCUCUGUCUUGCGGCUACUGCUCCUGAAAAAGCCAAAAGUUUCGACUUAUAUAAUGUUACUGAUCGACCUAUUUCAUCCAAAGGCUAAAAGGCUUGGCUUUCUAAGCUUUGAUUUGAUCUUGCACGUGCUCUCCACUUAGAAUCACAUUAGGAUUUUCAUUCCUUUUUAAUGCCAUGCAUUAAAAUGGCAAUUGCUUCACACGUAAAUUUGAUGCAUCCCGUCUCAACUUGAAUUAAAUCUUAAUAAAUUAAUUCUUUUAAUUCUUUGUCCUUCAAUUGAUUCUCAAUUUAAUCUCUAUUGCUUCCUAAAUUAAACUUUUUUAUGCCCUCAAUUAAUUAAAAAUAACAAAUAAAAAUAACUGGCAAUUAUAUAAUUAAGGAUAAAAUAUGUCGAUAAAUUAUGUCCAUCAAACAUUUUACUUAUUUGAAAAAAGAAAAAAAAUGAAUGGGGAUUAUUCAAUUCUAUCAAUCCUUUUAUACAAUCACUUUGAAGGAAAGUGUUGUGAAAAUUUUAAUGUACUCGCAAGCGCACGAAUCUAGAGAUAGAAUAGUGGUAACGAGGUCGAUCCCACAGGGAUUGUUAUAAAUUGAAAAAGUCUAAUUUAAAUCCAAAAUUAAUAUUAAUCCUAACCUAGUUGAGCAAAUUGAGUUUUAAGAGAAAUCAAACUAAUUAAACUAAGGAAGCAAUUAAAAUAAAGGAGAAUUCAAUAAGAUAAGAAUUACCAAGGUUUCAGAAUCUACCACUAUUCAACUAGUAAUUAUCUAAUUAUUAAUUAAUCCCCAAUUUUAGAGUGACAACUCGAAAUCAAUCUAUGUCAUCUCAUGGAUAUAACAAUUAAGCCCAAGUAAUUAAAUCUAAUGUAGGUUCUUUUUCUGCUUAAUAAUAUGACAUCUAAGAAUCUCAUGUAAACAUAUUGAAUAACAAAGAGUCAAAAUUUCCUAAGCACUCCAUGUAAACAAUUUAAUGAAAGACAUAAAAUCAAAGAUAAUCAUGUAUAAACUUUAUAGAUCCAAGCAUAGAAUUAAUCGAAUAUUAAUCCUAACAAUCAAUAAUGCAUGACAGAAUUGAUGAAAAGAUUUUAAUAACUUCCAAUUAAUCAUGUGAAAUAAAAACCAUAAUCAUCAAAGAACAUAUAUAGGGAAUUAAUUAAAUAAAAAGAGAUAAUUAUUUCAUUGAAUAGGGUUUCAUCCUUAACCUCAGUAUAAGAAAAUUAGCUAGACAUACUUGAAUUGCUAUGGACGUGCAACUCAAUUGGAGAAUUGAAAUUCUUUUUCAAUGCAAAUUGCUCUUAGCUCUUAAUUCUAUCACAGCUUCAACUAAUAUUUCCCCAAAUUAUUAUUUUUUUUGCACUUUUUAUUUCCAAUCUCCAAUUAAUUCCCUAUUCAAUAAAACAAUUCAAUUAAUUAAAAAUAACAAAUAAAAUUAACUAGCAAAUAUACAAUAAAGGGUAAAAUAUGUAUAUAAAUUAUGCUCAUCAGAAAGACUUCAAAAAUUCAAGCUUUGAAUUGUAUAAGUCAAAAUUAUUAAUUGCUAGUAAAUUCUCUUCAAAAACAAAAACAAAAAAAGAAAAUUUCUAAUUUUAAUUUGAAGGCUUUGAACAAGACCCCAACCAUCUCCAUCAGCACUUGUGAAGUUUUCUCCCCGAUUAUCAAUUGUUAAAUGUUCCCUAAUCCCAAAUUAAUGUUCUACAUUAGCAAUAUCCUAGCUUUAACAUUUCUAUCACACAGGUCGUCGACUUCUCUACCUUCAUAAUAUUGAAUUUUUAACCGUUAUAUAUCAUUUAUGAUGUAUAUAUGAGUAAUGGCAUUUUAGUCAUUUGAAUAGGAUAAUCCAGUUGGUUAUAACUCUUAAAGUAAAAUCAAGAGGUCAAUGAAUCGGUUCCACUUAGGGUGUGUUUGGGACAGCUGCUCUCGACCCUAUAUUCUAGGGAAUAUUCCCCUAGAAUACUACAUGGGGAGCAGCGCACGCUUACACACCAAGCAUGGAGAUAGAGAUUCUUUAAUUUGUGUUUGUGCAUUGGGAUACUUUGCUCAAAAGGUUUUGAGUGUGCAGUUUAUUGCAAAAAAAAUAACAAUAAUUAUAAUCAGGGCUGCCACAGAAAGUUCUAGCUAGCUUCAUCCUCCUCCUCAUGACUGGAUCCCAUUCCUUCCAUACGAUGACUUGAUAUUUCAGAUUGAUUGUAGACGCUUAAAAUCAAACUAAUUAAAAUGGUUUCAAUACAUACAUUUAUGAAAUGAGAAGUUUAGGUAUUUUAAGUCAAGCAACUUUUAGGCUAUGUUUGGUUUGAAGAAAAGGGAGGAGAGGAAAAGAGUGGAAUGGAGAGGCAGAGAGAAGAAAUGAAUGGAGAAGAGUAGUGAAAUUAGAUUUUGUUGUUUGGUUUGAUAUAAAAUUUGAUAAGGAAAAGAAUUAUAAUUAUUUUUCUUUAGACAAAUUUAUCUUUUACCUUAAAAAAUAUUAAAAAAAUAUUAAACUAUUUAUAUUAGUAAUAUAUAUAUAUAUAUAUAUAUUAAAAUGGUGGUCUGGUGGCCGGCGGCAAAGGUCCGGCGACUUUCCGGCGAAUGUCCGGCGACAUCCGGCGAAGUCCCGUGACAUUCCAGUGGAGGUCCAUUUAUAAUAUUAAAUCAAUAAAAUAAAAUUAUAAAUAAUAAUUAUUAAUGGCACUAAACAAGUUAAAAAGUUUAUGGGUAAUUUUGGAAAUUUUAGUUUCUAACAUAAGAGAAAUUUAAAUUCUUCUCUACUUAGUGUGAAAUUCAAAUUCUACAUUAUAAUAAAUAUUAAAUUCUAGUGGAAAUUAAAUUCUUCUAUAUUUUGUUAAACUAAAUAAUAGAAAUAAAAAAAAAAUUUAAAUUAUUUUCCUCUCUUCUAUUCUCUCCUCCUAACCAAAAGCCACCUUAGUGUCUGUUAAUUACGUUUAUAGUCCAACUGUCACGGCAAUUGCCUUCCAAUAGUCAAUGGCUUUGACUCUCAAUAAGUGCUUUUUUUUUUCCCCCUGUGAAUUUAAUUUGCAUAUGACCAGAUUUUCAAUAUGAUAAGAUUUUUAUUAUCAGUUCAAAGUUAAAAUCGUGGUGUCAUUUAAUUAAUUGAAUGGUAAAACACGAAAAAAGCUGGACCCAAAAGACUUUACAGGAUGUUUGUUUGUAAUCACAAAUCCUGUGCAAAUUAAUUGUUUGACGAUGAGGAAAUAGGACUCCUCAAGCAAAUAUAAAGAAUGAAUCUCUAUACAGAGGCUUGAUUUUAUUGUUGAUGGUACAAAAUGGGAAAAUUCCUUAGAAUGCGUAGUUUAUGUUUUAUAUUCAGCGUUUGUAUUAAUUACCGUGAAGUGGUGCUUUUUCUUGAUAUUAAGCAAGGAUUUCUCUUUUCUCAACAACCAAAUCUAUAUCUUGGCAAAAUUCAGAACUCCCCUAAGGUUAAUAGGAUUAUAUGUUCGGAAAAUAUGCUCUUUAAAGCGUGUGUUUAUUUAAUUGUAAUAAACAAUUUUUCUGAUUAAUAAAAUAAAUGAGGUAUUUUAUUCAAGUAUCUUAAUUGCAUUAAUAUUUUGAGUAAAGUCCAUUUAAUCAUAUCAUAUGAAUUUAUGUGAACACCAAGUGGAUUCACAGAAGACAUAAAUACAAGUUAUCUUAUGAUUAAAUAAAUUAAGUUCGUAAUUAAUAAAUAAAAUUGAGCACUUUAUUUAGGUAUAAACUGUAAUAAAUUUAUUGAAUGAUUUGUAUUAAUUAUGUAUGAAUUUAUUGAUAUACUACGACUACAUUAAACAUGAUCACAUAUGAGAUUUAAUUAAUUUAAUAAUUAUCAGACUUAUUAAAUCUCAUCGGCAUAGUGUAAUCUUAAUUUUGAGUUAGUUAUGAUUUCAUGAUUGUAAUUGUUAUUCCAUUUGAGUUACUAAUGGGCACGAGUUAGUUAUGAUUUCAUGAUUGUAAUUGUUAUUCCAUUUGAGUUACUAAUGGGCACGAGUUAGUUAUGAUUUCAUGAUUGUAAUUGUUAUUCCAUUUGAGUUACUAAUGGGCACGAGUUAGUUAUGAUUUCAUGAUUGUAAUUGUUAUUCCAUUUGAGUUACUAAUGGGCACGAGUUAGUUAUGAUUUCAUGAUUGUAAUUGUUAUUCCAUUUGAGUUACUAAUGGGCACGAGUUAGUUAUGAUUUCAUGAUUGUAAUUGUUAUUCCAUUUGAGUUACUAAUGGGCACGAGUUAGUUAUGAUUUCAUGAUUGUAAUUGUUAUUCCAUUUGAGUUACUAAUGGGCACGAGUUAGUUAUGAUUUCAUGAUUGUAAUUGUUAUUCCAUUUGAGUUACUAAUGGGCACAACAUACACUUAUAGUCAAGAUUACCCGGUAUCUUGGUGGGAGCAAUUAUGAGUAUUGGAGUUAUAGAUUAACAAUAUAUAAUUUGUACAACACAUCUCUUAAUGAGUUUUCGGUACUUGAUCAUAGAAUUCUCUAGCCAGAGUGUGCCAACAUAUUUAGUAUGUUGAAAAUGAUCAUUAGAGAAAACAAAUAAGUAUCAAGAAACAAGAUGUAAUUAAAUUGAUUGGACAGUUGAGAUAUCGAUUUAAUUGACGAUGUGGUAUAAAGAAUUAUGUAGUGAAGAAAUCAAUGUGGCAUGGGUCGAAUUAUUAUUCGAAAAUACUAUCCUGGAUAGCAUACAAUUAUAGAGGUCGAUUCCGAUCUUUUAGUGGAGUAGAUUUGAAAUUAAAUAAUUGGGCUAGUUUAAUUACAGACCUAAUUAUUGUAGCCACUAUUGUAUAUACCCAAAUGAUCUCCAGGUUAGCUCAUUUAAUUGACUGCGCCGCUACUGAAUUAAUAAAAAAGAUAACUACAUAUUUGGGUUAAAAGUCUAAAUAUAUUAUCUAGUGGGAGGCUCCAUAAAAUAUGUUUGUGUAUAAGGAGUAUUGUGUUAUUUUACAAGGUGGGCCCUAAUAACAAGAAGAAGCAAUGUUACUUUUGGUUUUAUUAUUUUUAAUUUAAAUCAAAUUUGAUUUAAUAAAAAAUAUAAAAAUAUGGAGUUUAGGGUUUCCACCAAAAAAAGAUAUAAGAGGGUUUGUUUUCUCAAAAAGAAGAGAGAGCCACAUUAUACAUAUCAGAGAAAAAUAUUUUUUCUCUCUAAUAUUGAGAGGAAUAUUUUCUCUUACUAGUUGCUUCUAGUGGUGAUAAAGGCGCCCACACAUUAAGUGCAGAUAAGACCUGAGUCAUAACCUAGAAGAUCAUUGGUGAUUGAUCGUUAUCUAAUAAGAUUGGUAGUGACAUAUCGUGAUCUAAGAGCCUAAAUUAAUCCAGCGAAAAAGCAAAAUCGGAUUGUCAAGAUAUGAUUUUCUAGAUUUCGAAUUCCUAUAUAUUGUAUGAGAUCGGUCCUAAAAGUUUUUAUAAAAAUUUUAAAAAACUAAUUUUUUUCCAACAUUAUAUUCAAUUUUGUUGGGUCCAUCUCAUUUGGGUUUAAAAGUCUAAAGUCCAAAAAGAUUUACUUAAUGUGCAAUUAAUAUUAAGUUUUGGAGUUAGAUGAAAAUUUUUCUAAAAGCAAGCGGCAGCCGUAAUUUGUCAGAUCGCAAAAAGACGAUGGGAAAAUAGAGGCUAUUACAAUUUGGGGAUAAAAUUUUUAAUUUUUGAUUGGACGAUCAAACGGCAAAAUUAACUUCAUUUUCUCUCAAAUUUUGAAGGUAAGUUCUUGGUAUCGCCCUUUACAAUCCUACUAGUCUUAGAUUUUUAUUUUAUCCUCUUAUUGGCUAUUAUUUGAGAUGCCCACUUAUUAGAGAGACGAUUAUUAGGUUGUUACUGUAAGUCUAGAAUAUUGAGAUUCUUAAUAUUACUAGUCUCUAGUAUUAUAUAGAGAAGAAAUUGUGCCAUAAUCUCAUUAAUAUAGUGGAAGAUUAUAUCGGACAAUAAUCUCGUGGUUUUUCCCGCUUUGGGUUUUCCACGUAAAAAUCUGUCUCUUGUGUUUGAUUUUAUUAUUUUGGACUUAUUGAUUUAUUUUUCUGCCUAUUUAUUCAUGAUGCACAUCUUAUUUUAAUCACACAAAAAGAGAAAGAAUUUUAUUUCCGCUUAAUUUGCAGCUCCCUUUCCCAGCAAAUUUAGCAUCAAAAUGUAUGCAUUUUUUCAAUAAAGCUCCUAGACUUAAUUUAUACCUAAAAGCUAGUUCAAGAGUUAAACAUUGUCUAAAACUUAUAUUAUUAACCCAGUAACUAACAUGAUAAUAUCUUCAACAUUUUCGACUAUCAUUGAUCAUAAAAAGAUCGAAUUGCUUGACCUUCAAAAAGUGUACUGAUUAACAUUACAAUUAUGAGGGUGUUGUAGUGGGUUUUCAGUUUUUGGAAAAAUCAUUAAUUUUGCCGAAUAACUGGUUGGUCAAUUUCCCUUCCUCAGAAGUAUAUAUGCCCCAGUUUCACAUUUUUCUUUGAGAAUUUAUGUAUUUCUAUUUUUUUUUAUGUCUACUUAAUAAUUUAUAAUGUAGCAGAUAAAUGAAAAAAAAAACUAUUUUUAUGAAAAAUAAACUAUUUUGAUUUACACGAGCAGUUUAAACCAUAAACUACUUAUGUAAGCGUAAAUGGAUUUAUCAAUUAAACGACUAAGUGUCCACUUGUCUGCUCAAUGAUCAGAAAGAGCAUCAACACCAUUUGAUUUUGAUCAUGAUGGAACACAUUUUCAUUGUUAUAACUUUGGGUACUUGUUUUUUUAAAUAAAUAAAUAAACAAGUAAGUAAGAUGUUGGGCAAAGCUCAAUCAAAUUUUCAGCCCCUGUCUCUUAAGGAUUCAAACUCAACUAGCCAGCCAAAGAAACUAUCAAGCCCCUAAAGGAUAAAUUCUAAACUCCAAUCCAUAAGAAUAAUUUAAAUUAUAUACUAAUAAUUAAUAUCUCGCUCCAUGACCAAUACAUGUACAGAGGAGUGGAAUUAGGGGAAGUCCUGGACCCCCAAACUUUAAAAAUGACCUUUAUCUAGGUAAUUUUAUUCUUUACCCCUCAGUUUCAUAGUUCGCACAUAUUGCCAGCUGCGUUAAUAAAGUUUGUUGCUUCCAUACGCCCCCAUCGAAUGAAAAUUCUGGUUUCAGCAUACGCAGUCACCAGAAUACUCAGCAGAUUUGAAAGAGCCAUUACUUACUGGUAUAUAUGCGUUGAUGGAAUGCGAUUUGUUGUUUCCAUACUAUUAUAACUUACAAAAAAAAAAGAAUUGCAGAGCAUACAUAAUAUAUGGUAACAUUAAUAAAUGGUUUAUUAAAACAUGUUUAUUGUCAUAAUACUGAAAUAUUGGAUGGUACGUCAUAGGUCAUUGCGUUUAAAUGGAGCUGGUACCGGGACUUUGAAUGAAUGCAACAUGUAAGUCAAGAAUGUGAAAGAACUGUAACCUUAGUCAGAAGUAUAUGCUUUCAUCUCUACAUUGUCUUCUUGUUUCUUCACGAUCUCCCUUUCGUUCAUUAAACAAAUGACGAAUAAAUGCCCCAGCUCUGACCACCCCUCACUUUGCAGUUUCAACCAUUUUAAUUUAUUGUAUCAUUAAAGUAUGUGUGGUUCAUGUGUUUUCUUCUUGGUGGGUCAAAAUCGUGUGAAUUCGGGAUAUGGACACAUACAUAUAUCAUUCAAAACGCUUUUCAUGCAACUUGAAUUUUGUUUGUUUUUGUUUAGAAUUUCUCUUUCAAAUUACUGAGGAGACAGGCAUAGGGAAAAGAAAAAAGAAAAGUAAGCUGCGGAAAAAACGAUGAGUUUGGAAUUAAUGCGAGAAAUUUCCUAGAAGUUGCGGUGUCAAAGUGUUAUUCCAAAGUGCAGGUUGAUUGAAUGUGUUAAGAAUAUAAGAGUCAGCAGAGUCAGCAUUAGCAUCAGCUCAACGUCAGCUCAGAGUCAGCAGUAGCUCAGCAUUCGCAUCAGCUCUACGUUAGCUCAGAAUAACAAACUUUGAUGAUGUGGCUGCUGAGUCAGCAAGUUAGUUAGAAUUAAGCAGAGCUAUAUUUCUCAUUCUGUUAGACAGUUUGUUUACUUGAGCUUAAUUCAAGCACAUGCCAUUUGUGUGUAUAGAAAGUUCCGGAUGUAUGUAUAAAUCGGCAAGUAAAAUCAGAUUCAAGAAGUAUGAAAUAUACGUUAAGCUCAUCAAAUUCUCUCUUUCAAGUCAACACUUUCUUUUCAAAUUUCUCAGUAACCAAACAGCAUUGUUCUGCAAAUUAAACUUUGAUUGAAUGCAACAUGCAUAUGUAAAUCUAAUUCAGUGACGUGGAAACGAUAAAUGUAUUUUUACCCUCUCUCAUCUGCGCUCUCAGCAUCAUAAUUAAACGGUUAAACCUAGUCUAUCACCACCACCAAUCAGUAUAUAUUUUACACUGAGGAUGAUAAAGACAUACAUGUAUCCUCAAAUGAUCACAAUAAAAAUUUGCACUUCUAGAUAUUAUAAAGGUCUAUAAAGCAUGCGAACCUCCAGAGAUGUAAAGAAUGGUGGAAUAAUGCAGGAUAAAGGACAGCUCCACGAAGAAAUUCCAAAUUGCCCGGGGUCCGAAAUACAAUACCAGAUAAACAAUUUUCCAGACGUGAAAAGAAAAUUUAGCCAGAAAACAAGCUUCCAAAGUAAGAGACAAUUUUCCAUCUUUAGAAAGUUGCCUAACAAUAAAAUCCAUUGCAGGUUCUAUUGACAAAACUAUGUCCUUGAUUUCAGUUGCAUGGUCUGGGAAUGCAUUAGCAAAAGAAAUGGGAAACUUGGAAUAGACCUGUUAUCAUUGACAACCGGGGGUUUAAUAACGGCGAUGGAUAAAUUUGAAAGUGAGGAUUAAUAAAUAGGUUGAAGAGAUCAAAUAUCACCUCUCAUGAUUUUAUCUUUGCAGGCCCAAGGUAAGCUUUUGGAUCUUGUUUAAAGAAAAUCUUGGGAAAUAAUUAAUGAAUGGUAAUAUUUAACUCUAUUUUAUCUCACUAGACCCUAUUUCUUAAUAAAACCUUUAAAAAGGUAAAAAUAACUUAUCUUUGUCAGCACACACCAUGUAAUUCCAAAUUUAUCCUUAUUUUCACUUGAAUCAUUGCGUAUGACCCAUCAUUUGAAACUACAAGAAUCGAUUCAUUUUCGUUAAGUCUAGUCUAAGCUGGGCAUAUUAUCUUCUCUGCCUGCUCAAAACUGAAUAUUAAUAUAGUUUCAGAUAAGCUAUUUCACCAAGACAAGUGAAGCUGUAAAGGAAAACAUCUUGCUAGAUUUGGAAACGCAUAAUUGCUCAGCAUUUUGUCUGUUGCUAAUUGCUCAACCUCUCUAACUUUCUUUUCUUAUUUUUCUCUUGUUAAAAGCAUGCAAAAUGUAUCAAAAAAGCAAUUUCAGCAAUCGGCCAUGGAAGCAAAGCAACCUUUUCAAACUUGCUGGUCUUUUAUGUUUUAGGCUCUGAAAUUGAUGUUAUCGGCAAGAGCCUUUUACAUUUUUAUAAUUAUUGGUAAGAGAUUCGAUCUAAUUAAUUCCUAAUUUCCUUAAUUAUUUUCUUUUAAAAAAUAAAUAAACCUCAAAUGAUGCUUGAUUUAAAAAUAAAUAAAUAAAUAAACCUCAAAUUCCCUUAAUUAUUUUCUUUAAAAAGCUUGCCUUCGGGAACAUUUAUCUGAAAUGGCCGCGAAAGAUCAGUAUCUACAGUGAUCAUACCCUUCUCACUAGAUAGGACCUACCGCAUUAACUAGGAUGAUUUUUCUACCUCCUCUUUGUUGAAUAUUAUCAUUUCUCUACUGAAAUGAUUGAAAUUAAUGAAUUAAUAUUAAUUUAGUAUCUAUUUUAAUUAAUUCUAUCGAAUAUCGUUUUACUUGAGAUUUUUUCGUAUACAUACUAAUUUGUCUCUAUGUGUGCCCGUACUAGUAGUGUAUGUUUGAUGAGUAACGACAUAAAUAGAUGUAUAUAAAAUGAUAUGAUAUGAAUAAAUUAAUUGUAUAAAACUAUCAUAAACCUACAUAUUAGAGAAAAAAAAUAAUAUGACUACCACUUUCAAUGUAGAUUCAAUAGUUUUCGUUAUUCCAAGUAUCUAAAUGCUCCUUUGACAGCUUCAAUUUCAAAGCUUGAAUAUUUCCAAUUCCGCGUACAAUUAAUUCGAAGCUUGACUUCUGAUUUUCCUUCCUUCUCAGUGAUUGUAUAAAACGAUAUGUAGUUUAAUCGUUUUAGCUGCAACCAAAUACUUUCUCCAUUUCUUAUUGGAACAAUAAUUAUGUCGAGGUGCCACGGAAGAAUAAAUGUGGCUGUCUCCACUUUGCUUAUUGCCUAUAUAGUUUUGUCAGUCUGUUCAUGUCCCUUGCUUAUAGGAGCCAUCUUGUUUAAAGAAAAUCUUGGGAAAUAAUUAAUGAAUGGUAAUAUUUAACUCUAUUUUAUCUCACUAGACCCUAUUUCUUAAUAAAACCUUUAAAAAGGUAAAAAUAACUUAUCUUUGUCAGCACACACCAUGUAAUUCCAAAUUUAUCCUUAUUUUCACUUGAAUCAUUGCGUAUGACCCAUCAUUUGAAACUACAAGAAUCGAUUCAUUUUCGUUAAGUCUAGUCUAAGCUGGGCAUAUUAUCUUCUCUGCCUGCUCAAAACUGAAUAUUAAUAUAGUUUCAGAUAAGCUAUUUCACCAAGACAAGUGAAGCUGUAAAGGAAAACAUCUUGCUAGAUUUGGAAACGCAUAAUUGCUCAGCAUUUUGUCUGUUGCUAAUUGCUCAACCUCUCUAACUUUCUUUUCUUAUUUUUCUCUUGUUAAAAGCAUGCAAAAUGUAUCAAAAAAGCAAUUUCAGCAAUCGGCCAUGGAAGCAAAGCAACCUUUUCAAACUUGCUGGUCUUUUAUGUUUUAGGCUCUGAAAUUGAUGUUAUCGGCAAGAGCCUUUUACAUUUUUAUAAUUAUUGGUAAGAGAUUCGAUCUAAUUAAUUCCUAAUUUCCUUAAUUAUUUUCUUUUAAAAAAUAAAUAAACCUCAAAUGAUGCUUGAUUUAAAAAUAAAUAAAUAAAUAAACCUCAAAUUCCCUUAAUUAUUUUCUUUAAAAAGCUUGCCUUCGGGAACAUUUAUCUGAAAUGGCCGCGAAAGAUCAGUAUCUACAGUGAUCAUACCCUUCUCACUAGAUAGGACCUACCGCAUUAACUAGGAUGAUUUUUCUACCUCCUCUUUGUUGAAUAUUAUCAUUUCUCUACUGAAAUGAUUGAAAUUAAUGAAUUAAUAUUAAUUUAGUAUCUAUUUUAAUUAAUUCUAUCGAAUAUCGUUUUACUUGAGAUUUUUUCGUAUACAUACUAAUUUGUCUCUAUGUGUGCCCGUACUAGUAGUGUAUGUUUGAUGAGUAACGACAUAAAUAGAUGUAUAUAAAAUGAUAUGAUAUGAAUAAAUUAAUUGUAUAAAACUAUCAUAAACCUACAUAUUAGAGAAAAAAAAUAAUAUGACUACCACUUUCAAUGUAGAUUCAAUAGUUUUCGUUAUUCCAAGUAUCUAAAUGCUCCUUUGACAACUUCAAUUUCAAAGCUUGAACAUUUCCAAUUCCGAGUACAAUUAAUUCGAAGCAUGACUUCUGAUUUUCUUUCCUUCUCAGUGAUUGUAUAACAGGAUAGGUAGUUUAAUUGUUUUAGCUGCAACCAAAUACUUUCUCCAUCUCUUAUUGGAAUAAUAAUUAUGUCGAGGUGCCAUGGAAGAAUAAAUGCGGCUGUCUCCACUUUGCUUAUUGCCUAUAUAGUUUUGUCAGUUUGUUCAUGUCCCUUGCUUAUAGAAGCCAGAAUUCAAAAUUUCUCAGCCAUCCAAGGUGCAAGUCAAUCUUCACAACUUCAAUUAAUUUCUUGUAAAUAUUAAUCACCAUUGAAUCAUUUGUAUAGUAAUUUUAUUUAUUAAUUAGUCUUUGCUUCGAAUUUCUAAUUAUAUACGACAGGAAGUUUAGUUCAUCAAAGUAAGAAGAAGGAUUACACCAUCGGAGACGAAUGAGAGAAGUUCCUGGAGCAGGUUUUCCUCUGACAACCAAUGGGAUAGGCAGGCAAAAUGUUCCGCCGCCUGAGUUCAAAAAAAUUUAAUUUAAUUUAAUUUAGGAUAUAUAUAGUAGUUUUCUGGUCCGAAAUAAAGUGCAGGAAAAGUCCGAAAAAAUUUUAAAACCGCAGGGUUUUAAAUCUUUAAAAUUUAAAACGCUUAAACCGCAUGAUUUAUGUGUGUAUGUAUUUAUAUAUGUAUGUAUGUAUUAAAAAUAAUAAUGGAGCUUUCAGUUCUCUCAAAAGAAAGUUAAUUUAGUUGCUCAAUCUGGAUGCGUUUCGCGGAUUUAUGAUUUAUUAGGAACGGUCCCCAUCUCCGGAAAUUUUUUAGGUUGUCUGGAGCCAGUGGUGUGGAUCAAUUCCGAAUCCCACUGUCUUUGACUGCUUUUGUUGACUGGCCUGACGGUCGUUUUGGGCUGAAAUCAAAAUUUUCAAAGUUCGCUUCGUGCACGCCUGUAAUUUAAUUAAGCCAAUAACGGCAGAAAAGCUGAAAUCAUAAGACUGUAGCUCGGUUCGGGAUUAUUUAUAUGCGAGAAAUUAAAUAUUCAAACAAUUAACACAAAAAUCAAGAGUUAUUUAAUUAAGUUUAUAUAUAAUAAAUUUAAAAUGAAUUUGUAGCUCCGUCUUCAUUGUAUUAUGUGGAAAAAUGAUAGACAAGCACCACCUUUUCUAGAAGGUGGUGCCCACCGUUAUUGAAAAAAGACGAAGGAUUUGGUGCUGCCCAAAGAAGAGAAAAAAGAGAGAAGGAAAAAAAAGAGAUGCCGGGCCGAAGAAGGAAAAGAAAAAAAAAAUUAAAUAUUAAAUGAACAGUAGCCAAAGCUUUCUCUAUAAAUAGAAACGAAGAGAAUAAGCAAAUUCAUUCUAUUAAGAGAAAUAGCAAUUUAGCAUUUUUGAGAGAGAGUUUAGAGAGCUUGAAAUUAUAAACUCUUGUUAUAGUGAUUUGAGGGUUUGGGUGUAUUGGGGUUUUGGGAAGUGAGCUAAAAUACUACAAUACUUGUAAUUCUUUUUUACUAGUAAAAUAUUUCAUUCUGUUUUCGCCCGUGGACGUAGGCUAAAAGCCGAACCAAGUAAUUUCUUGUGUUCUCUUUUGUGCUUGUUCUUUAUUUUUCUUCCAAUUUUAUUUUAGCUGCGUGUCUGCUUCACCCACUAAUUUCCUAACAGUGGUAUCAGAACUAUUGGUUGUAUUUUUUGGAGUCGGGUACUUUUCACAUAAGGGGUACUAUUCAUGUAUAUGGCACUGUUCACGUAUACGGUACUAUUCAUGCUAUUCACGUGUACGGUACUAUUCACGUGAAACGGUGGGAGCGAUCCAAUAAUUUUGUGGUGCAAAGCAGGGAAUAGUGGUGUGAGUAAAACAACUGUGUGGUUUUGUACAUGUCUAAGGAAGUUCUGUCACAAAGGCGAUAAAAACUUAAGGAGUCUGGGUUUUAAGUGGGACCAUUAUGACCCCUCCAGUCUUUCCUGGGAACUUUCUUGGUGUGCAUUCUCACACAUACUCACAACUAUUCAAGGUGGUACACUAGCUUGUGUGCGGUAUUUAUCAACAAAAUGGUGGUAAAGUAUAAAAUCGAGAAGUUUAACGGAAAUAAUUUUUCGUUGUGGAAAAUGAAGAUGAAAGCUGUAUUGAGGAAAAAUAAUUGCUUGGCAGCAAUUGGAGAAAGGCUCAUGGAGAUAACUGAUGACAAGUGGAACGAGAUAGAUGGCAACGCCAUUUCUGAUCUACACUUGACACUUGCAGAUGGAGUAUUAUCCAGUGUGGCAGAGAAAAAUACAACGAAUGAAAUAUGGGAUACUCUCACAAAAUUGUACGAGGCCAAGUCACUACACAACAAAAUCUUCUUGAAGAGGAAACUUUAUACUCUUCGAAUGGCGGAUUCUACAAUGGUGACCGACCACAUCAACACAUUGAAGACUCUAUUUUCACAACUCACAACGUUGGGUCAUAAUGUAGAGGAAAAUGAACUUGCAGAGCUUCUAUUUCAAAGUCUACCAAAUUCGUAUGAUCAACUCAUCAUCAACCUGAUGAAAAAUAAUCUAGCGGACACUCUAGUUUUUGAUGAUGUUGCAGCCUCCGUAUUAAAUGAGGAGAGCAGGCGGAAAAAUAAGGAAAAGAAACAAGCAAGUUCGCAGCAAGCGGAGGCGCUAUCAAAAUAACGUGGCCCCAGUGGGAGUCACAAUCAUGGUAGAUCAAAAUCCAGAAGUAAGAAGAAUGUUAAAUGCUACAACUGUGGCAAGAAAGGACACGUCAAGAAAGAGUGUUGGAGUAACCAGAAGAGAAGAGAGGGCAAAGAACCUGAGUCAUCAAAUGCUCAGGGUAGUGUAGCAAGUACCUCGAAUGAUGGCGAAAUUCUUUACAGCGAGGCAACAACUGUUUCAGAAGGCAGAAAAUGACUGUCUGAUGUCUGGCUUAUAGACUCAGGAGCUACCUGGCACAUGACCUCUCAGAGAGAAUGGUUCCACACAUAUGAACCUAUCUUAGGAGGAUCUGUAUAUAUGGGUAAUGAUCAUGCCUUGGAGAUCGCUGAUAUUGGUACUAUCAAAAUAAAAAUGUUUGAUGGUAUAAUUUGCACAAUUGAGGAGGUACGACAUGUCAAUGGUCUGAAGAAAAAUCUAUUAUCUUUGGGACAAAUGGAUAGUCAUGGGUAUAAAACUCAUGUGGAGAAUGAAAUUAUGAAGAUUGUUAAAGGUGCGCUUGUAUUGUUGAAAGCAGAAAAGAUCGGUGCUAAUCUAUUUAUUCUUAAAGGAGAAAUACUACAGGAGGCUGAUGCGUAUGUCGCAUCAAAUGGAAAAGAAUCAACGAUGAUGUGGCAUCUCAAACUUGGCCACAUGUCAGAACAAGUUUUGAAGAUUCUCUCUCAGUGAAAAUUGCUUCCACAACUUAAAUUGGUAAGUUUACCAUUUUACAAGCAUUGUGUUACAAGUAAGCAAUAUAGAUUAAAAUUCAGUAGAUCUAUUGCUAGAAGUAAAUACAUUUUAGACUUGAUUCAUUCUGAUGUUUGGGAAUCAUCGGAUAUAUCUAUGGGAGGUGCAAAGUACAUGGUGACUUUCAUUGAUGAUUAUUCUAGAAGAUGUUGGGUGUAUCCAAUUAAGAAAAAGUCACAUAUAUUUCCAGUGUUUAAAGAAUACAAAGUGCGGGUGGAACUUGAAUCUGGUAAAAAAAUCAAGUGCUUGAGGACGGAUAACGGUGGAGAGUAUACAGACGGUGAGUUUCUUGCUUUCUGUAAGCAAGAACGUAUUCAGAGACAGUUCACGGUAGCAUACACUCCUCAACAAAACGGAGUGGCGGAGCGGAUGAACAGAACUCUUACAGAAAGAAUAAGAGUUAUGUUGAAGACUGCAGGUCUACCCAAUUCAUUCUGGGCAGAAGCAGCCAAAACUGCCUGUUAUAUAGUAAAUUGAUCGUCAUCUACAGCUAUUGGGCUGAAGACAGCGAUAGAGAUGUGGACUGGAAAGCCAGCUGAUUAUUCCUAUCUACAUGCAUUUGGAUGUCCUGCGUACGUGAUGUACAAUGCCCAAGAAAGAACAAAACUGGAUCCAAAAUCUAGAAUAUGUAUCUUCUUAGGGUAUGCUGAUGGAGUAAAAGGGUAUCAUCUGUGGGACCCCACUGCCCACAAGAUCGUCAUCAGCAGAGAUGUUAUUUUUAUAUAAGAUCAACUAUAAAGGAAAGAUUGAGAUGAUGGCACUAUAAAAGAAAAGUCAGAGACUGUGCCGGUAUAUAUGGAAAAUAAUCCAGAAGAUUCAGAUUCUUUCGAAGCAGCACCAGAGCACGAAGAGUAAGAACCAGUCGAGUCUGAGGCUCCAGAAGUUCGUCGGUCAACUCGUGAGAGACGACCGCCAAUGUGGCACUCGGAGUAUGUCACAGAGAUCAACGUUGCAUACUAUCUUCUAACAGAGGAUGGAGAGCAUUCAACUUUCCAUGAAGCUUUAAACAGCUCAGAUGUUGCUUUGUGGAUGACAACAAUGCAGGAAGAAAUUGAAGCUCUACACAAGAACAAGACAUGGGAACUUGUACCACUACCACAUGGAAGAAAAGCCAUUAGAAACAAAUGGGUCUACAAGAUCAAACGUGAUGGUAAUGACCAAGUGGAGCGAUAUCGUGCAAGACUGGUGGUGAAAGGAUAUGCUCAGAAAGAAGGUAUUGACUUCAACGAGAUAUUUUCUCCAGUGGUUCGACUCACGACAGUCGGAGUAGUCUUGGCGAUGUGUGCUACAUUUGACUUACAUCUUGAGCAGUUGGAUGUGAAAACUACAUUUCUUCAUGGAGAACUUGAAGAAGAAAUUUAUAUACUCCAACCAGAAGCUUUUGCAGAAACAGGAAAGGAAAACUUGGUUUGCAGGUUGAACAAAUCUCUAUACGGUCUCAAACAGGCGCCGAGGUGUUGGUAUAAGAGAUUUGAUUCCUUCAUCAUGAGCCUUGGUCACAACAGACUCAGUUAAGACCAUUGUGCAUACUACAAAAGGUUUGAAGAUAAUGAUUUCAUUAUUUUGCUGUUAUAUGUGGAUGACAUGUUGGUAGCAGGCCCCAACAAAGAUCGAAUCCAAGAAUUGAAGGCACAGUUGGCUAGGGAGUUUGAAAUGAAGGACUUGGGACCAGCAAACAAGAUUCUAGAGAUGCAAAUUCACCGAGACAGAAAUAACAGGAAGAUUUGGCUUUCACAAAAGAAUUACUUGAAGAAAAUCUUGCGGCGCUUCAACAUGCAAGAUUGCAAGUCAAUCUCUACCCCACUUCCUGUUAAUUUCAAAUUAUCCUCAAGUAUGUGUCCUAGCAAUGAAGCAGAGAGGAAGGAGAUGUCUCGAGUACCGUAUGCAUCAGCAGUGGGAAGUUUGAUGUUCGCCAUGAUAUGUACUAGACCAAACAUUGCACAAGCAGUGGGAGCAGUCAAUCGAUACAUGACGAAUCCUAGUGGAGAGCAUUGGAUAGCUGUGAAGAGGAUUCUGAGAUACAUCAGAGGAACCUCAAAUGUUGCAUUAUGUUAUGGAGGAUCAGAAUUUACUGUCAGGGGCUAUGUGGAUUCAGAUUUUGCAGGAGACCUUGAUAAAAGGAAAUCUACUACUGGCUAUGUGUUUACACUUGCGGGAGCAGCUGUAAGCUGGGUUUCGAAACUGCAGACCGUUAUGGCUUUAUCUACAACAGAAGCAGAAUACAUGGCAGCUACACAAGCUUGCAAGAAAGCUAUUUGGAUACAAAGGUUAUUGAAGGAGCUCGGGCACAAACAAGAGAAAAUUUCUGUGUUUUGUAACAGUCAGAGUACCUUGCACAUUGCAAGGAAUCCAACCUUUUAUUCCAGGACAAAGCACAUAGGAGUUCAGUAUCACUUCGUUCGUGAAGUAGUGGAAGAUGGAAGUGUGGAUUUGCAGAAAAUCUAUACCAAAGAUAAACUAGCAGAUGUUUUGACCAAGCCGAUCAAUGCUGACAAGUUUAUCUGGAGUAGAUCAUUUUAUGGCCUAGCAGAAACGUAGGCAACAUGAUUAUGGCGAAGCAGAAAGGAUGGUGUGGAGAUUGAUUGUUUUUCAAUCUAAUCUCCAAGUGGGAGAAAUGUGGAAAAAUGAUAGCCAAACACCACCUUUUCUCGAAGGUGGUGCCCACCGUUAUUGAAACAAGAAGAAGGAUUUUGUGCCGCCCAAAGAAGAGAAAAAAAAAGAAGGAAAAAAAAGAGAUGCCGGGCCGAAGAAGGAAAAGAAAAAAAUAAUAAUUAAAUAUUAAAUGAACAGUAGCCAAAGCUUUCUCUAUAAAUAGAAAUGAAGAGAAUGAGCAAAUUCAUUACAUUAAGAGAAAGAGCAAUUUAGCAUUUUUGAGAGAGAGUUUAGAGAGCUUGAAAUUAUAAGCUCUUGUUAUAGUGAUUUGAGAGUUUGGGUGUAUUGGGGUUUUGAAAAGUGAGCUAAAAUACUACAAUACUUCACUACUAGAAAAAUGGUCUUUACUGACACUUGUCUUGUGACACUUUAUUAACAAGUAUCAGUAAUUACAUGUGAUUGGGGCAUUUUCCGUGUUUAACAGAUAAGUAUCACAAAUUUCUAAUACUAUAGCGUCCGUAAAUUAAGUAUCAGAGAUAUAUGACAUUAAGGUAUCAGUAAUUAAAAUAAUAAAAUUUUAAUUUUGUCUCCACUAGGAGUCGAACCGCAGACUUCUGAACUUUAGCUUUUUAAUUUUAAACGUUAAACCACUAGACCACAAGUUGUAUGUAAUUUUUAAAAAUUAAAUUAAAUUAUCUAGAAACUAUGUCUUAAUGAGGUGUACAUGGAAACCUAAAAUCUAAAAAUUUUGACGAGCAAAAAAUCUAUCCCCACCGCCAUUUUCUUCUUUGAACCGAAGCUCUCUUCUCUCUCUCUUCCCCCCUCUCCCUCUCUCUACCUCUCUCUCUAAUAACGAUCUACCUCACAAGCCGCUGCUGUAAACCUUCAAAGCUGCCAUCCUUGAGCUAAAAUAGAAAGUGUUGUGAAGAGCUUAGCCAAAGUUAGGGUUCGAAAGUCAGAUUCAAAAAAUUAGGGCUAAGAUCAACUAUAAAGGAAAGAUUGAGAUGAUGGCACUAUAAAAGAAAAGUCAGAGACUGUGCCGGUAUAUAUGGAAAAUAAUCCAGAAGAUUCAGAUUCUUUCGAAGCAGCACCAGAGCACGAAGAGUAAGAACCAGUCGAGUCUGAGGCUCCAGAAGUUCGUCGGUCAACUCGUGAGAGACGACCGCCAAUGUGGCACUCGGAGUAUGUCACAGAGAUCAACGUUGCAUACUAUCUUCUAACAGAGGAUGGAGAGCAUUCAACUUUCCAUGAAGCUUUAAACAGCUCAGAUGUUGCUUUGUGGAUGACAACAAUGCAGGAAGAAAUUGAAGCUCUACACAAGAACAAGACAUGGGAACUUGUACCACUACCACAUGGAAGAAAAGCCAUUAGAAACAAAUGGGUCUACAAGAUCAAACGUGAUGGUAAUGACCAAGUGGAGCGAUAUCGUGCAAGACUGGUGGUGAAAGGAUAUGCUCAGAAAGAAGGUAUUGACUUCAACGAGAUAUUUUCUCCAGUGGUUCGACUCACGACAGUCGGAGUAGUCUUGGCGAUGUGUGCUACAUUUGACUUACAUCUUGAGCAGUUGGAUGUGAAAACUACAUUUCUUCAUGGAGAACUUGAAGAAGAAAUUUAUAUACUCCAACCAGAAGCUUUUGCAGAAACAGGAAAGGAAAACUUGGUUUGCAGGUUGAACAAAUCUCUAUACGGUCUCAAACAGGCGCCGAGGUGUUGGUAUAAGAGAUUUGAUUCCUUCAUCAUGAGCCUUGGUCACAACAGACUCAGUUAAGACCAUUGUGCAUACUACAAAAGGUUUGAAGAUAAUGAUUUCAUUAUUUUGCUGUUAUAUGUGGAUGACAUGUUGGUAGCAGGCCCCAACAAAGAUCGAAUCCAAGAAUUGAAGGCACAGUUGGCUAGGGAGUUUGAAAUGAAGGACUUGGGACCAGCAAACAAGAUUCUAGAGAUGCAAAUUCACCGAGACAGAAAUAACAGGAAGAUUUGGCUUUCACAAAAGAAUUACUUGAAGAAAAUCUUGCGGCGCUUCAACAUGCAAGAUUGCAAGUCAAUCUCUACCCCACUUCCUGUUAAUUUCAAAUUAUCCUCAAGUAUGUGUCCUAGCAAUGAAGCAGAGAGGAAGGAGAUGUCUCGAGUACCGUAUGCAUCAGCAGUGGGAAGUUUGAUGUUCGCCAUGAUAUGUACUAGACCAAACAUUGCACAAGCAGUGGGAGCAGUCAAUCGAUACAUGACGAAUCCUAGUGGAGAGCAUUGGAUAGCUGUGAAGAGGAUUCUGAGAUACAUCAGAGGAACCUCAAAUGUUGCAUUAUGUUAUGGAGGAUCAGAAUUUACUGUCAGGGGCUAUGUGGAUUCAGAUUUUGCAGGAGACCUUGAUAAAAGGAAAUCUACUACUGGCUAUGUGUUUACACUUGCGGGAGCAGCUGUAAGCUGGGUUUCGAAACUGCAGACCGUUAUGGCUUUAUCUACAACAGAAGCAGAAUACAUGGCAGCUACACAAGCUUGCAAGAAAGCUAUUUGGAUACAAAGGUUAUUGAAGGAGCUCGGGCACAAACAAGAGAAAAUUUCUGUGUUUUGUAACAGUCAGAGUACCUUGCACAUUGCAAGGAAUCCAACCUUUUAUUCCAGGACAAAGCACAUAGGAGUUCAGUAUCACUUCGUUCGUGAAGUAGUGGAAGAUGGAAGUGUGGAUUUGCAGAAAAUCUAUACCAAAGAUAAACUAGCAGAUGUUUUGACCAAGCCGAUCAAUGCUGACAAGUUUAUCUGGAGUAGAUCAUUUUAUGGCCUAGCAGAAACGUAGGCAACAUGAUUAUGGCGAAGCAGAAAGGAUGGUGUGGAGAUUGAUUGUUUUUCAAUCUAAUCUCCAAGUGGGAGAAAUGUGGAAAAAUGAUAGCCAAACACCACCUUUUCUCGAAGGUGGUGCCCACCGUUAUUGAAACAAGAAGAAGGAUUUUGUGCCGCCCAAAGAAGAGAAAAAAAAAGAAGGAAAAAAAAGAGAUGCCGGGCCGAAGAAGGAAAAGAAAAAAAUAAUAAUUAAAUAUUAAAUGAACAGUAGCCAAAGCUUUCUCUAUAAAUAGAAAUGAAGAGAAUGAGCAAAUUCAUUACAUUAAGAGAAAGAGCAAUUUAGCAUUUUUGAGAGAGAGUUUAGAGAGCUUGAAAUUAUAAGCUCUUGUUAUAGUGAUUUGAGAGUUUGGGUGUAUUGGGGUUUUGAAAAGUGAGCUAAAAUACUACAAUACUUCACUACUAGAAAAAUGGUCUUUACUGACACUUGUCUUGUGACACUUUAUUAACAAGUAUCAGUAAUUACAUGUGAUUGGGGCAUUUUCCGUGUUUAACAGAUAAGUAUCACAAAUUUCUAAUACUAUAGCGUCCGUAAAUUAAGUAUCAGAGAUAUAUGACAUUAAGGUAUCAGUAAUUAAAAUAAUAAAAUUUUAAUUUUGUCUCCACUAGGAGUCGAACCGCAGACUUCUGAACUUUAGCUUUUUAAUUUUAAACGUUAAACCACUAGACCACAAGUUGUAUGUAAUUUUUAAAAAUUAAAUUAAAUUAUCUAGAAACUAUGUCUUAAUGAGGUGUACAUGGAAACCUAAAAUCUAAAAAUUUUGACGAGCAAAAAAUCUAUCCCCACCGCCAUUUUCUUCUUUGAACCGAAGCUCUCUUCUCUCUCUCUUCCCCCCUCUCCCUCUCUCUACCUCUCUCUCUAAUAACGAUCUACCUCACAAGCCACUGCUGUAAACCUUCAAAGCCGCCAUCCUUGAGUUAAAAUACCCUUAGAAAGACACCUAGAAAGUGUUGUGAAGAGCUUAGCCAAAGUUAGGGUUCGAAAGUCAGAUUCAAAAAAUUAGGGCUUUUUUUGUUGAGGGUAUUUUAUUGUUUUUAAUGUUGAGAUCAGAGAGAAUGAGUUUGUCGCCGUCGACGAAACCAAUAUCAGUUAUAGAAUCCACAGAGGCUGAUAUACAAAGAACCUGUGACUUAGAAAAGGUUUUGUUUCGUCUUUAUCUAUAAUUACUUUAUAUAUAUAUAUAUCUGAAACCCUGAUUUUGAUUUCCUUUGGGGUUGAUGUUUUUGGUUGAAGCUGGGCUUUAUGAAAGCAAAGAAGAAGCAGCGAAGAAAGAAGAGGUUCUCGGUCGAAUUAAUCAGGCAAGAAUUUUUUUAAAAAAAUUAUGAGUGAUUUUGAAACUAAGAUCACUUCUUGUGAUAUGUUUGUUAUCGUUUGGUUCAUUCUUUAUUUUGUAAUUUGGUUAUGAAUUGAGCUUGUUUGAGUUUUAUUGGUUAUCUUAGGGAUUUUAUUUUGUUAGAGAAUUUAGUGAUUUUGUAAUCAGGAAGUUUUGAGGGAGGGUGUGUUUGGAUUUGGGUGUUCUAGGGUUUGCGAACUUGAAUGAGGUUUUGAUUUGGUGAAAUUGAAAUUGAUGUCAAUUUUGAGCUUGAACUAUUGAUUCUAUAGAUGGGUUUAUUCUAUACUUGUUGAAAUUAUUCGUAUUCUUUGAAUGCUACAACUGCGGAUGCCGAAAUGUGUUCCUUCUUGGCUUUAUAUCAGCCAAGACAGAAAGUGUAGUUGUUCUUCUGUGUGUGGAACCUUGCCUGAAUGUUAAUGCAUUGAAGGACAUGAAUUGGGAUUUAAGUCAGUGGUGUUCUCUAAUUGAUGAUAGAUGUUUCUUGCAAUGGCUUGUUAAGGUUGGUAUUUCUUCUUUUUGUUACGAGAAGACUCAGCUUAUGAGCAAUCUAUACAAACUUUUGCAUAUAACAUGACAUGGUACUGUUGAUUCGCUACCGCAUCAUCACUUAUAAUUUGCUGAAUAUUUUCAUUUUCUAAGAACUUAUGUGUCCGAUCUGUGUGUACAGUAGGUAGAUGUUGUUUUUGUUAUGAUGUGAUUCAUUGUUUUUUCAACCUGCUAACAACAUGUUGUGCUUAACAGAUCCCAUUUGAACGGGAUUACUUACAAAUUGUAUAAUUUUUUAUUUUGUCUUUGGGAACAUAUGUGUAAUGUCAUUUUAUAAAUGUAGUAUGUAAAUGUUGUAUUAUUGAUUUUUUAGGAUGUGAUGCUUUGUUUUUUCAACCUGUUAAUGAUGUAUUGCACUUCACAGAUCCCAUCUGAACAGGAGCAGUUGAGAGCACGCCAGAUUAGUGCUCAACAAAUAAACAAGGUAGAAGAACUAUGGAAGACAAAUCCUGAUGCAACACUUGAGGAUCUUGAGAAGCCUGGUGUUGAUGAUGAGCCUCGGCCUGUAGCUUUGAAGUAUGAAGAUGCAUAUCGGGUUCUGUGUUUGAUGCAAAAAUUAGAUUCGGUAUUUUUACAUGAGAAUUUUGCGGAAAGUUACAGUCUGUCUUAUGGCUGCUAAUUGUAGUUGUUGUUUUCUCUCUUAUUUCAUGCAGUAUCAAAAUGUUUUUGCACCACUUAUCAAGCUUGAAGCUGACUAUGAUAAAGUAUGCCUCUUGAACCUUUGGAUUGUUUGCUCAUUAAAAUGCUCUACAGGAUAUUCUUCAACUGCUUUUUACUAUAUUGAAUAUCGUGCAGCAUCUUACUGUCUUAAUUUUCUUAUAGAUGAUGAAAGAAUCUCAAAGCAAGGACAAUGCUUUUUUUUUGUUCCUUUUUCUUAUCAGGUUCAAAUGCUUUUUCUUUUUUUGGGUGAUUAUGGACUAUGGUGUUUGCUGGAAUAAUCAAAAGCAUUUUUUUUUCCAAAGAUCUGAGAAGUACUUGCUCGUCUGUCAAAUUCAACCAGCCAUUUAUCAACAUCAAUAUUUAAGAAGGAAAAAAAAGUUUGUCGUGCCCUCUACUUUUGUCUUGGCUUUUUAUCAAACAUCACAGCAUGUCCUGUUUGCGGUGGUCUUGGCUUGCAUUGUAUGUUCUUUUCUAACUUUAUUGGUUGUCUCUUAUGGACAUGUGUGUAGUAGUGAGUGUGUUGCGUGAGUGAGUGUAUAUAUGAUCAUCAAUUUCAAUAAAACGUGCAUGAUAUAUGAUAAUUUUUCAGCUUAUUGAAUAAUUAUUUCGUAGUCUUGACUUCCUUUCCCUAUUUUUUGUUCCUUUUUCUUCUCAAAUUUAAUUUUUUGUUCCUUUUUCUUCCUUUCCCUGUCGGAUUACCAAUUCCUGGUAAUUGGUGCCUGUUAAAAUGGGUUGAAUUAAAGCUCUUGGCAUUUGGUAUAAGAUUUGGUUUAUCCGAUAGACUUCAGUUGUAAAGCUUACAGCAUGUCUUCUUGGAGGCUGUAUUUGAAUGUCCCAACAUGUUGAUAGGAUUUGGAUAGUCUUAAAUACCAGGGCAGCUUUCUUAGCAAAGGGAGAUUGAAAAGGCAUGAUCUAGGAGAAGCUUCUACUUUCUUAAGAGAAGCUUCUACUUUCUUAAGCCAUUGUUUAAGGGUUGUUUUUGCAGUAUUCGUUGGGGUCUAGUAGUUCCACAAUUGUUCCAAUUGUCCAUUCAGCUUAAAUUGCUGUGCAUUGUACUAAAAUUGCUUUACUUGUUUGAUUGGUCUGAAAGUUGAAGAAAAGUAUUAAAAUAAUUUCAUUUUAUUGCUAUGAGAAUAGUUGUUUCACUAUUUAUUUACUUUACAGAAGAUUCCUGACUAGUUUCCUUUAGACUUGACACUGGAAAAAUUGCAAUGGGUUAAGCUGUGAAAAAUUAUAUGCUUAGUGAACGCCAGCACAUUCUCCCAUCUUUUAACUAUCUGUGGACACUGUUGACAUAGUCUAAUCUGAAAUUUUUCUCCAUGCUUAAAUUGUAAUCGACACAUUAUUGUUUACUGAAUUUUACAGCUUGUCAUUUUCUGGAUGGUGAUGGUUUAUUUAUUUGUGUGUUUCUUGACAGAUCACAUGUGAAUUUAUUAAUGUGACUAGAUGGAAGAUUGCCAUAUGUGGCGAAUAUAUGAAGUCAAGACUAAAGGUACAGCCAAUUGUCUCAUUUUUCAGAGUUAUAAUUGUGCGGCUUACACACUUGCUUUUUUCUUUGCCAUUUUUCUUUUGAUAUGAAAUGAGUUUGUUUCUUUUCUUCUUUUCUUUACACUCUUAUUAUAUUCGUUGAGCAUAUUUUAACAGACAUGCUCUCGUGGAAUGGCUUGCAAUUUUAUCCACUGUUUCUGCAACCCUGGCGGAGACUAUGAAUGGGCUGAUUGGGAUAAACCACCUCCGAGAUAUUGGGUGAAAAAGAUGGCUGCUUUAUUUGGUUAUUCUGAUGAAUCUGGGACCUGGAAUCAAGAACGCUCAGGNNNNNNNNNNNNNNNNNNNNNNNNNNNNNNNNNNNNNNNNNNNNNNNNNNNNNNNNNNNNNNNNNNNNNNNNNNNNNNNNNNNNNNNNNNNNNNNNNNNNNNNNNNNNNNNNNNNNNNNNNNNNNNNNNNNNNNNNNNNNNNNNNNNNNNNNNNNNNNNNNNNNNNNNNNNNNNNNNNNNNNNNNNNNNNNNNCAAUAAAAAAAAUCUGCUGUACCGUACAUCCGCCUUGGCCGUACAGCAGUGUGGCGUAAUGACCAUGUUCCAAGCAUGGCAAGAAAAUAAUUAGAUUCAACAAGAAGCCUUUGGUGAUGUAGCAUUGCAAUCUUAUGUACAAGGGAUGAUGAUCCAAACUAUGAUCAAAUUUUCAUUAUUUAAUGUAUUUACUGCUGAUGUUAGAAAUCUUCUGGUUAUUUAUGAUUUUGUAAUUUCUUAUAUAGGCAUCAUUAUAGAAGGUCUAGAUCAAGGGAGGCUGAUCGUGUGAAAAGUGGUUCUGGCAGAAGCCAUGAUGAUGAACGUCAAGUUCAUGAAACAACUUGGAGUCGGAGGCGCUCCAAUUAUCACAGUGAAAGCAGAAGUGAUGAGGCUAAUUCUGAUGGAAGUUGGUCAGAUAUGGACAGAGACUAAUUUUAUGUAUUGAAUUUGGAUUAUUUAGUUAUGAGAGUAGGAUAUCUCAUAUUUUGGCUAUUGAAGUUCAAUUUGUAAUAUAUACUAAUAAUAUUUAAAUGUGAAAUGAAAGAUUUUGUGAUAUAAAUCAAUUUCUUUUUAUUAUUUUGUGGUGCUUUUAAUUUUACAAAUAAAUCAAUAGGCAAUGAUCCAAUUUAAUUUUUUAUUUUUUAAAAAAUAAAUUAACUAGUGAUACCAUGGUAACAAUAAUCAUAGACACUAAUAAAAUAUCAAUAACUACUAACACUAUGGUGUCAUAAUAUCGGUGAUACUGUAGUAAUAGUAAUCAUUGACACCACUUACAAGUGUCACUAUUUUUCUGACUCCCAGAUUACUGACACAAUUAACAAGUGUCAGUGAAAGUAAUUUCUGACACUAUUCUAAAGUCAGUAAAGACCAUUUUUCUAGUAGUGCUUGUAACUCUUUUUUACUAGUAAAAUAUUUCCUUUUGUUUUCGCCCGUGGAUUCUUUUUACUAGUAAAAUAUUUCCUUUUGUUUUCGCCCAUGGACGUAGGCUAAAAGCCGAACCAAGUAAUUUCUAGUGUUCUCUUUUGUGCUUGUUCUUUAUUUGUCUUCCAAUUUUAUUUUAGCUGCAUGUCUGCUUCACCCACCAAUUUCCUAACAUAUUAUUAUAAACGAAGAGCGUUAUUCCUAUUUAUGCUCUGCUUGUAACUUUUUUAAUUACCACUAUUAAAUCAUCGAGUUCAUGGCCAACGUAUACAAAAAGCAAAAAUUCUUGAAUUUGCAGCUAUUAAAGAUGCAUAUUGCUACAUUCCAUUUUCACUGUAACGUGGAGCAGCGGCAAAUAUCUAUUAACUCCCAAUAUUUUAAGGGAGCACGAUACGAGACCCGUGUGUUGAAAAAUUCAAAAUUGGAACUCAAAUAUAAGCAUUCAAAUUUGGUUAAUGCAUCAAUUGACCAUCUUGCAUACACAUGCAUGCAUUCAGCAUUGGAGAGGCAAAUUUCAAGAUAAAUUGCUAAGGUAGACACCUAAUUUCCAAUGUGCUCGAGGAAAUUAUGAGCCUUGCUGGAGGCUUUGACAUCUUUGACGUGUAUCCUUCACUCGAAUUUCUUAGUUCCAUAACAUGGGUCAAGGCUAGAGUAUUGAGCAUUCAUAAGAAGAUGGAUAAGAUUCUUGAAGAAAUUCUCAUAGAACAUAGGUUGCAAAGGAAUGGGAAUCAUGUCAAAGCUGAUGAUCAGGAAGAUAUUGUUGACAGUCUUUUAAGUUAUGAGGAGGAUAAUAAGAGUAAGUUUCAUCUCACAAUUAACUAGAUUAAAGCUAUCAUUUUGGUAAGUCCUUUACACUAAUGCCAUAAUUAUACAUAAUCGAGACAAUAACUAUAUAGACCAACAAGAUCAAUAUACUGUAAAAGACAAUAACUAUAUGGACUAACAAGAUCUAUGAAUUUCAGGACAUUUUCACUGCGGGGAGUGAGACUUCAGCAACAUCAAUUGAAUGGGAAAUGUCAUAACUAAUAAAGAACCAUGGAGUUAUGAAGAAGGCACAAGAAGAGGUAAGAAAGGCAUUCAAAGGAAAGAGCAAAAUCGAAGAGCCGGACAUCCAAAACCUAGAUUACUUGAAAGCAAUUAUCAAAGAAACUUUCAGGUUACACCCUCUAAUAAGCUUUCGGACAGAAGCUGUGAAUACAACUUGUUUAGUCAAUAGAAGCUUAUCAUCUACUAUUGGGUUUAAGACACCUAAAGAUAUAUGGUCAAGAAGGCCUGCAAAGUAUGAAAAUUUUAGUGAGGUCCUAUUUAUGUUCAUCUAAAAUCAAGGCAAGCUUGAUAUUAGAGCCUUGAAAAGGGUCUUUAUUGGAUACCCUAAUAGAGUUAAAGGGUAUAAGAUCUGGUGGGGAGAGCAAAAGAAGUGUAUUAUUAGUAGGGAUAUAGUGUUCCACAAAUCUAUAUUACUCAAAGAAAGUGUAACAACCAACUUUGAUGAAUACGCUGAUAAUAAUUUUGAAAUAGUAAUUGACAUUUCAAAGCUUAAGGUGGAGUUUUCUAAUGACAGAUAUCAUGAAAAAGAGGAAUAUGAUUAUAAGAAUGGAACAAAUGGUGGAGUUGAAGACAUUUCGCUACCAGAUUUGCAACUAUUUGACUUGCAGAACUAUCAAUUAGCUAAAGACAGAAUUAAAAGGCAAACUAAAGCAUUAGUGAAGUAUGGUUAUAUUGAUUUAAUUGCCUACCCAUUGUUAAGUGUUGAUGACAUUGAGGAGCCUAGAAGUUACUCUAAACCUAUUGAAAGUGAGGAUAACGUUAAAUGGUUUUUUUCUAUGCAAAAAGUGAUGGACUCCCUGCAAAGAAACCAUACCUAGACACUUGUACCAAACCCAGGCAAUAGAAAGCUAGUUAGUUGUAUGUGGAUAUUUAAGAAGAAUGAGGGAAUUCCAGGUAUUGAACCUUCAAGGUAUAAAGCAAAGCUUGUAGCUAGAGAGCUUACACAAAAAAGGGUGUGGAUUUGUUAACUUUGUUAGAUAUGGAGCUUGAACAAACGGAUGUUAAAACUAUCUUCCUUCAUGGUAAUCUUGAAAAAUAGAUACUAAUGGUUCAACCUGAAUGAUGUGAGUGCAAAGGAAAAGAAGGUCAUAUGUGUUUACUAUAUAAGUCCUUGCAUAGAAAUCUCCUAGAUAAUGGUAUGGAAGAUUUGAUGAGUUAUAAUCACAAAUUAAUACCACCAAAGCAAAUUUGAUAGUUGUGUUCAUUAUGGUGGCUCAGAUCAAGGUGGAGUUGUAUAUCUGCCUCUUUAUGUGGAUGAUAUGCUAAUUAUAGGCAAAGACAACUAUGAGAUACAUCAAUUAAAAAAAUUGUUAAAAGGAUAGUUUGAAAUGAAGAACCUUGGCAAUGCCAAAAAGAUCCUUGGCCUGGAAAUCUAAAAAAAUAGAGUUGCCAAUACCUUGUUUCUAAGUUAAGAAAAGUAUAUUAAGAAGGUUUUAGAGAGGUUUGAUAUGCAUGACUGCAAACAUGUUCUAACUCCUUUUGGUCCCCAAUUCAAGUUGUCAACAGCACAAUCCUGAAAGGCUGAAAAGCUACAGAUGAAUGAGAUACAAUAUGCACAAGCUGUAGAGAGCCUUAUAUAUGCAGUGGUCUGCGUUAGACUUGAUACAACCUGUUGUCAGCAGAUUUUUUAGUCGUCUAAGCAAAACUCAUUGAAGUGCAAUCAAAUGGAAAAUGAGAUAUCUCAAAGGUUCUUUUGCUUGUGGUUUGUUGUAUAGAAAGUGAUGCAAAUGAAGUUGCGGAUUAUGUGGAUUCUAAUUUUACUGGAGACUUGGAUAAAAGAAGGUCUAUUUAAGGGUAUAUGUUUAUGUUAAAUAUGUGCAUGAUAAGUUGGAAAGCAUCUCUAGAGCCAGCCAAUGGUGGCAUUAUCUUCAACUAAGGCUAAAUUUGUUAUAGCAACAAAGGUAGUUAAGGAGGCCGUGUCGAUUAAAGGUGUUCUCAAUGAACUUUAGUUGAAUCAGGAAACAAACCAAGAUUUAUGUGAUAAUCAAAGUGCCACUCAAUUGAUUAAAAAUCAGGUCUAUCAUCAGUAGUCCAAGCAUAUAGAUGUAAAGUUGCAGUUUAUCAGAGAUGAAAUUGUAAGGGGGAGCUGUGGCUGUGUGCAAGAUCCAUACAGAUGUAAAUCCUGCUAAUGCACUUACUAAAGUGCUUCCUACUGUAAAAUUUGAGUUAUAUAUAAACUUAAUGGGUGUUUUGCCCAAAUCAAACUAAAUUCAGGAGUGAAUUGUAAUUGAUUGAAGGGUUUUUAGAUAAUGCUUUGUUGAAGGGAUUAUCUGAAUCAAUUGCAAGGUGGAUAAUGUGAAGAUAUAAGCAUUUGAGUUUUUGGACUCAAAUGAAAAAUGAGAAGAACUUGUGGACAUUAUGCAUAUUGACUUUAGUUAAAGAUUUCUGUUUGAUAUUUUUUGCUUACGUGGCAGAUUUAGUUAUAAUUUGUUAAUGCGUUUCCAGUAUAAAUAGAAGCUGACAAGCAGAGCCUGAUAUGAGAGCUCUUUCUUCUUCGUCUGUUAACCAAAUUACAUGGGAUCUAUUACAUUGUGAUAUGUGCAAAUUCUUCUGUAGAAUCCAUUUGUAUUUUGAUAGUAUUGAUCAAUAAUGAGAGCAGAUUUUUCUUCACAAACUAGUUGCUUGUGCCUUUGUUCAUUCUUUUGUAGGUUUGUUCUUGGUUCUGUUUUCUUGUUUUCAUUAAAUUGAGGAAUAAUAUGGCCAAAGAGUCCUCAGCAAUCAGCAUAUGGUAAUUUGUUCAUGUAUGACUCAAGAUGCAGAAGGUAAUAUUUUAAAAUCUUCGGAAGUUCAAAUAUGUGUUGUGUUUACAAGUACAUUCAUAAAUACAUUUCACUCUUUCUCUCAGCUAUGUGGAAACUAUUGCUUCCAAAAUGGUUGGGUUGUCUAAGUUGAUCAAAGAGACUCUGGGAUGUAAAUUUCUAUAAUGCAUUCAGUAAGUUUUAUGUUAUUUAAACUUUUUUUGUUUUUCAUGUUAUUUAGACUGCUUCUGUCGUCAUUAUUUCUAUAUACAGUGAUAAGAAUCAAUUUCAAAUCAACCACAACCAAGACAAUGAUAACAAGGCAACCAUGAACCAUACAAAAGGAAGGAAUAAAUUUUCCUCAAAUCAUUUUGAAGUCAAUCUAGCUUUUUGCUCAGCCUUAGCUAAAGGCUUACCAAGUUCAAGACUUGUCAACAACGACUAGUAUUAGUUUUGGCCUAAACUUUCUCAAAUCACGAUCUUUGUGGAUAUAAUAGGAAACUCUCCUAUGUCAAGCCAUAACAUAGUCCUAAAAUAGCUCCUUAUCUUUCUAUGAAUUGUAUAAGAACAUGUAAAGAAAAUAUGUGAAAAGAAAUAAUAUUUUUCUUCAGCUAUUCAAUCGAUAUCAAAUUAUCUUUUAUGGUAUCAAAGUAGAUGGCUGAAAAUUUUUGCAGAACCACAACUCACUAUUCAAUCCUUUCAUCAAUGUGCCAAUCUUGUUUCUAUUAAACUCACAUUAAAUAAUUAUCUUUUAUGGAAGUCUCAAGUCCUUCCUUUAAUCAAAAGCCUUGAGAUGGAGCAUCACAUUGUAAAAGACAAGACUCCAACGAAAAUGGUUACACAAGGUGGGAAAGAAAUAAUAAAUCCAGAAUUUAUUCAAUGGAUGAAUAAUGAUGGAUUAUUGAUGACAUGGCUUAGAGGGAUGAUGGUUGAAGAUGUUCUAAGCUUGAUUAUAGAAGGCCAAACUGCUUGUGAAGCAUGGCUUUCCAUUAAAGAGCAAAUGCUUCCAGCCACCAAGGAACAAGAAUCUUGGUUGAAGGAUAGCCUCUGCUCUCUUUAAAAGGGAAAUACAAAGCUCGAAGAAUUUCUUAAUAAAUUCAAAUCAUUGUGUGACAACUUGACAGUAAUUGGGAAACCAAUUUCAGAUAAAGACAAAGUCUUCCAACUUGCACGAUCCUUGGGGCCUAAGUACGCGGAUUUCAUGACUACCAUGCUAACUAAACCUCCAUAUCCAACUUUAAAGCAUUUCAUCCUUGCCCUUCAGAAUCAUGAACAAACCAUAAUGGUGAAAACAAAGUCAUUAAUUCUCAAAAAAGACAAACUGCCUCAGAUGCUCAAACUGCUCCAAAAAAUAAUGCCAACCAUCAAGAAAAAGAAGAUAUCAUUAUUUGCCAAAUAUGUGGAAAAAAGGGCCACAAUGUUGCUGUGAAUCUAAUAUUGUUUUAUUAUUGGUUUAUGUUGAUGAUGUGAUAAUAACGGGCAAUAAUAGCAAAAUGAUUCAACACAUCAUCCAUACUCUUAGUUCUCAAUUUGCCUUAAAAGAUCUUGGCUUAUUAAAUUAUUUCUUAGGUAUUGAAAUCAAGAAAUUUAAACAAGGUAUCUUUCUUCCGCAGGCCAAAUACACAAGGGAUUUACUUGACAAAACAAAGAUGCAAGAUAGUACAUUCGUUGCCACUCUAAUGGCUGUGAAACAGAUACCAAGAUUUGAUGAUGCACAAUCCGUUAAUGCUACUGAGUAUCGACAAAUAGUGGGAAGUCUUCAAUACCUCACUUCUACCAGACCAGAUAUCACACAUGCGGUCAACAAAGUGUGUCAAAAAUUCCAACAACCAACAAAGGUUGAUCUCGAGCUGUCAAACGGAUAUUGCGAUACCUCAAAAAGACACUUAACUUUGGACUUCGCUAUUUGAAACAAAGUUCCUUGACACUUUAUGGGUUCUCAAAUUCAGAUUGGGUGGGUUGCCCUUUAACUUGAUGAAGUACGAGUGGCUUCUGCAUUUACCUUGGAUCAUCGUUUAAAAAAGCAAACCAUCGUUGCUCGUUCCAGUACAGAAGCUGAAUAUCAUUGCAUGGUAUCUACGGCAGUCAAACUCACUUGACUUACAUACAUAUUCAAAGAGAUUGGCAUAAACCUGAUAAAGCCUCCAGUUCUUAUAUGCGACAAUAUCAGCUCCCUUCAUAUGUCAAAAAAUCUUUUUUUUUCCAUGCACGGACCAAGCACAUUGAGCUUGAUUAUCACUUUGUUCGUGAGAAAGUAACAAGUAGAUUACUGAACACAAGAUAUAUUCCAUCAUCACAGCAAACGGUAGAUUUAUUCAGUAAACCAUUGUCCAAAGCAUUGUUCUCAAAAUUUCGGCACAAACUUGGAAUACACACCAUGGCAAUUCUUACUUUGAAGGGGGCUGAUAAGAAUUAUUUUCAAAUCAACCACAACCAAGACAAUGACAGCAAGGCAAUCAUGAACUCUACAAAAGGAAGGAAUAAAUUUUCCUCAAAUCAUUUUGAAGUCAAUUUAGCAUUUUGCUCAGCCUUAGCUAAAGGCUUACCAAGUUCAAGACUUGUCAACAACGGCUAGUAUUAGUUUUAGCCUAAACUUUUCCAAAUCACAAUCUUUGUGGAUAUAAUAGGAAACUCUCGUAUGUCAAGCCAUAACAUAGUCCUAAAAUAGCUCUUUAUCUUUGUAUAAAUUGUAUAAGAUCAUGCAAAGAAAAUGUGUGAAAAGAAAUAAUAUUUUUCUCCAGCUAUUCAAUCGAUAUCAAAUUAUCUUUUAUACAGCAGCUUGUUUACUAAAGAGUUUCGUUUGCCCUUGUUUGUGGGAUCAAGACCUCAAUUUCCUGUAUUUCAGACUAUUUGUGUGAUUAUUCAAUGCCAUUAGUGUACGUACUCAAGAUUCCUUUCCAUCACCCAGUUGGAUCGCUUAAUUAAAGGACUGAUGAUACUUGUUUUAAAAUAUUUUGAACUAAGUUGGUCAGUUAGCAUGACAAAUCAAAUUCUCCAAAUUGCACCCAUAUAGCCGCAUUUUUGUGUUUUAAUACUCACAUAAUGAAUCCUUUUUUUAUGACGUUUAAAGAUUUUUUUUUUUCCCUAUUGUCUCUGAUUAUCAUCAGGUCAUUCUCUAUAAAAUUAUGUGCAAAUUUCUACUACUGUCGUGUGUAAAUGCUUAGGCAGAGCCUGACCAGCAGUAUUUCGUUUCAUUUUAUAAACAUUCCAGCGCUCCUAAAACCAUCAAGGAAAGGAAAAUAAUGUGCAGCAGCAGUUGGAUCUUCUUUCAGUAUUCUUUGAAUAUUUUCUGCCCGGAGGCCUAAGGAAUGUAAAAUGUUGUUUUGCACAUGGCACAUGCUAGGUACUAAGAAAGCAAACAGAGCAAUUUUGGUGGGUUGAAUAGUCUACCGAAGCAAAGAUUUGAGUUCACAUAUAGGCAAGGAAAAUGAAUUUAACAAAAAUAUUUAUGGAAUAAAGUGCAGUUUUUUUUAUUUGACUUGGAUGUUCAAAGUCCGAAUUUUGAUUUUCUUUCAUCCCAGUAUUGUUGACCGUCUUGUAUGUAAGAAAGUCAUCGACCAAAAUGAUGAAAAAGUAAUUUAUAAGUUUAUUUUGUAUCGUGAGGCAUUUCGACAUUCCCGAUUUCUGCAUGCUGCAUAAUCUCUUGAACUGUAAUCUCUAUAUUAGAGGUCUGAUGUUAGCGGUAAUCAAAUAAAAUUUUAAAGUAAGAGACUCAUUUCACUUAUUUGGCAUAUAUCUGAACAUAUUUGUAGUACAGCAGAAUGCUGAGGUGCCACAGAAAUGCCCGUGUCUGUGCUUUGAUUGUAGCCUGUAUAAUCUUCUCAAUGAGUUCAUGGGCUCUAUUGAUACAAGCAAGAAUUCCCUAAUUCGGACCAAUUCAAGGUACAAAUAUUUACAGGUUCAUUUUUCAGAUUCAUGUGAUGUAGUAUGCUUCCAUGUUUUUUCUUUUUUUUUUUCGUCUUUCAAUAUUAAUUUUUGUUUGUCUUUGAACUCUCAAUGACAGGAAGUUUGAUCCGGUGAAGUUUAAUCCGGCAGAGUAUGACGGAACGUUUAAUCCGUCGGAGCCUCAAGCCGAUUCCUUUUAAGUCAAACUCCCCGGUAGCAGCUCCUUUGCCUUGACAUGGUUAAAAACCAGCAAGAAAAUGUUAUUAAGUCAUGAAGUAUAUGAAAAAUAAUUUGCAGCGGAAAUAUUUGAAUUGCAAUUCUCAUACAAUAUAUAAAAUUACCAUAAUCUAGAAAUCGUAUCUUUGCUUUUUCGCUGAAGUAAUCUAGACUCCCAGAUCACGAUCUGUCACCACCAAUCUUAUUAGAUCAUGAUUUGUCACAGUGAUCUUUCAGAUUAUGACUCAAGAUUGAUCUGCACUUGACAUGUGGGCGCUUUUAUCACUGCUAAAAGCAACUAGCAAGAGAAAAUUUUCUCUCAAAGUUAGAGAGAAAAAAUCUUUUUUCUCUGAUUUGUAUAUUGUGGCUACUGUCUCCUUUUAAAGAAAACAAGUCAUUUUAUAUCUCUAUUUGGUGGAAACCCUAGGCUCAUAUUUAUAUUCUUAUUUUUAAUUCUAUUAAAUCAAAUUUGAUUUAAAUUAAAAAAUAAUAAAACCAAAAGUGGCGUUACUUGUUCUUAUUAUUGGGGCCCACCUUGUAAAAUAACACAAGGCCCCCUACACACAAAUAUAUUAAAUGGAGUCUCCCACUAAAUAAUAUAUUAGGACUUUUAACUCAAAUAGCUAAUUAUCUUACUUAUUAACCCGGGGAUCAUAUGGGUGCAUAUAAUAGUGGCUACAAUAAUUAGACCUCUAAUUAAACUAAUCCAAUUAUUUAAUUCAAAAUCUACUCUAUUAAAAGAUUGGAACUGACAUCCAUAAUUGCAUUCUAUCUAGGAUAGUGUUCUCAAAUAAUAAUGCGACCCAUGCCACAUUGAUUUUCUUACUGAACAAUCAUUUGUACCAUAUCGCUAAUUAAAUUGAUGCCUCAAUUGUUCAAUCAAUUUAAUUACAUAUUGUUCCUUGAUACUUACUGGUUUUCUCUAAUGAUCAUUUUCAAUAUAUUAAUUAUAUUGACACUCUCUGUCCAGAGAAUUCUAUGAUCAAAUACUGAAAACCCGUGAAGAGAUGUAUUGUACAAAUUCUAUAUUGUUAAUCUAUAAUCUCACUGCUCAUAAUUGUUUUCACCAAGAUACCGGGUAAUCUUGACUAUAAAUGCAUGUCGUGCCCAUUAGUAACUCAAAUGAAAUGACAAUCACAAACACGAAAAUAUAAUUAACUCAAGAUUAAGAUUGCAAUAAAAUCAAUGCCUAUUAGAUUUAAUAAGUUUAACGGUCAUUUUAAGGUUAAUUAAAUCUCAUAUGUGAUCCAGCUCAAUAUAGUCAAAUUACAUCAGUAAAUUCAUACAUAAUUAAGGCAAAUCAUUCAAUGAAUUUACUACAGUCUAAACAUAAAUAGAGCGUCCAACUCUAUUUACCAACUGCGAACUUAAUUUAUUUAAUCAUGAGAUAACUUAUAUUUAUGUCUUCUAUGAAUCCAUAUGAUGAUCACAUCAAUACUUAAAAUAAGAUUAAAUGGACCUGAUUCAAAAUAUUUAUGCAAGUAAGAUUUUUGAAAAAUAUCUCAAAUAUUUUAUUAAUUAGAAAAUAAAUAAAUAUGCUUUAAAGAGCACAUAAUCCCAACAUUAUAUGCUUUCAUUUUGAUAGUGUCUUCUUGCUUCUUCACAAUCUCAUUUUUGUUCAAUUAAACAAAUAUAUAUAUAUAUAUAUAUAUAUAUAUAUAUAAAGUUGGGACUUGAGGAGGUGAUGUGGCAUCACCAUUUCUCAUCUUUGUACAUUCUCUAUUAUCUAAUAAAUAGAGAAAUUUUCUUUUAAAUUUAACUUUUCAUCUUUUCACAAUUAAUUUAAUUGUAAAUGUUUUAAUGAGGCAUAUUCUUUGUAAUGAACAUCCAAGGAGGAGUGUUAUGAAUUUAUUAAAAUAAAUGUAGAUGGUCAUAAUAUAUAUUUCUUAGUCUUCUCACUAUCUCUCAUUAGCAACAUUUAGCUUCCCUAUAACUCCCACUAUCUCAUAAGGAAUUAUGAUCCAUAAUUUUUCAUUAAUUUCAUGGAGUGAUUAUGUAACUAUAAAAGGAGAGCUCAUCUUUUUGUUUUGUACACACACAAUUGAAAUGAAUAAAAUCACUCUACAACAUAUUCUCUCACUUUAUUCUUUAUUUUGCGUUGCUUCUUUAUUUGUAUUGUUGGUUAAUAGUUUUUUUUAUUUUUUAUAAGGCUGCCUCAUCUUUAAAAAAAAAUCAAUUCAUAUUUUUUAUCAGUUUCAUCAAGUGUAAAGUAAGAAAAAAUGAUAAUACUAAAUUCUUUUUUCAAAGCCGCGUGAAGCGCGGUUCUAUUUUCUAGUUACAAAUAAAUGCGUGUUACUAGCUAGUAUGCCCCAUCUCUGCCCACACCCCUCACCUUGCAAUUCAACCAUUUUAAUUUAUAGUAUCAAUUUUAACAUAUAUAUAAUUGGUAACCUGAUUGCUCGCAACGAAGAUUUAGAUUUCAUAAUCAAUAAAUACACUUGGUAAGAAGCACCAAAUAUGUAUGUAAAGAGUUAAUUUUUACUCAUUCACAUAAAAUAACUCGAAAUCUCCUCUUUAAUUCAUCUUAUUUGAUUGCAAUACAUCGAUUAAACAAUAAAGGCUGAAAAUCAAUAGAUGGAUGGUGGGGAAAGUUUGUGCAUUUGGAGUCGGAAAUUGAGUAAUUGUUUGCUUUAUGGAGGGCAGGUAGUGGUGGAGAAGAAAAUUAAACAGGGGCUGCAGUGAACUGUUCUACAAGAGCUAUAUCUUACCUUUUAUGUAAGGUAGCCGAGCCCUAACAUAUAAUUAAUGUUAUAUGGCUGCAUCUGUGAUUCAUAUGAUCUAAAUUGAUUUCUGUUAAUUUAGUCAUCUUUUCUUUCUUCAACUCUCAGACAAGAGGUUUAAUCCAUCGGAGUUGUGAAGAAUUGAGUUGUGAAUUUGGGGACUAAAAUGUAAUCGAAAGAGAGUUACUGGGCUAUAGUGUAGAUCUUAUUCAGUAUUGGGGUCGAUAUGAAAAUACUUUGCUGAUGUGGCAAAGUUUGUUAUGGUCGUUGGAAGCGUUUCUGGAAAAUUUCCAGAAACCUCAGUAUAAAAGGGGCUGAUGAACAGCCUCUGGUGUACGUGUGUCUUCUCUUUCUUUUCUCAUCCAAAUUCUGUAAUUCUUGCUUUAAUAGAAAGCUUGUAAUCUCCUCUAUAAUGUGUGAUCGAGGUGUAAUCAGUUUGAGUAAUAAAAGCUUGUGAGUUUUCCUUCAAACGGUGUCGUUUUGGUUAAGCUCAUCAGUUGUGUGCUUCUGUGUUUGGCGUUUUUCUUCUGUGAUUCUUGAUCUGUUUCUGGAAUCUUUUUCUGGUAAUUUGUUCUCACAAAUUAACAGGAGUGUAACCGGAAGACUUGUGGACAUGCUGUUACAAGCACUAUGUAUGUAUAAAAUAACGAUGGAGCUUCCAAUUCCCUCGAAAGAAAAUCAAGUUAAUUGCUUAAUCUGGAUCCGUUUCAGGGAUUUUAAAAUUGGUUUUGAAUAAUAUGAAAAAAUAGGUUCUUAUAGUUUCUUCACCAAAAUCAUUCUAAAUGUGUAUGUUAAAUCUAAAAUUAAAUAAAAAUUUUUGAGGAAAAUUAAAUUCGUAGAUUUUAAGUCUGGCUGCGCUUCUACAGUUAGGGUAUGGAAAAUCCUCUACAUUACAAAUAUAAUUUAACACUUCAUUAUAGUUUAAAUAAUGUGAUUUAGCCUCAACUUUGCAUUUUAAUAUGUGCGAAAAUGGCUAUUUCUUUUCAAUUUGGAUUCAGAUUCUCUUCCAAUAUCAUUUUUUUUUUAAUUUUUUGAAAAUCUUGAGACAAGUGGCAAAAAGAUUAUUGAAUGGCCAAAAAUUUUAUUGCUUUUGUUUUACAAAAUCAAUUUCUUAAAUUAGAAAAGUAAAAUAAUAAACUUUCACGAACAAACCAAAUUCUUCUUUUUCCUAAUCCACUUUCCUUGGUUUUCUACCUUCAUCAUCUUCUCCUUUCGAGAUUGAGCAAUGGCAGCUAUGGGCAAGACUUCAACAAAUAUUUAAAACCCUAAAGCCAUAGGGUAACAAAGUUAUAAGGAAUUGAAAUAUAAAGCCAUGGGGUAACACAGUUAAUUUAGUUUUGUAAAACUUCAAUAGACAAACAAGAAAAAGAGAAAGUACAUGUGUUUAACAUAUUGAUUGACCAGCAAAAACACAAAUAUUGUUUACCUCGGGUUUUAUAAGACUUGGGAUGUCUUAUCAUCUGAGCUUAUCCCAUUUUGGAGUAAAACCCCAUAUGAAUAUGAAUAUGUACCAUGAAAUUAACACGAAUAAUACUCAACUCCAAUUCAUAAGAAUAAUUCAAAUUAUAAUGCUGAUAAUUGAUAUCUCCGUGAACAAUACACAUGUACAGAGGAUCGGAAGUAUGGGAGGUCCUGGACCCCAAGCUUUAAAAAUGACCUUUAUCUAGGUAAAUUUUAUUCUUUACCCCCUCAGUUCCAUAGUUCUCACAUAUUGCAAGCUGUGUUAAUAAAGUUUGUUGUUUCCAUAUACCCCCAUCGAAUGAAAAUUCUGGUUUCACCAUACGCAGGCACGAGAACAAUCAGCAGAUUUGAAAGAGCUAAUUAUUCAUUUUUAUUUUUCUGCUGCAAAUAUCUUUUAUGUAUACUUUAAUUACAAGCGUACACGUGAUACUAGGAAUCAGUUGGCACUUAUCUAGCUAGGAAUCAGUUGAACAAAUUCUUCUCUUGUACUAUUAGUACUCGGUGAACUCGAUGAGAAAUGGUGAAGUUAUAUUUUUCCAAACCUGAUGUCAGACACUUACUGGUAUAUAUGCGUUGAUGGAAUGAGAUUUGUUGUUUCCAUAAUAAGCAUAUAUAUUAUAUGAUAACAUUGAUAAUUGGUUUAUUAAAACAUGAUUAUUGUCAUAAAACUGAAAUAUUUGUUAGUGCUUCAUGGGCUAUUGCGUUUAAAUGGGGCUGUUCCGGGACAUUGAAUGAAUGCAACAAGUAAGUCAAGAAAGUGAAAUUGGAGCUGGUACCGGGACUUUGAAUGAAUGCAACAUGUAAGUCAAGAACGUGAAAGAACUGCAAUUAGUCUCUUAAACUCAUUGUUACAUUUUCCAUGUAACUACGUAAUCAUCAUUGCCAAGGAAAAAUUGUGUAGUUGAAGGGUCCACACAAAAUAGUAAGGGGUCGACGGCAUUGGCACUACAUUUUAAUCUUAUUCAAUGAUAUUCAAGGGAUCAUGUGUAUCACAUCAUCUGUUAUUCCAAUAAAUUCAAAGGAUCAUAUGUAUCACAUCAUUUGUAGUUCCAAGAAAUUCAAUGGAUCAUGCGUAUCACUUCAUUUGUAAUUCCAAUGGGAUGAGCUCAAUUGGGUUAAUUUAGCAUCUCGUAGCAUAAACAAGAAAUUGUUUUUGGAAAUAUUGUAAAGACAUCCAUCCAAGGGAGUAUGUAUGUAUGUAUAUGUGUGUGUGUGUGUGUACACACACGUUGAUUCGUUUAACUAAAAUAAAUAGAAGAAGUCAUCAAUGAUCCAUAUGGUCUCCUAUAGUGAGCGUAAACAGUAUUAAUUUGAUUAUUAUAGACAUCCGGUAUCUUAUUAAAUCCGACCAAUUAAAUAUAUACAUAUAACUUGAUUGAAUCUCAUCGAUCACUAUUAUUUGUCUAUUGAAGUUUACAAUAUUUUAAUAACUAGGCUACCUUAUGUCUUUGUAUUUCGUUUCUCGAGAAAACUUAGACUAUCUUCAUUGAAUCACGUUAUUCGUACAACAAUUCAAUAAAAUCAUGACAUAUACAUGCUAUUUGUAUUCUAAAAUUUUCAAUCAUUUAUAGUUAUCAACUUAUCAUUGUGAUGAGGUAUACCUUGUACCGGAUUAUUUCCACCUACAGGAACUUUCCUCAGACUCCUGUGAUGGAGUAACCCUUCUGUCGCACUUUUAUGGACUAAACUUUCUGUCACGGAGAGUUCAAGACAAAGGUUAAGAAAAUUAAAAAUGCAAUAAAAACAAAAACAAAAAUACGAAAUAGUGGAGCGAUAUAUAAAAUUAAUGUUCUUCAAUUAAUUGGACCAAUUUCAUGUUCUUAAUUAGUUACGCACCUUGGAUAGCUGAGAAAUUCCGAAUUCUUGCUUCUAUUACCAAGGGAAAUGAAAUCAUUGAUAUAAUAACUAUACAUGCAACAAGCAAAGUGCAGACCGGAGCAUUAUUCCUAUAACAGUUUGACAUAUUACUUUUUUGAAAAAAGAAAAAAAAAGAAUGGAGAUUAUUCAAUUCUAUCAAUCCUUUUAUACAAUCACUGAGAAGGAAAGACUUCCAAAAUUCAAGCUUUGAAUUGUAUAAGUCAAAAUUAUUAAUUGCUAGAAAAUUCUCUUCAAAAAACAAAAAACAAAAAGAAGAACAAAAUUCCUGCUUUUAAUUUCACGGCUUUGAACAAGACCCUAAUUAAUGUUCUACAUUAGCAAGAACCUAGUUUUAACAUUUCUAUCACACAGGUCGUCGACUUCUGUACCUUCAUAAUAUUGAAUUUUAACCGUUAUAUAUGAUUUAUGAUGUAUAUAUGAGUAAGGGCAUUUCCGUCAUUUGAAUAGGAUGAUCCAGUUGGUUUUAACUCUUAAAAGUAAAAGCUACAGGUCAAUGAAUAGGUUCCCCUUACACACCAGCCGUGGAGAUAGAGAUUCUUUAAUUUGUGUUUGUGCAUUGGGAUACUUUGCUCAAAAGGUUUUGAGUGUGCAGUCUAUUGCAAAAAAAUAACAAUAAUUAUAAUCAGGGCUGCCACUGAAAGUUCUAGCUAGCUUCAUCCUCCUUCUCAUGACUGGAUCCCAUUCCGUCCAUGCGAUGACUUGAUAUUUCAGAUUGAGUGUAGAGUGUAGACACUUAAAAUAAAAAUAAAAUGGUUUCAAAUUGAAUGGUAAGCACUAAGGCGACAAAUUUCUUGCAUAUAUAUGUAGUUGAAUUGUCAAUAUAUGAAUUUAUGAAAUGAGAAGUUCGGGUAUUUUACGCCAAGCAAUUUUUAGUGUCUGUUUAAUUAUGUUUAUGGUCCAAUUGUCACGGCAAUUUCAUUCCAAUAGCCAAUGGCUUUGACUCUUGUUGUUUAUGAAAGCAAAUCCAGAAAACUAAAACGGCAGAAGACUUUGCGUUUACAGCUGAAAUCACUUAAGCUCAACGACAUAGAGUCUUGCGUUUUGAAGAGUAAAAGAAAUACUCUUCUGAACGACAUGUGAGUUUGUCGUUUAAGUUUAAGUGAAGCACGCUUGUAUCACAUGCUUGUGUUCAGCUUGCAAAGGUUCGUUAGAAGCCGUUAAAUGCAUGAGGAACUCACGUGAGUUGCUGGGGAACUUCUGGGUUCGUUAUUGAAGCUGUUAUCGAGCAGCUGAUGUGGCAGCAAUAGAUUGGUGUACAGAGAGAGCUGAAGAGAGAGAAGGGGACUGGUUUAUAUAUAGUCAGUUCUGAUCUUUCUUAGCUAUAUAAGCAUUACUCUGUAAUUCAUCUUGUUAAAUCAAUAAAGUUGUUCUUUGCCCUCCCAUGGAUGUAAGCUAGAGAAAUCUAGCUGAACCACGUUAAGUUUCUUUUGUUCUUUGAUUGCUCUACUUAUGUUGAUUCUUUAAUCCAAAUUGGUUAAUCGUCUAGUUCCAUAAAUUCAUCUUAGUCGUAGCUUUUCAGUCAUCAAUCUUGCAACAUCUUGAUUAGUUGGUUGGUGAUCUUAGGGCAGAAUCUAAGGUUGCUUAGUCUGUUCAUAGCACCUUAGUUUCUACAAUUAGUAUCAGAACUUAGUCUACAAACCAAUUACGAGUAUGGCUUCAACCAAGAUCGAUCUUGAGAAGUUUACAGGCAAGAAUGAUUUCAACAUGUGGAAAGUGAAGAUAGAGGCCCUGCUGAUAACACAUGGGUUAGGAGAUGCACUUAAACCUAUCACCAAAAAAGAAAAGAAAGAAGUAUCAUCCUCUAAGACACCUGAAAUGGCUGCCGAGAUAGACAAAAAGGCCAGAAGCACCAUCAUAUUGAGCCUUGGUGACUCAGUGAUAAGGGAGUUUGCCAAAGAGAAGACUGUUGCAGACCUAUGGGCCAAACUAGAAAAGAUUUAUAUGACAAAGUCUUUGGCUAAUAGGUUGUAUAUCAAAAGGAGGAUGUUCACUCUGAAAAUGGCUGAAGGGUCCUCUCUUGAUGAUCAUAUCUAUGAAUUCAAUCAAGUUUGUGACACACUUGAAACCAUUGAUGAGGGGCUGGAUGAUGAAGGAAAGGUAUUGCUUCUGGUGAGUUCUUUACCUCAGUCUAUUCAAAUCUUGUUGAUGCCCUUAUGUAUGGAAGAUCAACAUUAUCAUUAGAUGAGGUUAAGGCUGCCUUGAAUACUAGAGGGCUGCAAGAAAAUUCUGGGAAUAUGAUGCAUGCUGAAGGAUUAUCAGUUAAGGGUAAGUUUAACAAGAAUGAUGGAAAGAAGAAAAAAACAAAAGCAAGAUAAGUCUAAAUUAUAAAACAGAAAGUGCUUUCCUUGUCACAAAGAAGGCCACUUCAAGAAAGACUGUCAAGAACUAAAGAACAAGAACAAGGAAAGAAAUGGUGAUGCAGCUACAGUGGAGGAAGAAGGUUAUGAAUCUGCUGGUGUAUGUGUGGCUACAAAGGAUCUCCAGAGAGGUAAAUGGAUACUAGAUUCUGGUUGCACCUUUCAUAUGUGCCCAUUUAAAACUUACUUCUCUGAUUACCAUAAUUUAGAUGGGGGAAAAAUAAUGAUGGGUAACAAUGCUGUAUGUAAAGUCAUAGGCAUAGGAAAUGUGAGUCUUAGGCUUCAUGAUGGGACAAUUUGGGAACUUAGAGAGGUUAGAUAUGUUCCUGACUUAAAGAGGAACUUAAUCUCACUAGGUUUGAUUGAUCAGAAUGGGUUUAGUAUUAAGCUUGAAUCUGGCAGAUUGUUGAUCAUGAAGGGCACUAAGAUAGUGAUGAAAGGUUCAAAAAGGAAUGCAGUAUAUGUUCUAGAUGAUGAGGCAGUUACAGGAAUAACAGAUGUCAUUAUUGGCACUAGUGAGCACUAGGCUGUGGCACCUAAGAUUGGGGCAUAUGAGUGUUAAGCGGUUAAAAGAGCUUGAAAAACAAGGAGUUCUGGGGAAUGAUAAGACAGAAGAGUUAGAUUUUCGUGAAGAUUGUGUCUUUGGGAAGUCCACGAGAAACAGUUUCAAGCACUCAACUAGCAAAUCUAUUGGCAUCCUAGACUACAUACACUCUGAUCUCUAGGGACCAGCACAGACCAGCUCAUUAAGUGGUAAUAGCUAUUUUUUGUCAAUAAUUAAUGAUUAUUCAAGAAGAGUUUGGGUCUAUAUACUGAAACACAAAGAUCAAGUCUUUAGCAAAUUUAAAGAAUGGAAAACCUUAGUUAAAAAUCAAACUGGAAAGAAGGUUAAGAAACUGAGAACAGAUAAUGGACUUGAGUUAUGCAAUCAGCAAUUUAACAGCAACUGUGCAAAUAAGGGGAUAGCAAGGCACAAAACAGUGAGGUUAACACCUCAGUAAAAUGGAUUGGCAGAAAGGAUAAACAGGACCCUGAUGGAUAAGGUGAGGUGUAUGCUGGUGCAAGCACAGCUACCAAAACACCUCUGGGCAGAAACCUUAUUAACAGCUAGCUAUCUGGUGAAUUUAAGUCCCUCUGCUGCUCUAGACUUUAAGACUCCAUUUGAAAUGUGGCAUGGAAAACCAGCAAGCUAUGUCAAUCUCAAAGUGUUUGGAUGUCCUGCUUAUGCACAUGUCAAUCAAGGAAAGUUAGCACCUAGGGCUCUUAAAGGUCAGUUCCUAGGCUAUCCUGAUGGAGUUAAAGGAUACAAACUAUAGUGUACUGAUCUAGAACCUCCAAGGUGCAUAAUAAGCAGAGAUGUGCCAUUUAAUGAGAAGGCUGUUUUGGAAGUCAGAAAGGAUGCUGGGUUGAAAACUCAGAAACCUCAAGUCCAAGAUAAGAUCCAAUUUGAGGUGGAGCAUCCUGAUUCAAAGAAAUCUGAGAGGGGUAAGAAUUCAGAUCAAGACAGUGAAGAUCAUGAUGAAUGCAGUGGCCCUCAACCACAAUCUCAAAGGCAGACUCAAGCACAAGGUUAUCAGCUGACUAAAGAUAGAGAAAAGAGCCAAAUCAUACCACCACAAAGAUAUGGAUACGCUGAUUUGAUAGCAUAUGCACUAGCUGCUUCACAUGAUAUUGAUGUAGAUGAGCCCAAGAGUUAUAUUGAAGCUAUUCAAAGCUCAAACAAAUUAGAAUGGCAGGAAGCUAUGAAUGAUGAGAUAGCCUCUCUUAAGAAGAAUCACACUUGAAUAUUGGUUGAGAAGCCUGGUAACAGAAGGACAGUGGGUUGCAAGUGGGUUUUCAGAGUCAAAGAAGGCCUCACAGCUAGUGAACCUAUGAGGUACAAAGCUAGGCUUGUGGCUAAGGGGCAUACUCAAAGGGAAGGAGUUGAUUUUAAAGAGGUAUUCUCCCCUGUGGUCAGACAUGCCUCCAUAAGGGUACUGUUAGCACUGACUGUAGUCCAUGACUUAGAGCUUGAUCAACUCGAUGUCAAGACUGCAUUUCUACAUGAAAGACUACAAGAAGAAAUUCUUAUGACUCAACCUGAGGGCUAUGUGGAUUCUAAGAAACCAAACCAUGUUUGCUUGCUAAAAAGGUCAUUGUAUGGGCUCAAGCAAUCUCCAAGGCAAUGGUAUCUCAGGUUUAAUGAAUUCAUGUUGUCACAUGGAUACCUAAGAUGCAGUUUUGAUUGCUGUGUAUAUUACAAGCUAAUAAGUUCAAGCCUCUACAUAUACCUGUUACUCUAUGUAGAUGACAUGUUGGUAGCCUGUAAGUCGAGAGAAGAAAUUGAAGCUUUGAAGAAUUUGCUGAGCUCUGAAUUUGAGAUGAAAGAUUUAGGGUCAGCAAAGAAGAAACUGGGCAUGGAGAUCAAGAGGGACAGAAGCAAAGGUAUUAUGUUCAUUUCUCAAGAGAAAUAUAUGAUGAGGGUACUGGAAACUUUUGGGAUGACCUCAUGUAAACCUUUGAUGACUCCAAUGGCAACACAUUUUAAGCUCUCCAGUCUCCAGUGUCCAAAGACAGAAGAAGAAAAGUUAGAGAUGGCCAAGAUCCCUUAUGCUAAUGCAGUUGGCUGCAUGAUGUAUGUUAUGGUUCUAACUAGGCCUGAUAUCUCCUAUGCUCUAAGUGUAGUUAGCAGAUAUAUGGUGUCUCUUGGAAAAGAACAUUGGAGAGCUGUAAAAUGGUUAGUGAGAUACCUAAGUGGAACUCUGAACCAUGGGCUGGUUUAUGAAAGGUCAACGAGUAAGUCUGAAGGGAUAAGUGGAUUUGUUGAUUCUGACUUUACAGGGAACUUAGAUAGAAUAAGAUCUCUCACAGGGUAUUUGUACAUGCUGGAUGGCUGCUUGAUUAACCGGAAGGCAAGCCUUCAACAUGUUGUUGCGAUAUCAACAACAGAAGCUGAGUAUACAGUAGCCACUGAAGCAGUAAAGGAAGCCUUAUGGUUGAAAGGAUUGAUUUUAGAGCUAGGAGUGAGUCAGAAGACAGUUGAUGUAUUUUGUGAUAGCUCAAGUGCCAUUUACUUGAGCAAAAACCCAGCUUACCAUGAGAAAACAAAGCACAUCGACAUCAAGUUGCAUUUCAUCAGAAAUGUAGUUUCCAUAGGUGUAGUCAAGAUGGUGAAGAUACAUACAGAUAGAAACCCUGCUGACAUGUUAACGAAAGUAGUCACUACAGCUAAGUUCAAAGUUUGCUUGGACAUAGCUGGUCUUGGCUGCUGUUAAUUCAUUCUGGAAAUGGAGGGGAAAAUUAGGGGUGAUUUGUUUCAAUGUGGAGAAUUGUUGUUUGUGAAAGCAAAUCCAGAAAACUAAAACGGUAGAAGACUUUUGCGUUUAGAGCUAAAAUCACUUAAGCUCAAUGACAUAGAGUCUUGCGUUUUGAAGAGUAAAAGAAAUACUCUUCUCAACGACAUGUGAGUUUGUCGUUUAAGUUUAAGUGAAGUACGCUUGUAUCACAUGCUUGUGUUCAGCUUGCAAAGGUUCGUUAGAAGCCGUUAAACGCAUGAGGAACUCACGUGAGUUGUUGGGGAAUUUCUGGGUUCAUUAUUGAAGCUGUUAUCGAGCAGCUGAUGUGGCAACAACAGAUUGGUGUGCAGAGAGAGCUGAAGAGAGAGAAGAGGACUGGUUUAUAUAUAGUCAAUUCUGAUCUUUCUUAGUUAUAUAAGCAUUACUUUGUAAUUCAUCUUGUUAAAUCAAUAAAGCUGUUCUUUGCCCUCCCGUUAAUGUAAGCUAGAGAAAUCUAGCUGAACCACGUUAAGUUUCUUUUGUUCUUUGAUUGCUCUACUUAUGUUGAUUUUUUAAUCCAAAUUGGUUAAUCGUCUAGUUCCAUAAAUUCAUCUUAGUUACAGCUUUUCAGUCAUCAAUUUUGCAGCAUCUUGAUUAGUUGGUUGGUGAUCUUGGGGUAGAAUCUAAGGUUGCUUAGUUUGUUCAUAGCACCUUAGUUUCUACAACUCUCAAUAAGUGCUUUUUUUCCUGUGAAUUUAAUUUGCAUGCGACCCGAUUUUCAAUCUGAUAAGAUUUGUAUGAUCAGUUCAAAGUUAAAAUCGUGGGUCUAAUUUAAUUAUUUGAAUGGUAAAGCACGAAAAAAGCUGGACCCAAAAGACUUUAUAGGAUGUUUGUUUGCAGUCACAAAUCCUGUGGAAAUUACUUGUUUGAUGACGAGUGAAUAGGACUCCUCAAGCAAAUAUAAAGAAUGAAUCUAUAUAGAGAGGCUUGAUUUUAUGUUUGAUGGCACAAAAUGGGAAAAUUCCUUAGAAGGCGUAGUUCAUGUUUUAUAUUCAGCUUUUGUAUUAAUUAGUGUGAAGUAGUGCUCUUUCUUGACAAUAAGCAAGGAUUUCUCUUUUCUGAACAACCUAAACCAUAUAUAUUUUGUUUUGGCAAAAUUUAGAACUCCCCUUAGGUUAAUAGGAUUAUAUUUUAUUUAGUAUUAAAUUUAUGCAUUUUUUUUUAUAGAACUCCUAGACUUAAUUCAUACGUAAAAGCUGGUUUAAAAGUUGAAGAUUGUCUAAAACUUAUACUAUUAACACAGUAACUGACAUGGGAUAAUAUCUUCAACAUUUUCGACUAUCAUUUAUUAUAAAAAGAUCGAAUUGCUUGACCUUCAAAAAGUGCAUGUAUCGAUUAACAUGACAAUUAUCGGGGUGUUGUAGUGGGCUUUCAGUUUUUGGAAAAAUCAUUAGUUUUGCCGAAUAACUGGUUUAUCAAUUUCCCUUCCUCAGAAGUAUAUAUACCCCAGUUUUCUUUCAGAAUUUAUGUAUUUCCAUUUUUUAUGUCUUCUUAAUAAUUUAUAAAGUAGAAGAUAAAUAAAAAAAAACACUAUUUUUUUAUGAAAAAUAAACUAUUUUUCCAUUUACGUGAGCAGUUUAAACCAUAAACUACUUAUGUAAGUGUAAAUGGAUUUAUCAAUUAAACGACCAAGUAUCCACGUGUCUGCUCAAUGAUUAGAAAGAGCAUCAACACCAUUUGAUUUUGAUCAUGAUGGAACACAUUUUCAUUGCUAUAACUUUAAGCACUUUUUUAAAAUAAAUAAAUAAGUAAUAUGUUCAGCAAAGCUCGACCAAUUUUUUGUCAAAGUCGGUGGCCUUAACAAGCCAAAUUCAAAUUGGCUUUGACAGCCACCAAUCUAAAAAGAGUAGAAUUCCACAGUAAAAAAAAAAAGAAGAAGAAAAAUAGAAUUUAAAAGCUGCAAAUGUUGAAGGAUUUGGCACCGCCAAGGAAGAAAGAAAAAUAAGAUAAUGGCUGUGAGACAAAAAAAAAUUAAAAUAAUAACCAAUUUUGACUAUAUAAAGGAAGCUCCUCAUCUUAGCUUUUGCAUUCAUUCUUUGUGAGAGAGAAAGCAGAGAGCUUGAGUGAUUUUAAGAGCUUAAAAUUAUAAAGCUCUUGUGAGUAGAGAUUUGGUGUAUUAGGGUUCUGGGUAGUGAGCCAAAAUAUUACAAUACUUAUAAUCCUCAUAUCACUUGUAAAAUAAUUUUCUUCUGUCUUCGCCCAUGGACGUAGGCUAAAAGCCGAACCACGUAAUUUUCUAGUGUCUUCUUUUGUGCUUGUUCUUUAUUUUCUUCCAAUUUUAUUUUAACUGUGACCCUGCUUCACCCAUCAAUUUCCUAACAGUGGUAUCAGAGCUACUGGUUGUAUUUUUUAAAGUUUGUGGUACUGUUCAUGUAUACGAUACUUUUCACGUAUACGGUAUUGUUCACGUGAAAUGGUAAGAGCUGAUCCUAGCAAAGUUAGUUCGUGGUGAAAAGUGAUGGCGGCAAAAUACGAAAUUGAGAAGUUCAACGGAAAAAAUUUUUCGUUGUAAAAAAUGAAGAUAAAACAUGUAUUGAGGAAAAAUAAUUACUUCGCAACAAUUGGAGAAAGGUCCAUGGAGAUAACUAAUGACAAGUGGAACGAGAUAGACGGCAACAUCAUUUCUGAUCUACACUUGGCACUUGCGGAUGGAGUAUCAUCCAGUGUGGUAGAGAAAAAAACAGUAAAAGAAAUAUGAGAUACUCUCACAAAAUUGUACGAGGCCAAAUCACUGCACAAUAACAUCUUUUUAAAAAUGAGACUCUAUACUCUUCGAAUGGCGGAAUCUACAUUUAUGAUCGACCACAUCAAUACCUUGAAUACUCCAUUUUCACAACUCACAACGUUGGGUCAUAAUAUAGAGAAAAAUGAACAUGCAGAGCUUCUACCUCAAAGUGUACCAGAUUCGUAUGAUCAACUCAUCAUCAACCUGACGAACAACAAUCCAGCGGACAAUCUAGUUUUCGAGAUGUUACAACCUCCGUAUUAAAUGAGGAAAGCUGGCGAAAAAAUAAGGAAGACAGACUGGCGAGUUUGCAGCAAGUAGAAGCGCUAUCGGUGACGAGAGGGAGAUCAAUAGAACGUGGCCCCAGUGGGAGUCAGAGUCAUGGUAAGUCAAAAUCAAAAAGUAAGAAAAUGUCAAAUGCUACAAUUGUGGCAAGAAAUGGUACUUCAAGAAAGAGUGUUAGAGUAACUAGAAGAGAAAAUAGGGCAAAGAACCUGAGUCAUCAAAUGCUCAGGAGUGUGUAGCAAGUACCUCGGAUGAUGGCAAAAUUCUCUACAGCGAGGCAACAACUGUUUCAGAAGGCAAAAAAGGGCUAACUGACGUCUGGCCCAUAGACUCAGGAGCUACCUACCACAUGACAUCUCAGAAAGAAUGGUUCCACACAUAUAAGCCUAUCUCAGAAGGAUCUGUAUAUAUGGGCGAUGAUCAUGCCUUGGAGAUUGUUGGUAUUAGUACUAUCAAAAUCAAAAUGUUUGAUGGUACAAUUCGCACAAUUGAGGAGAUACGACAUGUCAAAGGUCUGAAGAAGAACCUAUAGUGUUUGGGACAAAUGGAUAGUCAUGGGCAUAAAAUUCAUGUGGAAAAAAUGGAAUUAUGAAGAUUGUUAAAGGCGCGUUUGUAUUGAUGAAGGCAAAAAAGAUCAGUGCUAAUCUAUUCAUGCUUAAAGGAGAAAUACUACAAGUGGCUGAUGCGUGUGUCGCAUUAAAUGGAGAAGAGUCGACAAUGAUCUGGCAUCUCAAACUUGCCUACAUGUCGAAACAAAGUUUGAAGAUUCUCUCUGAGCGGAAAUUACUUCCGGGACUCAAAUCGGUAAGUUUACCAUUCUAUGAGCAUUAUAUUACAAGUAAGCAGAAUAGAUUAAAAUUCAGCAAAUCUGUUGCCAGAAGUAAAUGUAUUAUAGACUUGGUUCAUUCUAAUAUUUGGGAAUCACUGGAUAUAUCUAUGGGAGGUGCAAAGUACAUGAUGACUUUCAUUGAUGAUUAUUCCAGGAGAUGUUAGGUGUAUCCAAUUAAGAAAAAAUCAGAUGUGUUUCCAGUGUUUAAGGAAUAAAAAGCGCUGGUGGAACUUGAAUCCGGCAAAAAGAUCAAGUGCUUGAGGACGGAUAAUAGUGGAGAGUAUAUAGACGGCGAGUUUCUUGCUUUCUGUAAGUAAGAAGGUAUUCAAAGGCAGUUCACGGUAGAAUACACUCAUCAAUAAAAUAGAGUGGCAGAGCGGAUGAACAUGACUCUUAUAGAAAGGAUAAGAGCUAUGUUGAGAACUACUGGUCUACCCAAUUUAUUUUAGGCAGAUGCAGCCAAAACUGCUUAUUAUAUAUUAAAUCGGUCGACAUCCAUAGCUAUUGGGCUGAAAUAGCGAUGGAGAUGUGGACUGGAAAGCCAACUAAUUACUCUUAUCUAUAUGCAUUUGGAUGUCCUAUGUACGUGAUGUACAAUGCCCAAGAAAGAAAAAAGUUAGAUCUAAAAUCUAGGAAGUAUAUCUUCUUAGGGUCUGCUGAUGGAGUAAAAGGGUAUCGUCUGUGGGACCCCACUGCCCACAAGAUCAUUAUCAGCAGAGAUGUUAUCUUUGUAGAAAAUCAACUACAAAUGAGAGAUGAGGAUGAUAGCACUGUAAAAGAAAAGUCAGAGACUGCACCGAUAUAUGUAAAAAAUAAUCUAAAAAAAGAAGAUUCAGAUUCUUCUGAAGCAGCACCAUAGCACAAGGAAUAAGAACUAAUCGAGUCCGAGACUCCAGAAGUUCGUCAAUCAACUCAUUAUGACGACCACCACCGUAGCACUCACAGUAUGUCAUAGAGAUCAAUGUUGCAUACUGUUUUCUAACAAAGAAUGGAGAGCCAUCAACUUUCCAUUAAGCUUUAAAUAGCUCAGAUGUUACUUUGUGGAUGACAGCAAUGCAGGAAAAAAUUGAAGCUCUACACAAGAACAAAACAUGAAAACUUGUACCACUACCACAUGAAAGAAAAGUCAUUGGUAAUAAAUGGGUCUACAAGAUUAAACGUGAUGGCAAUAAUCAAGUGGAGCGGUAUCAUGCAAUAUUGUUAGUGAAAUGAUAUGCUCAGAAAGAAGGUACUGACUUGAAUAAGAUAUUUUCUCCGGUGAUUUGACUUACAACAGUCAGAUUAGUCUUGGCGAUGUGUGCUACAUUUGACUUAUAUCUUGAGCAGUUAGAUGUGAAAACUGCAUUUCUUCAUGGAGAACUUGAAAAAGAAAUUUAUAUGCUCCAACCAGAAGGUUUUGCUGAAAUAGGAAAGAAGAACUUGGUUUGCAGAUUGAAUAAAUUUCUAUACAGUCUCAAACAGGUGCCGAGGUGUUGGUAUAAGAGAUUUGAUUCCUUCACCAUGAGCCUUGGAUACAAUAGACUCAAUUCAGACUAUUGUGCAUAUUACAAGAGGUUUGAAGAUAAUGAUUUUAUCAUUUUACUAUUGUACGUGGAUGACAUGUUGGUAGUAGGCCCCAACAAAGAUCGAAUCCAAGAAUUGAAGGCACAAUUGUCUAGGGAGUUUGAAAUAAAGGACUUGGGACCCGCAAACAAGAUUCUAGGGAUGCAAAUUUAUCGAGACAGAAAUAACAUGAAGAUUUGACUUUUUCAGAAGAACUACUUGAAGAAAAUCUUGCAACGGUUUAACAUGCAAGAUUGUAAGCCAAUCUCUACCCCACUUCCUGUUAAUUUCAAAUUAUCCUCAAGUAUGUGUCCUAGCAAUAAAGCAGAGAUGAAGGAAAUGUCUCGAGUACCGUAUGCAUCAGUAGUGGGAAGUUUGAUGUUCGCUAUGAUAUGUAUUAGACUAGACAUUGCACAAGCAAUGGGAGCAGUAAGUCCAUACAUGGCGAAUCCUAGUGGAAAACAUUGGAAAACUGUGAAGAGAAUUUUGAGAUAUAUCAGAGGAACCUCAGAUGUUGCAUUAUGUUAUGGAGGAUUAGAAUUUACUGUCAGGGGCUACGUGGAUUCAGAUUUUGCAGGAGAUCUUGAUAAAAGGAAAUCCACUACUGGCUAUGUGUUUACACUUGUGGGAGCAACUGUAAGCUGGGUUUCGAAACUGCAGACCAAUGUGGCUUUAUCUACAACAAAAGCAGAAUACAUGGCAGCUACACAAGCUUGCAAGGAAGCUAUUUGGAUACAAAGGUUAUUGGAGGAGCUUGGGCACAAACAAGAGAAAAUAUCUGUGUUUUGUGACAGUUAGAGUGUCUUGCAUAUUGUACGGAAUCCAGCCUUUCAUUCCAGGACAAAGCACAUAGGAGUUCAUUAUUACUUCAUUCGAGAAGUAGUGGAAGACGGAAGUGUGGAUUUACAAAAAAUCUAUACUAAGGAGAACCUAGCAGAUGUUUUGACCAAGCCGAUAAUUACUAACAAGUUUGUAUGGAGUAGAUUCUCUUGUGGCCUUACAGAAACGAAAGCAACAUGAUAGCGGCGAAGCAGAAAGGAUGGCAUGGAGAUUGAUUGAUUCUCAAUCAAAUCUCCAAGUGGGAGAAAUGUCAAAGCCGGUGGCCUCAACAAGCCAAAUUCAAAUUGGCUUUGACAGCCACCAAUCUAGAAGAAGUAGAAUUCCACAGUAAAAAAGAAAGAAGAAGAAAAAUAAAAUUUGAAAGCAACAAAUGUUGAAGGAUUUGGCACCGCCAAGGAAGAAAGAAAAAGAAGAUAAUGGUGGUGAGACAAAAAAAAUUAAAAUAAUAGCCAAUUUUGACUAUAUAAAGGAAGCUCCUCAUUUUGGUUUUUGCAUUCACUCUUUGUGAGAGAGAAAGCAGAGAGCUUGAGUGAUUUUAAGAGCUUAAAAUUAUAAAGCUCUUGUGAGUAGAGAUUUGGUGUAUUGGGGUUCUGGGUAGUGAGCAAAAAUAUUACAGUACUUAUAAUCCUCAUAUUACUAGUAAAAUAUUUUCAUUCUGUCAUCGCCCAUGGACGUAAACUAAAAGCCGAACCACAUAAUUUUCUAGUGUUCUCUUUUGUGCUUGUUCUUUAUUUUCUUUCAAUUUCAUUUUAUCUACGGCCUUGCUUCACCCAUUAAUUUCCUAACAUUUUUCAGCCCCUAUUUCCCAAAGGUUCGAACUCAACUAGCCAGCCAAAGAAACUAUCAAGCCCCUAAAGGAUAAAUUCUCAACUCCAAUACAAAAGAAUAAUUCAAAUUAGUUAAAAGAACAGAAAAAUAAUUGUUUGGCUGCUAAGAAAGUUGAAGAAAAUGGUCAAGAUCUGGAAUUUUAAUCUUAUUCAAUUGGCUUCUGGAACAAUCUACACCUACUAACAGAUUACUUAUAUAUGUAUAUACAUAUAUAUAUACACACACACACACCCAAGCGCAGCAGCUCAGCUAAAGUUAACAAACUAACUAUUUACAACUUGCCUAACAAAAUCAUCACGUGUAUAUGCACAAGCAGCUACAUAACCACCUGGUGCUGCUGGCAGUACAUGUCAUCACCUUGUAACUGAUCGUAGAAGCUUCUGUGACCUGUGCUUUGCCGCAAAUAUGAGCCUCCUUAACAAAGUUAUAUCCUGAUAAUUAAUAUCUCGCUCCACGACCAAUAAAUGUACAGAGGAGUGGAAUUAGGGUAAGUCCUGGACCCCAAGCUUUAAAAAUGACCUUUAUCUAGGUAAUUUUAUUCUUUGCCCCCUCAGUUUCAUUUUUCGCACAUAUUGCCAGCUGCAUUAAUAAAUUUUUGUGUUUCCAUACGCCCCCCUCGAAUGAAAAUUCUGGCUUCACCAUACGCAGUCACCAGAAUACUCAGCAGAUUUGAAAGAGCCAUUACUUACUAGUAUAUAUGCGUUGAUGGAAUGAGAUGUGUUGUUUCCAUACUAUUAUAACUUAAAAAAAAAAAAAAAGAAGUCAGGGCAUACAUAUUAUACGGUAACAUUAAUAAAUGGUUUAUUAAAACAUGUUUAUUGUUAUAAAACUGAAAUAUUGGAUGGUACGUCAUAGGUCAUUACGUUUAAAUGGAGCCACCGGGACUUUGAAUGAAUGGAACAUGUAAGUCAAGAACGCGAAAGAACUAUAAUCUUAGUCAUGAAGUAUAUGCUUUCAUUUCGACCUUGUCUUCUUGCUUCUUCACAAUCUCAUUUUGAGUCAAUUGAACAAAUUACAAAUAAAUGCUUUUUGCAAGCUAUUAUUAUGCCCCAUCUCUGCACCACCGCCCCCCCCCCCCCCCAUGCUUGUUACUAGAUAUUAUGCCCCAUCUCUAACCACCACCCGCCUUGCAAUUUCUACCAUUUUAAUUUAUUGUAUCAUGAAAGAAUGUGUGGGAUCAUGCAUGCGUUUUCUUCUUGAUGGGUCUCAGCCGUGUGACUUGAUGAGUAUAUGGGCAUAUAUACAUAUCAUUGAAAGCGCCUUUCAUUCAACUUGAGAUUUUGUUUCUUUUUGUUUAGAAUUUCUCUUUCAGAUUACUGAAGGAGACAGACAUAGGAAAAGGAGAAAAAAAAAAGCUGCGGAGAAAAUGAUGAGUUUGGGAUUAAUGCGAGAAAUUUCCUAGAAGUUAUGGUGUUAUUGUGUUAUAUAUUCCAAAAUGCAAGUUGAUUGAACGGAACUUGCAUUUUUAAAUUUAAGUCAAUAGCUUUACGACUUAUUAAAGAGCAAUCUCCAAUUAAGGAGAAUUGUCAAGUGAAUGAAAGGACCACAAUGACAUUUUUUAGAAGUCUCUAACAUACUAUAUGAUCAUUUAUCUUAUUAUGAACCCUACUUUUUAUUUAAUUCAUUUAUUUUUACAAUUAUCCUUUUUAUAGUUUAAAAAGUAAUUAACAAUAAAUGUAUUGUUGCUCUCUCUCAUCUGCUCUCUCAGUAUCAUAAUCGGACUUAGUCUAUCAUCAAUGCCAGUAUGUAUCUUACACAGAGGCUGAUAAAGAAUCACAUUAAAAUUUUAGAUUUCUAGAUAUUAUAAAGGACCAGCAAACAUGAGAACCUCCAAAGAUGUAAAGAAUGGUGGAAUAACGCAGGAUAUAGGACAGCCCCACUAAGAACAUGACAGGUAAUGAUAGAGCUAUAACCACCUUGUACGAAUAAGUGUUUGCACACUAAUAUGCCAUGAGGACAUUGAAUGUAUAAAAUCACAUGGAUUGUGGCGGAUCCAAAUACUUAAAUUACGGGGGACUUGGUUCAGCAGAUCUUAAUUUAAUUUAGGGUAUUUGUUAUUUUCUUUUAUUGUUCACUUAAGCACAUUAUAUUUAAAGUCACAAAAACUCAAAUUCUAUAAUUUCUCUUAAAUUUUAAAAAAUAAUAGUAACAAAUUAUUAGACCUUAUUAUGACUAUAUUUGUAAAAGUAUCCUCUUUUUAAGUAAUUAAUCUCCACUAAAUAUCUUAAAGCUAAAAUUGUAUGCUUAUUGGAAUUUGAAUCAAUUCUCCAAAAUCACUAAAUAGCACUUUUACCAUUAAGCAUUAACCUACAAGUAUUUUACCAUGUGGAAAAUAUAUCUAAAUCCUCUUUAUUUAACUCUUUUAGAAGGAUUUUGGGAUACAUUUAAAAGAAUAAUAAUAGUCCAGAAGCGCUUACAGGUCCAUCCAUGAUUCAUGAACUCACAUAAUUGGGACGCUUCCUAAAUUAUAAGCAAUUUAAACCCUAUGGAUCUUACUUUAUUCUCUAAAUUAUGAGCAAUUCAUGUAUCUCUAUGUCUUCUCAAUAAUUGUUAAAGUAGUAGAUAAAUUUAAAAUAUAUAUAUAUAUUUCCAUUUAUAUGAGCAAUUUAAACCCUAAACUGCUUGUGUAAGCCUAAAUGGAUUUACCAAUUAAACGAUCAAGUAUCCAUGUGUUUGCUUAAUGAUUAGAAAGAGCAUGAACACCAUUUGAUUUUGAUCAUGGUGUUCAUAAUUUCAUUGUUAUAACUUUUGGCAAUUUGUUUUUUUAAAAAAAUAAAUAAAUAAGAUGUUGGAUAAAGUUCAAAUCAAAUUUUCAGCCCCUAUCUCUCAAAGAUUCAAAAUUGAAUAGUCAGCCAAAGAAAACUAUCAAGCCCUAGGGCUUUUGGCACUUAUUUAUGUGUUAUUUGUUGAAAAGAUUAUAACUGCUAAAUCUAAAGGAUAAAUUCUUAGCUCCAAUCUCUAUUCACAAGAAUAAUUCAAAUAGUUGGCUGAUAAUUAAUAUCUUCAUGAGCAAUUCAUGGACAGAGGAGCUGAAUUAUGGGAGAUCUAGGACGCCAAGCUUUAAAAAUGACCUUUAUCUAGGUCAAUUUUAUUCUUUACCCCCUCAGUUUCAUAGUUCUCACAUAUUGCCAGCCGCAUUAAUAAAGUUUGUUGUUUCCAGAUGCCUCCAUCGAAUGAAAAUUCUGGUUUCACCAUACGCAGUCACCAGAAUGCUUAGCAGAUUUGAAAUAGCCAUUACUUACUAGUAUAUAAACGUUGAUGGAAUGAGAUGUGUUGUUUCCAUACUAUUAUAACUAUAAAAAAAAAUAAGAAAAGAAUUGCAGAGCAUAUAAUAUCAUAUUGUAAUUAAUAAAUGGUUUACUAGAACACUUUUAUGGUCAUAAAACUGAAAUACUGGGUCGUACUUCAUAGGUCAUUGCGUUUAAAUGGAGCUGGUAGCGGGACUUUGAAUGAAUGCAGCAUGUAAGUCAAGAACGUGAAAUAUAGAGCGGGUGCGGGGACUUUGAAUGAUUGCAACAUGUAAGUCAAGAACGUGAAAGAACUGUAAUCUUAAUCAGAAGUAUAUGCUUUCAUUUCGACAUUGUCUUCCUCCACCUUCACGAUCUCCCUUUGGUUCAAUUAAACUGUUGUUUGUGAGAGCAAAUCCAGAAAACCAAAACGGCAGAAGACUUUGCGUUUAGAAGCUGGAAACACUUAAGCUCAACGGUACAGGAUCCUGCGUUUUGAAGAGUAAAAGAAAUACACUUCUGAACGACGUAUGGAUUUGUCGUUUAGAUUUAAGUGAUGCACGCGUAUAUCACGUGCUUGAGUUCAUCUUGCAAAGUUCGUUAGAAGUCGUUAAACGCAUGAGGAACUCACGUGAGGUGCAGAAGAUUUCUGGGUUCGUUUACAGAAGCUGUUAUGGAACAGCUGAUGUGGAAGCAAUUGAUUGGAGAGCAGAGAGAGCUGAAGAGAGAGAAGGAAGCUGGUUAUAUAAAGCUAGUUGUGGUCUUUCUUGGAUAUCUAAGCAUUACUCUGUAAUUCAUCUCAAGGAAAUCAAUAAAGCUGUGUUCUUUCCCUCCCGUGGAUGUAAGCUAGAGAAAUCUAGCUGAACCACGUUAAGAUUCUUUUGUUCUCUGUUUCAAUUACUUCCUUUUAGAUUCUUAAUUCCAAUCCGUUAAUUGUCUAGUUCCAUAGGUUCAUCUUAGUCGUAGCUUUUCAGUUAAACAUCUUGCUGCAUCUUGUUCUAUUGGGUUGAGGUCUUGGGGCAGAGUCUUGGGUUGUUUUAUCAGUCUAUAGCACCUGAGAUUCUACAAACAAAUUACGGAUAAAUGCUUGUUACUAGCUAUUAUCCCCCAUCUCUGACCACCCCUCACCUUGCAGUUUCAACCAUUUAAUUUGUUGUACCAUGAAAGUAUACGUGUUACAUGUGUUUUCUUCUUGGUGGGUCAAAAUCGUGUGACUUCGGGACCGGGACAAAUGUUAUUCAAAACGCUUUUCAUGCGACUUGAAUUUUGUUUCUUUUUACCUUAGAAUUUCUCUCUAAGAUUACUGAAGGAGACAGACAUAGGAAGAAGAAGAAAGAAAAAUAAGCUGUGGAAAAAAUGAUAUGUUUGGAAUUAAUUCGAGAAAUUUCCUGGAAGUUGUGGUGUUAAUGUGUUAUUUCAAAAUGCAAGUUGAUUUAAUACAACAUGCACACAUAAAUCUAAGUCAGUGAGUAGAAAACUAAAAUCUUAUUAACGAGCAUCACUGUUAAAGGAAAAUUGUAAAUUGUUGAGUGUCCUCACACGGACCAUUUUUUAACAUUCACUACUAUACUGCUUAAUUCUUUUUACGAGCCUCACAUUUCAGUUAAAUUUAAAAAAAUAAUUAACAACAAACAUAUUUUUACCCUCUCUCAUCUGCUCUCUCGGCAUCAUAAUUAAACUUAGUCUAUCACCACCAUCAAUUAAGAUAUAUUUUACAUUGAGGAUGAUAAAGACAUAUAUGUAUCUUCGAAUGAUCACAAUAAAAAUUUGCACUCCUAGAUAUUAUAAAGGAAUAAAAAACAUGAGAACCUCCAAAGAUGCAAGGAAUGGUGGAAUAAUGCAGGAUAAAGGACAGCCCCACAAAGAAAUUCCAAAUUGCCCAAGGUCCGAAAUACAAUACCAAAUAAACAAUUUCCCAGACAUGAAAAGAAAAUUUAGCCAGAAAACAAGCUUCCAAAGUAAGAGACAAUUUUCCAUCUUUAGAAAGUUGCCAGAAAGUUGCCAAACAAUAAAAUGCAUUGCAGGUUCUAUUGACAAAACUAUGUCCUUGAUUUCACUUGCAUGGUCUGGAAGUGCAUUAGCAAAAGAAAUAGGAAAGCUGGAAUAGACCUUUUAUCAUUGACAACCAGAUGAAGAGAAAGAGUGCAAAGACAAAAGAAACAAAUAAAAAUAACAUUUAUUUCAAUUUGUUAUUAAGGGUAAUUUUGAAAAUAAAUGGAUAAAUUAGAAAGUGGGGAUUAAUGAAAUAGAUGAAGAGAUCAAAUAUCACCUCUCAUGAUUUUAUCUUUGCAGGCCCAAGGUAAGCUUUUGGACCUCGUUUAAAGAAAAUCUUGAAAAAUAAUUAAUGAAUGGUAAUAUUUAACUCCAUUUUAUCUCACUAGACCCUAUUUCUUAAUAAAACUUUUAAAAAGGUAAAAAUAACUUAUUUUUGGCAGCAUGCACAAUGUAAUUCCAAAUUUAUCCUUAUUUUCACUGGCAUCAUUGCGUAUGACCCAUCAUUUGAAACUACAAGAAUCGAUUCAUUUUCGUUAAGUCUAGUCUAAGCUGGGCAUAUUAUCUUCUCUGCCUGCUCAAUAGUUUCAGAUAAGCUAUUUCGGCAAGACAAGUGAAGCUGUAAAGGAAAACAUCUUGCUAGAUUUGGAAACGCAUAAUUGCUCAGCAUUUUUUCUGUUGCUAAUUGCUCAACCUCUCAAAGUUUCUUUUCUUAUUUUUCUCUUGUUAAAAGCAUGCAAAAUGUAUCAAAAAAGCAAUUUCAGCAAUCGGCCAUGGAAGCAAAGCAAUCUUUUCAAACAUGCUGGCUUUUAAUGUUUUAGGCUCUGAAAUUGAUGAUAUCGGCAGAGCCUUUUACAUUUUUAUAAUUAUUGGUAAGAGAUUCGAUCUAAUUAAUUCCAAACUUCCUUAAUUAUUUUCUUUUAAAAAAAUAAAUAAACCUUAAAUGAUGCUUGAUUUAAAAAUCAAUAAAUAAAUAAACUUCAAAUUCCCUUAAUUAUUUUCUUUUAAAAGCUUGCCUUCGGGAACAUUUAUAUGAAAUGAUUGAAAUUAAUGAAUUAAUAUUAAUUUAGUAUAUAUUUUAAUUAAUUCUAUCAAAUAUUGUUUUACUUGAGAUUUUUUCGUAUACAUACUAAUUUGUCUACAUAUGUGCCCGUACUAGUAGUGUAUGUUUGAUGAGAAAUGACAUAAAUAAAUGUAUAUAAAAGGAUAUGACAUGAAUAAAUUAAUUGUAUAAAACUAUCAUAAACCUACAUAUAACUACCACUUUCAAUGUGAAUGCAGUAGUUCGUUAUUCCAAGUAUCUAAAUGCUCCUUUGACAACUUCAAUUUCAAAGCUUGAACAUUUCCAAUUCCGAGCACAAUUAAUUCGAAGCUUGACUUCUGAUUUUCCUUCCUUCUCAGUGACUGUAUAAAAGAAUAGGUAGUUUAAUUGUUUUAGCUGCAACCAAAUACUUUCUCCAUUUCUUAUUGGAAUAAUAAUUAUGUCGAGGUACCAUGGAAGAAUAAAUGCUGCUGUCUCCACUUUGCUUGUUGCCUAUAUAGUUUUGUUAGUUUGUUCAUGUCCCUUGCUUAUAGAAGCCAGAAUUCAAAAUUUCUCAGCCAUCCAAGGUGCAAAUCAAUCUUCACAACUUCAAUUAAUUUCUUGUUAAUAUUAAUCACAGUUUAAUCAUUUAUAUAGUAAUUUUAUUUUAUUAAUUAUUCUUUGCUUUGAACUUCUAAUUAUACGCGACAGGAAGUUUAGUCCAUCAAAGAAAGAAAGAAGGAUUAGACCAUCGGAGACAAAUGAGAGAACCUGGCAAACAAGAUUCUUCUCCGGUAACCGAUCCAAACCAUGGCCAACGUUGCACUGGUUGCUUGCCUUAGUGGUAGCGAG
rnacentral:lncRNA from 1 species